rnacentral:lncRNA from 1 species
UGUGCUCGUGCCUGAAAUUCUUUUCACAAGAAGCUAGUCAAAAAAAGGGGCACGCAGCUACGCGAUUCUAACUGCUCUUGGUUUUGUAACUCACUGCUCUUGGUUUUCUACGUGGGAGUUGGUCCGGAUAACAUAUCUUAACGAGGGAUAUAAAAGGGUGAAGGUCAAUGAAAUGGGGUCCUUAUAGGUAUCUGCCCAUGUUCAAUCACUGAAGUAAUGAAUCUAAACAAGAAAACGAAGUAGAAGUGAAAAGCUUUUUGAAUAUAUUUUUAUCUCUCUUUGCUUAGUUUUCCCCUUUAAUGUCCCUCUCCAUUAUUAUUCAUAGUAAUGUGCUCCUCGCUGAGCUUUAUGAUUUCCAUUGUCAUUCUUCCCUCUCCUCUCUGAUUGCUUUUCAUCGUCUCUUUGCAUUUACCCUAUUUUUGUGACUCUCCUCUCUUUCUUCUCCCCAUACCAUUAUUUUGAUCGUUUCUGAAUCUUGAGAUUGCUUCAAUGCAUGUGAUCCCUCUCCUCAGCCUUCCCCUCCUAAAUCUUAGAAUCCUAAUGCCGCAGGUGCUAUGUCGGAAAUCCAUUUUUUUAUCCCCAAGGAAAAUCAAAGAAGAAGAAAGCCCUGGUAUUCUCUACUUGAAUUCAGGAAGAUUCAGAUACCAAAAGCAAUAGGAAUGGGAAAGCGGAGCGGGCAAUAGGUUUAUGACUGAGCACUAGAGCCUGGAAUAGAAGGAAUGAAGGUUGGGAAAUAUGCCAUGCAGAAUUCCAAUAAGUUGGCACUGCUUUCCCUUUCCAUGUGAAAAAUGGAGAGGAAAAGCAUGGGUGGACCAAGUGUUUUAACCGGAAUCUAGUGACGGAGAAAGAAGAAAGAAUGGGAAGAAAGCAGCCAUGGGCAAGCUUUAAUGAAUAUAAAUAAGUAGGAGUUACAACCUUGAAAUUCUAGUGAAACAAGCCUUUGACGUAGUCACAAAUUCGACUGCCCUUUCACUAUUAUUAUUAUUUCGAGUAAUAGCGGAAGGAGUGCCAAAGCCCAUUUUAGUAGAAAGCUGCUGCCCUUUUAUAGUAAUUCGGAGUGACAUAAUCAAUCGAAUUUGACUGGUUGGUUCCCCUUAUUAGUCAAUUGCUUUUGACGUAUCACGUGGGAAUGGGAGAGCCUCUUUUCUUUCCGCAAUGGAAUCGGCUUAAGCUCGACCUUUUCUUUCAUUUCCUAUCAUAGGGAUAUAAAAAUAAAUCCAAUUGCGUUUUUCUUAGUUUAGAAUAUCAAAAGACAUCCCACAACCCAGUCUUAGGUUCAGAGUCGCUUUAUGGGAACUUCAAGAGAGAGAAGAGAGAUCAUAGCUUAAUAUCAAAGGUCAGGUAUACCUGCCUACGUUCGGCAUACACAUUCACUAGUUCCAUUUGGAACCUUUCUCUAGAUGGAAUCCUGAUUCGACUUUCAAAUGCAAGAGCAAGAAUGCCGUGAGGGAGCCCUAUCUACAAAAUGCAAGGCCAGAUGCCACUUUCUUUAAUCGAGCGGGCAAGGGAUCACAAACUUCUUUUCUUUUCAGAGAAAAGGUUUUCAAAAGAUAUCCCGAAGGGGUCUUAGGUAAGGUAAGGAGUGACAACUCUAUUCAAUAAGUUGGCUCUUUAAGGGAAGAUAGGGCAUCUCCUAAAAUGUGGAAGUUUGGUGCUUUAGAGAUAGGGCCGGCACGCUUUGCUGGAAAGCAAUAAGUCAACAAAAAAAGGUAGGUCUACCCCCUAAUAAAGAUUUCGCUCGACAACCCUGUAUCCAUUCUCGAUUAAAAAACGGAGAGUUAGGUUUAUUAUCUCCAGUUUGAUGCUAUCUUCUCCACGAAUUGGUUCUUAUGGAUCUCCUCCAGGUCCUAGGCAUCUUGUCUCUAGCUCUGCUCUCUAUCGGUACUAAAAUCAGUACUUUGUCUUUGCCUGUCUCUGUCCAUUCCUUCAACACUGAUGGACUCAGAGUGGCAUAACCCCUUUAAUAAGAAGCAUAAGACCUAAAGCGAGGAGAUAGAAUCGAAAGAAUGAUAGCAAGUUCUUUGAAAGUGGGAAGAAAGCCAAGGAUACGGUGGUGUGUAGGGUCUUUCAAAUCAAUCAGGAAAGCGCGAGCUAAGAAGGAACACGGCUUUCCGCGCCUUGACAAGUGGAUCUACCAAGAAUAGCUUUUUUAGCCGUUACUUAUUAUAUAAUAGCUCGAUCCGCUCACGCAUGUGAUUGAUUUCUCCCCUCUCUUUCGAAAAUCUUCCAUUCGAACAGGAAGAUUCCCUUCUCACUGUGUAUCCAGAACCUGAGGAUGAUGAGGAUCUAUAAAGGUUCUUUGAUCGAUCUCUCGCUUUGGCUUCUUUUGUUGCCGAAGACCAGGACCCGUCUUAUUUGCUGAAAACCUGUCUGUUUAGGGACUCUUUCCUUUCAAUGGACAUACUUGCCUGGAACUGAUUCUACCUUGAGAGCGCUUCCCUCUUUUCUGAUUCCUUCCCUUUGACCACAGAAAAUACAACUUCUAAUAGCCAUUUCUAUUUUUUAGAUGUUUCAAACAAGUGAUUUUACACUUUUAUCCUUCUUGUCUUUCCCCGAUAGAGGAGUUUGACCCUUCCACUUCUGCCUUUGCCCUUUGUACUUCUUCCCGCAAUUGAGAUCCCUGUUAAGGAAGAAUAUCUCGCUCGUGCUUUUUUGCGAGGAAAUCGCUCUACUUUUUCUAGCGAUGAGUGAUUGAGUAAGGUCUAAUUCAAUCUGUGUUAUGACCUACCUUUUUUGAUUGAAGUAAACGAGAGCUUUACUUCUUCUUUUCAAACCCUAAGGUUUGAGAUCGUCCUCAGGUCGGAUUCGGUCCUUUUCUCUCUUUUGAAAUUCCAUAGAUAUAGAUGUCUCGACUGCCGAAUCCGAAUCCUUAGAACAACUCGAUUCCGUUGAUUCACUGUCCAUUUGUCCUUCAACCGGAUUAAUGGUCAACGACUUUGACAUCCUUUCCUUCACACAAGGUUUUUAAUCCAUCUCCCCCGCUUAGGGCAGUAAGGGGAAGUAGCGAUAUUCUGAUUCCUUCGUGGGGAAUCAACGAAGGCAGCCGCUCCAGCAGCUUUAGUACUUAAGUUAACGCCCCGGCCCUUAUCCCGUGAUGAGAAGGUAGAUGUGGUAAGCCAACUCCUAUCCUUCUUGCGGAAAGGGCAUUCAAUGCCAUCUUCAUUCCCUUCCUUGCUUCGAGGAGCAGGUCGAAUAGUCAAAGAAGGCGAUGGCUAAUUCCAGGAAUAGAGUAGCAUUCUCAAGCACUACUCUCCGUUUUUUUCUAGUCCAUAUAAAACAGUCAAUCUACCAGCAGCAGAGGCUGUAGAUACAUGUCCACCACAUGUUUAUCUACUACCAUAAGCGGGAGCAGUUGCAGGUAAAGAGUGUUGUGAGGGCUUUCAUUUGCGCGUUAAGGGCAGUUUCUGUUAUAGCACUAGAAAUUUGUGCCGUUAGUCGAAUGCUCGGAAUCAAAGAAGACUAUUUCCUUCCUGGAACAAAAUGACAACCGCAAGAAUUCGGAAUAAGACAUGUUAAGUUUCUCCUCUUUCUGUCUAAUGACUACUACGACAUGCCUAGACUAUAACAUUCCUACGGAGUGUUGCCCAUAGAUUACGGAACAUUUGGCAUAUGUUGAUUGAGUCCCGGGUAUAGCUCCCUCACUCGCUCUACUUUGAAUCAUGAAUUAGCGUAUUAAAAGCGGCGAUCUUUCUCUAUUUCUUCCUCUUCCACCAAAACAAAAAAGUUGUUUUGGGGCGUCAGGCAAACUUAGUUCUUCGUUCCUCCGGUAAUUGGAUUGAUAUAUAAGGAUUGGGGUUGUCACCCGUAUGCUUCUUAUCUUUGGCUUCGAACAAGGGGAGUCCUUUCAAGCUUCAUCAAAUCCAUGGCACAAGGUCUGUUUUUCAUUAUAGAAUCGAGCAAGAAUCGGAUUGUGAAUUAGGAUUGUAUGCAAGAAGGGAUUCGGAAACAGGAAAGUGCCUUUGUAGAGCCGGUAAAGUCGAUGAUAUAUUCUUCAACAACCAUAUCUUCGUUCAAAACAAAGAUAUUCCUCUAGUAUUUUCUAUUAACUAAUAACAGAAGAAAAUAACGUUGGGGCGAACUUCUUUGAAAAUAGUUCUUCAUUAUUAUAUGUUUAGAUAUUCCAAUCCGGUUUUCUACAUAAUGGGUUAUGUCUUAAUAAUAAAUGACUUCUACUUUAAUACGAAAAGUGUUACAGUUUUUUUGUCUUUUCCCUUCUACAGGUCUUUUCCUUCCGAAGCAAGUCAAGGCUAUUCCUUGAACUCCGAAUAAGACAACAAAUGCCAUUAUUAGUACUGUCAACGCAAGACCAAACGAUGGUAUAGCAAUGAACAAAAGAAUGACACUUGGAAAUAUGGUCCGAAUAAUUUCGAUAGUAGUUCCAUGAACAAUCCUUUGUGGGAUUUGAUUAGUUUGCUCGUUGAAAUGCCAUAAAGCGCGAACCAACAUCCGUGUACGAAAACCAAAAUAAGAAUGAGGAAGAAAAAGAUAUCGUGAUGUAAGUCAAUGAUCAUGGGGACUAUGUCAAAGGAAAGGGACAGAACAGAAAGCUACCGAUGCAGCUGAUCGGUCUCCUCGAUUAUUCCCUCGAUCGGUCACUCCUCGUCAACCUUGUUAAAGGAAGUUCAACUAAACAACUGCACUAAAGGAAAAAGAUUCGGCAUCGCUCGAUCAAACAAAGGGAAAAAUCAUCAAGAAUCUGAUCUUGCUCUGAAUCAUCUACCAAGGGUUCGCUGUCAAUGCAAUUUGAGUUGGCCAACUCCGGUUCCUCUAAGUCAGAAGUUUCUCUAUUGGCAAGCUCUCAUUGACAUAAUCCGGUGUAGGUGUAGGGAGCUGACUCUCAUGUGGAUGAAGAAAUAUCUCCGUAGUGCUCAGGAUAGGCCGUGAGCCUCUUAUCUGCUUGGAUCAGGUAAUAGCUUCAUUUCUUUUCAGAAGCUCAAACACAGUGUUUUCCAAUAUAGAAGCGGAGUAGUUCUUGUGGAAUCUAGGCAUAGGGCUACUAGAAUCCAUCACUAAAAGAGGAGUUUUCUGAGCUCUAUCGACACAACGGGACUCUAGAUAUUGGCAACAAAAGGGCACUUACCCCUAAACUAGAUUACUCUUCUUCUUCCUAUGAUAAAGCGGGGGCUGAAAGGGACUCUUUAAAGUACUUCAACGUUAUCACUGGACGUUCGUGUCAAUCCAACUGGUGGAGGGAAAUCGGGAGAAUAAAGAAGUCUUGCACGAGGGCGGCCUCUUUCCAUGCCUCCAAAUCCAUUUGCCACACUUUCAGAUCUCGGAUAUACAAUGAUGAAUCCUGAUGAUCUACGAUCACAGAACGCGGUAAUAUGAAUGUCUCUCACGAGCCCCAAAGAGUCAAUCAAGUAUGCCUGCUUUGUUGGCACAGGGAAAGGUAGAACGACCUUCCGCCAUGUCAACCGCUCACUAGGCUUCUUGCUGCGGUGAAGUUGCUUCAUCACCCGGCUCAACAUCAGCCUCAUCCCCCCCCCCCAUUUUAAGCUUUGGUUAUAGUAUACUUUAGUUCCACUUCUUCACUGAUCUCUCCCGCUAUCUUCUUUCCCCACUCCUCAUCCAAGUGAGGAGCUACCCGAGAUCAUCGAAACCCACCACACAAACCCUAACUGGCAAAGCUGAUCUAUGAACACCAAGGGCGGGUAGAGGCGUCAGAUGACAAUUCAAGUAGGGGUCUGCCUCUUUCAAAGGGAAGCAAGAGUCUCAUAGGGAAGGAGAUCCUGCACACACCAAUCCCAAUCAGGAAGCGAGUCUUGUUGUCAAUGAAAGCAAUUUUUCUAUGUCACAUAUCUGCCUAUCUCGUGUUGUGAGCUAUAAAGUACCCACCAGGGGGGUGGACCAAGAAAGAGGCAGGCGAUUGGGUCCUUCCCAUCCUCUGUGAUGUCAGUCUCUUUGUCAUUCUUUCACCCUUGCUGAGUAGCAAAGUGAGCAUACUCAAGAUCCAAUUCAUCAAUCAUUUGAGUUGGUACGAACAUAGGAAUCCAGACUCCGCUUGAUUUGAUCUUCAGUUUUGACCUUCAUCAGUCUGGAAAAAGAAGAAGGACCCACUUAUUCCACUCGGAGAGACCAAACCAGGCAACAAAAAAAAGAAAACCUGAAGGAAGUUCUCUUUCCAUUCCAACUAAACUAAGUGAAAAAAAGGGGGAGAGCAAAACAAAAACACAGGAACAAAGAAACUAUGUCCAAACCAACGAGUCCUUUGGUCGACUCUAAAGAAUGUAUCGGGAGUUGGGAGUUAGCCGUCUCAUAGGAGUGAUAGGACCUUAAUAAGCGCCAUCCCGAGACUUGGACUCGAGGGAUGGUAAGAUCAAUAGGAGAAGGAGAUAUGAUACAAUUACUAUGAUCGGGAUACCUUAUAUGAGCCAUACUUAUCGAGGGAAUCAAUCGCGUGAGGGUGUUGUUGAUAGAGGGAGCUCUGGCCAGGAGAGGCUAGAGCGAGUGAUAGCAACGGAAAGGUAAGAUCAAGAAGGAAACAAGGCUUAAGAGGACCCUAAUGCACCAAUACUUUAGGCAUUCCAAGUUCCAAUACAUACUUAUCAUGGAAUGAAAUCCUAGAGGAGCAAGCAUAUCACUGAGAAUAGCUAGCUGAAAUCAAGGAUGCUAUCACAAUAUUCAAUGGAAUCGUUACAUCGGAAUAAGAUAGACCCGCUUCGAUGCUGUAUUCAGUAUGUCAGCUAGGAGCCAGAACUCACUAUGCCAUAGUCAUACAAUCAACCUGUGUAUUAACAGCAAUAUCUAGACAGGCAGGAUGGAUUAAUUAUAAUUAUGGCCAAGAUAAGGUGCUCAAAGGGGAAGCACUCUUCAUCAAGUAAUUACCCCUGGGGGCGGGUACUGCGAAAAGAAAGCAACGCAUAAGCUCUUGUUCCUGAUAUGGUUUGAAAGUAGUGCAAAGAAAAGCGGUACUUCGGUCGGAAAGAAAGCCGCUGGAGGGUUAGUGCUAAAAUCUUCUUGUUCGGAUGGUUGAGAGAAGGAGGUGUGUCCUGUGGAGGAUACACCGAUUGAUAGAGACGCCUCAAGGCCACCGGAGGGAGAAAUAGUGAUAGCAACGCUUACAAGGAAUGCUGGGAUAAGUUGGGAAGAAGGCAAAGAUACUGGCGACUAGAUCCUUGUGGAAGAUUGGAAGAUACCGAUAUCUCUAUUUCAAUUUGUUGAUUGAUGGUUUAAGGAAAGCUCCUUUCAACUUUGCUUCUUGUAAGCUUUGGUAUAAAUAUCUCACUUGCGGGAUCUAAUCUCAUUCUAUGGGAACAGCUUUCAUUUCUAUCUUUUGGCUUAAAGUGGUGAACAAAUCCUUUCUCUUCAGUUUUUGUGCUCCGCAUGGCCCCGGUCAAGAUGUGACUCAUCCUGUAUAUACAUAAUUAGGAGACCUCUCACGAACUUGUUAAAGAAAGGAGUACCAUUUGUGUGGACAAGCCAAAGCAAUCAUUUGAUGUUCUCAAGCAAGCUUUAAUUGAGGCCCCUGUGUUGGUUCUCCCUGAUUUCAAUAAAAGAUUUGUGCUAGAGACAGACGCCUGUGGGCAUUGGAGCUGUGAUAAGGGGUAGAAGUAUUCGUGUGGGGUGGGUUUCAAAGGGAAGGUUGCACAAUAGAUCGGAGAUCCUUUGAGGAAGACUGAAAUGACUAUACUUAUAGAAUGGUCCAUAUCGAACAGAUACGAUACUGGUUUACACAGAGAAUAUCGCCUAGCUCUAAAACGGCAGCACCCGAGUGCAACUUAGAGUAAGAAAGAACGAACUUCUGCUACCUUUUUACCGGGGCAUUGUUUUAACAACUUUAGCUGAUUGAUCUACGAAUGGAGGGAUUCAAGCUUAUUUUUGUUAACCGAGAUGCAAACAACUAACAAAUUGGAUUCGAAGCCACCUGUCGUAAUAGUACCUGCGGGUUCUUUCUGUGGAGCCUUCAAAUGCAAUAGCUAGCUGCCCAACGGCCAAUGCCAUAGGAAAAUCUCCAUUUUCCAACUUAUACAACUCUUUGGGGUCCAAAGAUACUCACCAUUGCAACUUAAUAAAUAGGACCGGUGGGAUCGCCUUCAACAGAUAUAUCGGUUUCACUGCUUUCGUACCCUUUGUUUUGGUCAUGUGGAUGACCCGCAGACCGUAGAUAAGAUGGAUACCCACGUACUGCCUUCAAUGAAGAGAGUUUUACCAAGGACCCUUAGACAGAUAGGGGGGACAGACAAGAGGUAUGCAACCUACUGAAUAUUAUCACCGAAUCGCUCACUGACAAAUACUUGGGGCUCCCCUCCCCGGUAGGAGUGGAUAGGAGCGUCUGCUUCCAACACUGAAUUGAGAGAGUUUGCACUCGGAUUAAUGGUUGCAAAGAGGAAGGGCUAAUUGGCUCCGCCAUGGAGACCGAAAUACGAGCUUCUUUCAUCACAUCAUUUUCCAACAGAGAAAAAAGAAGAACAUAAUAAACUUUCUGAAUGAAUCAAACGGCAACAGGAUCGAAGGUAAUGACCGGUUAGCAUCUCUGAUAUAUGGUUACUUUGAGGGACCUUUCACCUCAGAAGUCCUAGCUCCCGACCCUGGGCUACUGGGGAAAGUAAACAGGCGAGUAACUGAGGAAAUGAACGCAAAUCCUCAUUACAAAGGAUAGACUACUCGAUUUGAUGUUAAUUGGAAAAUAAUACUACUUCUGUCAAUCGUAUUUACUUUGCUUAAGUGAUAAUAGAUCUAUUUUGCGUGUCACUUUACCUUUUUCGUAGAUAGUCUGAGUUCGAGCUACUAUAGUCUCCCCCGUUGACCUUCUUUUUUACAUAGAAUCCUCAAUGAGUGGAAAGGACUCCCAGACUUGCUCCACAGUACUAUACCAUACAGAGCCACGCCCUUGUGAUAUGAUAAGAAGAAAAGGGGCCAGGCCGCCCUCUUUUCUUUUCCGCACCAAGCCUUCUUGUAAAAUCGGGUGUAUAGCUCAGUUGGUAGAGCAUUGGGCUUUUAACCUAAUGGUCGCAGGUUCAAGUCCUGCUAUACCCAAAACAAAAAAACACUCUUGUAUUCGUAAGGAUGCAUAGUAGCCUUCAAAGAGCACUCUUUGGCCUUGAGAAAAGCCCCUUUCUCAUCAACAUCUCAACCUCGCUCGUUGUUUGAGGUCAGUAUAAAGGAGAUCAGAUCUGCGUUGCAAACACUUCCAUUUUUAGCGUCUCAUCUUCUCUAGAGAAGCUCAAAUCGAACGGAUAGAGCAGAUGGUCCAACUAUAGAACUUCUUCUUUUUCAUUACUUCCAUGGUCGUGCCCCGUGGCACGGCAGCACCCGUACUAUUGAAAUGGUUCGUUAGUAGAUAUGUUCCCGCUGGUGCCUCUUCUUCCAAUGGUACUAUAAUUCCUAUUCCUAUCCCUUUAUUCCCUUUUUUGGUCUAUCUACAUUUAAGGAAAUUCAUAUGCUCCAUGGACAAAGCAAAAAGUGGAGUGUUGGUCAAAGCAAGCCGCCCUAUUCUAUUACCAAACAAAAUGGAGAGAAGCUAAUCCGCUAGAAAUGCUUUAUUUCGUUUCAUUCCCGUUCUUCAUUUCCUCAUUAUCGAAUCCAUGGGGGACUUGUCAUAUUUAUAAUCUUUCCGCGGUCUGCUCUGUUUACAAUUCUUUCGUACUCUCUUCUCUCUACCACGCGAUAGGUCAGCGAAGCGUGAGAGGGCGCUCCGAAGUAAAAGCCAAACACUUCGGCCUAAGGGGAAUGAGCAACAAAAUGAAAAGAUGAGGUGCCCCGGGCACCCCCAUAUAGAAAGAAGGGUCGGAGGUUUUGGGCCUGUAGCUUUCCCCGCCCCCCCCCCCUCGUCGAGUGGUGCUUGUUUGGGGGGGUGCCACCAGAAAGCAGGCUUGAAGCUCUCGCCUUACCAACGAGCCGACUGCUGAUGGCUGUUGGUCACGACUACUACAAAAAAGUGAAGAUGAAUCUUUCUAUUUCACAUGGAGGAGUGUGCAUAUUUAUGUUGGGUGUUCUUCUGUCGUGCAACCCGAUGGCUUAUGUGCGACUUGUGUCCCACACCUCCUAUUCUAUUUGUUCAGGGCGGGCGGCAUGAACUCUGAUUCGAUCCAGGUAUUCAAUCCCUCCGCUGAGAUGCUCAGUUGACUCCUUAACCUUGAUAGGAAGAUGGCUUAUUCCAAAAUUCGUGCAUAAGGGUAAGGAACUUUGGAUGAAUUUAUGCGAAUGGGUGUAAGCCUCGCUGCUCGGAAACACCCAGUGCUGACCACACUAAAAGACAUGAAAGUGCAGGUAAUGCCAGUGUGCGAAGUGGCGUUAAGCAUCCCUAGCGGUACGCAAAGAGAGGUCGUGAUGAUAUCAUCUACGUCCGUACCGCUCCUCGUGGAGUAGAUCCCGCAUCCAACCAACCCUUUUUUGACCAGGGAACGGGAGAAUUCCCACUACCGCUGGCAGGCUAGCCGGGCCGUGAGCGCGGUGGGAAUGGGCUUCCCAAAAAGUGAGCCCCGGCCCGGGUCAGCAUAGAAUGGGGGGACGGCCCUAAUGUUGUGUUGGCCGGGUUGCGGGCGGAUAAAAGCGGACGUGGGGAAUCGGGUCGGGGCACAGCGUAACUAAGAGAGCCAUUCCAUUUAGGGCGAGACGGGCACAAGUGGUCUGGUGUCCGAGCCAAUUGGUCAGACGACGACUACUGCACAUAUUAGAUUCCAUUAGCCGCCUAUCCCGGAAUGGACUGGGAUGGAAUUCCACGGGCGGCUGCUCCUGAACGAGCUGCUCAUGCUCAAACUGAUCAACAUAAAGUGGAAAGUGUAGUAGAGAUAUUACUCGCAGUAUGAGAAGGAAGAGAAGAUCUAACCUCUCUACUUGACACCUCUGAACCAACUACAUUCCUAGCUAAAAUAGGAAAGCUGAAAGUACUCAAGCUUCAAACUCCUUGCUAACAGCCCUACCGAUACAAGGAAUAAUGCUUCAAGGACUAUAUGACUAGCUCUUAUACGAGUUCCUGGUAAACCACUACUUGCGUACCUCAAUUAAUGCUUGCUUGAGAACAUCAAAGGAUUGCUUUGGCUUGUCCACACAAAUGGUACUCCUUUCUUUAACAAGUUCGUGAGAGGUCUCCUAAUUAUGUAUAUACAGCAUGAGUCACAUCUUGACCGGAGCCAUACGGAGCACAAAAAGUGAAGAGAGUCUUUUCCCUUCUACUCCUUUGGGAAGGGGGUUCAGGGGAAACCUUUUGUUCUUCCCUUGUUUUGUCUUUUCAGUAGCAAAGGAAAGCAAUCUACAUCUACAUGAUUCCAAGAUGGUAAAAGAUAUAAAGUCAAAGUUCUAUGGAACGCAUGGUGAACAACCUGCGGGAGCACGGUAAUCCCGACGAGUAGGAUCCAGAGGAACUCAGGCAGAAGUACUGCCUCCUUGAUUGGAUCACACAUGUCAAAUGGCUUUUCAGAGACCUAAAAAGACAAAGCCCACAGAACAGAUGAAGACCCAGAACCGAGGAGAACAGAACCAAUACCAAUCUCAGAGCGGACAAUCAAUCCCAGUUCCUAGUUUCCUUCAAGCAAUAGCCUGCAUGUUCCCGUUCUUCGUGUAGCAAACCUCCUAUAGUGGAUACGACUGAGAACGAGCUUGACUCCACUCACUGCAAAGGAAAAACUGAUUCUCCAAUUCCGUGGUUUGUUUUCCUUUCAUUCUACUUACCUUCUUUUUGCCGGAGUCAGGAGUUUGGCUGCGCCAAAGCAGAGGAACGGAGGGAAGCAGCCGCCGCUGCACGGGUCCUGCACAUUAUCAAAACCAGGCAAUGUAGUCAAUGAACAAAAGUUUCAUUUACCACUAGGGUUCUUCAUAUGCACAGUCAGCUCAGGUAACGUCCAUAGGUGUUAAUACAAAGCAAGAAUUGGAUUCUAAGUAUUGCCAUUUCAUGUUCAGAGUCUGAAGCACAUCAUUUGUGGGAAGCAGCGAGGAAGAAAAGCAUACCGUAUUGACGGUAGUGCAGAAUGAUCUCCGUCACGAUAUCGUACGUAUCUCCAGAGCACGAACGUAUGGUAUACAACCGAGUUGCCCGACAUCGGACAAAACAAACUUUCAAGCACCCUGUUCAUUUAGCCUCUUAAUCAAUGGAAAGAAAAUAGAGGUGUGCAGCAAACAAGAGCAAGCGACACUAAACUACAGUAGUGAUAAAUUGGCGGAACUUCGGCCGGAGCCAUCUGCAAGCCGCACCCCGCCCAACCCAGAAGUACUCUCCAUUUCGUUGUUGAAAAAGCAAAUAAAGAAUGUUCUGAGAUCCUGUCGAAAUCGUAAGCUGCCCGAAACCAAAUUGGAAGAAAUUUACAGGGAUCUUAACCUGGAAAAUGCGAGCGAGGAAAAAGCAGGUAAAAAAAACCAGGUCCUCGAGGGCAUUUCAAGGCGACGCCUUUAUUUUUUAAAUAACAUGAAGGAUAAACCCCAUGUCGACUUAAUUGUGAAAUCUCCAGCGAAAAGAACAGUCUCGCAGGAAGAUCCAAAUACUUACUAUAUGUGCGUUUAUGUAUCAACUCUUAUAUAGUCUAGUUUUCCCGCCCUAUCUAGAGAAGGAAUCAAUUCCCCUUUUUGAAUGUACAAAAAUUGGUAGAGCUCAGCAUGUCUGGAAGCACGGGAGAACGCUCUUCUGCUUAUAUUAUUACCAGUAUUAAUUGAAUAGAAUCCAUGGUCAAACCAACACGGAUUUAGGGAAAGAGAAAGAUCUAUAAUCAUCUUCCCUAAAAAGGAAGGAUCCUGAAACAAAUUCUCAUCGUUGAACACGAGAUGUUCCAGUAUCUCAUAGGUCGACCAACCACAUGUUCCGCUCUUGUUAAAGAAGCAUAUCGAUCAAGUGUCAAUUCGUCGGAUGAGACCUUUGCUUUCCUUCCACAGGUUAAUGAGCGCUAUAUUCGGGAAGUACAGGAUACCAGAGAAACUAGCGAGUAUUGGGGUGGGGGCACUACUUAAGACAGCUUUGCUUUGGACUUGCUCUACCUUCUAAAUUGAGAAAUGGCUAUCAUCACAUCGAGCUGCCUACUUCUUAUCCAUAGGAGGGAGUGAACCGUUAUGUUCCUGAAGUUAGUAUUGGAAACACAGGUAUCCAGAGCUAUUCUUUGAGCAGCAUCGACCUAAUUCCUAUGUUUUUCCGAAGAUCAUUCAGGGAAGAGAAGAAGACAUGGGAAAGAAGAGCACGAUUGUAAGUAGGCAUCAAUAGAUAGAUAUGAUUGGUCGACGAAGAUUGGCUUCUUGGGCCCCCGUAGGCCUAUGUUGCUAUGCUGCUAGAAAGAAAGGAAGAGUUCGAUGUCCAUCAGUUCAUGGUUUCGGAGAUUUCUUACUGACUUUCAUUCAUAUCUGAAAAGAUCAAGGGUGCCGAAGUCCUCAUUGAUCCAAAGAAAGAAGCUGACACAGGCAAGACCUGGAUGAUCGAGUUAUCAUAUUGACUUGGGUUAUGCCAACUUGUGUUGUGUUUCAUAAUCAGAGCUACUUGUCCUUGCGUUGCCCAAGAGAAGUCGUCUUCGCUAGGCUAUUUUUUGGUUGUCUAGCCAUGUGUGGGAGCGAAGAUAACUCCAAACACGUUCUGGUAGAUGAGGGGAGACUUGCUGUAUCCAUUUCCCUCUCUGGCCAAUGAUUUGAGGAGCUAGCAUCAGAUGGUCUAUCGUGGCCUUUUUAUUUAUAAAAACGUAUAAAAUGAAGCGUAGAUGAGACACUGUUUAGCGAGGAACAUGUGGAAGGCUUGGGCUAUCCUCGUACUCUUUGGAACUCAUUAUUAUUAUGCGGCAAUCAUAUCACUGUCUUUAUCGACUCCAUGCAAAACAUGUUCAUUGAAUUUGAGAGGCCUAAAAUGGCUAACAUUAUGAUCAAAACAACUAACAUGCCAAAACUGGUAAUAGGCCCGCGGAUCUCUCUGGUUAUCAAUGCUAUUUUAUUGUGUUCUGUAGCCUCGCUAACCACAGGCGUGGAUCCACAAGAAUAGAAGAAGCAACAAGAUCAUGCUUCCCUGCUUUAGGAGUUUCUUCCACCGGUGUGCCUAUAGGGAGAUAAUGACUCUCCUAAAACCCUUAUUUCCGGUUAAUUGUUAAUUGGAUCUACACUUUUGUUGGAUCCACAUCUUUGAAAGAAGAGUAGUUUGGCAUGGGCGGGCUAGAAAGACUUCGAGGAUAAAACCGAUCAAUCAACAGAUAAGGUCCUUUUGGGUGACUCUGGAUGGAGCAAAUCUAUAGCAUCAGCCAGUCUAGCACGUUCUAACCACUAUCGCUUUCGUCUUGUAAAAGUGUAAUAAAUGCGACUGUGAAUUAGGGCCAGUAGACUAGAACUAUAAAUUGACCUGGCGUCGACACGUAGCCGCUCACCAUUAUGGUUCUAUUGGUUCUCAUCGAAGUAUCUAAAUGGUUCUAUUGGGGUUCUCUUCGAGAUAUCCAAAUAUUAUUUGGAAUUUACCACCCAUGUGGAGCCUUGAAUGCGACUAUAAAUUGGAUCAGUCACACCGGGCGAUCACUCUCCUGGAGAGCUCUUAUGGCUCUCAUGUGAUAACUAACUCGCCUUUCUCAGAAUCUUCUGAAUCGGGAUCCGUGGUUGUGUAUGUUGGCAGUAGAACUUCUUCAUUGUAUUUGUGACUUGGCUCUGUGAAAGCUCCCGUUGACAUUCUAACACAUUGGCAUUCUAAUCUUUGAUUAUUUCUUAAGAAAUUCGACCCGGAAGGCUUUUUAGCUGAACAUAAGGAGUGGUGUGCGGACCCACAGGCAGUUACCAAUAUAUCAUUAGAUUAGUUAAUUCCCACGCGCCAAACAGGCGUCACCACACUGCCUCCCAAAGGCUUCUUUUAGGCUUCCCCGCCACAUCACACGCUUGCUUGCUUUUGCUAAUCCGAUCCAGAAAAAACAAACAUUCUCCCACGUGCUUCAGGCCUUGCAAUAGCAGUAGAUGCUACAGACGUGGUGUCAUUAUCCGUGAUUCCUCAAUCGAUCAGAAGAAAGGGAAUAUAACCUGCCCCUCAUUGUCCAGGUUUUCUUUGAACAACACCGGUCGGACAAGAAAAAAGGUUUUCACCAUCGUCUUUGCGCUUUGCUGGAACUAUGUAAGGUUUACGCUUGUGACUUCAUGAGAUAGUGAUUGUCAACAUCCCACACAACUCUCACUCUCACUCUGGCAAAAGGAAAUGAAUGUAUCUACUCCUUCAAACAGCAGGAAAGCAGACACGCAUCCUACCCGCAUCAAGGCCUCUGCCCUCUUGUAUCAUUAAUAAAGGGAAGAUGAUUUUAGCCGAGGUGAUCGGACUAACACUGAGUGCAUUUGUCCCGGCUAGGCUUAUUACGUUCUUAGUGUUCUAAAGUGGGACAGGUGCUAGCUCUAGUAACCAUUCUCCAUUGAUUGGAAAGGGCUUAGUUAGGCAUUUAUGAAACUAAGAAAGCAUCACUCUGGCUUAGAGUCACCAACCAUCGAACCAUCUCCAGGUCAGAGUCACCCACCAGGAAGGCAUAGAGGCAAGACAAAAAGUAAAGACAGCAGGAAUCGAACUUAGGAAUAGUAAAAUGAUGAUUCAAAGCGCUACCGGGAUGCAGCUCUUGUUCGAGGUAGGUUAGUAGCUCUAGCCAGAAGUAGAAAAGCAUUAGUUGGUGGUAGCCCUUAGGAACACGAGGAGGCUGAUGUAGUGAAACUGGAUGAGCAAUGACGAGGCCCUUUCACGCUAUCGCCCUGGAUUGUUCACCUAGUUCAGAGAACACUCAGGUUGCUUAGAAAGCGUAGCGUUAGGAGACACCAGGGUGUUAGCAUUCAAGAAUGAGAUCACACCAGUGGUACCAGAAGCUCCAAAGACUGUUGAAAACAAAGGGAGUGGACAGACAAAGAAGAGAAAGAAACAAGAACCUAGUCGUCGAGCCAGUACAAAGCCCUAAGUGAUCUGCUCUACAAGAGUAUAUUAACUCAUGUUCGGAGUAUGAACAGGGAAACCCGAUACCUACUACCUUAGAAGAAAGAAUUCUGGAAGAAAUGAAGAAGAGUUGUUCGACAGCGAUCCUGACCUAUCAAUUCAUGAAAUUGGAGUUUGAUGUUGUGUUCUAAACGAAAUCUUCAGAGAAAUGGAAGACAGGCAGAGUAUAGAUUAGUUCAUCUCUCCACUCAAUGAAUUCCACAUUCAUAUCCAAUCUCAUUUCAUUAGCAAAAGAUACCGCUACGCUCUAAAUUGCUCUAUUGACUUCGGAUAGACGUGAUCGAAACCAAUAUGCUUGGUUAGUUCAUGCUUGACUGGAUCAUUGGCAAUCUGAAUAGGAUUCAGAGUCUCCUGUACUGCCUUCAUUCACUGCCAAGCUCUAGUAAAUAUCUGAGUGAGUAAGUUAUGGAUCGUGGGAUUUUCCAUCUCCUGCUUACGGCAAUAUCUGCUUCUUUUUAGCUGAAGACAAGGUCCCCUCCUAUAAGGUAUUUUGUAGUUGGUGGGAGCGCUUUGGCGAGAGAAGUGAUAGCUAUGGCUUAACAAGCAUCAACUGUUCGCACAAGUGCUGGUAUCUUUAUGUGUCCCGUGAGAAAGAGAAAUAAGUGGAUGGUAUCGAUCGAGGCAAGUAAUAAAACAUGCUGGGAAAACUGGAACUGACGGAUGCAGAAAAGAAGGUACUCGUGAUGGACGAUCUUGACGAUGACAAUGGCACAUCUCAGUCGUCGGCUGUGUGUCAAGUCCAUCAAUUCCAAAGGAGUGGUUUGUUUGCUUCACUUCACUUUACGAUACUGUUCCAUUGCUUCUGUGCAGUAAGAAGUCGGCAAUGGGGAUUUCGGAUAGGUAGGUUCAGUCAACCCAAGAGAACUGUUGGGGUGAUGAGCUAAUGGGUAUAGAUAUUUUUUGCAGGUUGGAUACCGUUGAGGUCAGUGCAGGUAUAAGAAAGGCUGAGAGACGAGAAAACGGCUGUCCCGUGGCUAUCGAAUUAAGAAUGAUAACAGGACUUGUAGGUUCUCGUGCAAUUUUGGAUCAUGUGAAAAAACCAGGUCACUUGACUCAGUCUGUCACUUUCAAGCCGUUGCACAAGCACUUAUUAAAUUGAAAUAGGGGCAUCCAUUUUCGAGCUCUAUCGCACUUUCCACACCUGUUGUGUACAAUCAUCCAUACAUAAGUAUAACAAAAGAUUCGGAUCCGGAAACCAAAACAAGACAUAGUUGGAUAGGUUCCGUGCCCUGGUCCAGGGAUAUUGCUAGGACCAAUAAUAGGAAUAUCAUUUCAAUAGCGCUAGGAAGAAGCCCCGUGGGGCGUAGCAGUUGGUGGGGAAUAAAAAAGCGCUGGAAGAUAAAUUAUCAUGCGUAAAAGCCUGGAAACAUAAGCAGUUUUCUGAAUAGGAGUAGAUAUUUAGUCUUCACCUGAUAGGGGGUCAUAUUUACUAUGAAGACGAAUAUAUCGUACGCGUUUUGUAAGGAGCAACCAUUCAUACUGAAAAGAGUGAUUUGUUUUUGAAGUAUAUCAAAUUCAGAGGAAAAAGAUGGAAGAAUAUGACAAGAUUGUUGAUAGAUCCCCUCUACAUCGUAACCAAGAGGACCAAGUGCAAACCUCUGUCUCUUUUCCUCACCGGGUGGAAAGGUUAUUCUUUGCCAGUAGUGACCUCUGUAGGAAGAAUCGUAAAUGCCGGAGGACGCGUUCAACAUGAAUUGUCACUGUGGAAUGAAAUCACCUCUCGAAUCGAGCAAGAAAUGACUAUUUAUUUGAUAAUAGUGACUUAUCACAAAAACAACCAAGGGUCCAUCCAUCGAUUCACAGAUUGGCCUGACUCGUAAUUCACUUUUGACUCUGUGUUCGAUAGCCUGACCGUAGUGAUGUUAAUUGUGGUUACAUUCAUAAGUAGCUUGGUCCAUCUUUAUUCCAUUUCAUAUAUGUCUGAGGAUCCGCAUAGCCCUCGAUUUAUGUGUUAUUUAUCCAUUUUUACUUUUUUUAUGCUAAUGUUGGUGACUGGAGAUAACUUUCUUCAAUAAAGUAAAACGAACAGGCACUUUCACGCCAUUUUCACGUGAUGCACAUAUCCUAUUAUAAAAAAGUAGGACACAUAAUGGAGGUCAAGCUAUGUGAUCACCUAACACCUGAGAAGUGCAUUAGAAUCAGAUAGAGCACCAAUAUAUAAGGAUUUUUACAAGGCACCAGCUAAUAUAUUAAUGAUUAUAAACUAAUACUACAAUAAUAUAGUUCGUUAUUAAUUCCUUUUACACUAUAUUUAAGGCGAGUUUAUACUGAAAUUUAUACAAGUAUGACAAGCUAAUGAAUGAAUUAUAAAUAAUCUCCUUACCUCAGCUGAUAUAAUUUCCCGGUAAUUUUAGUAUUACCCCGCCGUUCUUGAAAACGCGUUCCCUGAGGUCGGACUCUUGCUGCUUGAUUCAAAACCAGAUUCAAUAGCAACAACAUAUUGAUGAUGGUGCCUGAACUACCUAUUCUAUUACCUUUUGGGAAGCCCCAAAGCCACAUCAAGCCCUAUGCUAUGGGUCAAGGUACUCUCGAGACCGUCUGGAUUGAAGACUAUCAAGCACCGUAGGUGGUACCAGCAUUCCCUGUCGAUAGGGCAUUCCAAUCUCUGGGUAGCUGCCCGCCCUACUUCAUUCCUAUCUCCUUUGGCGUCAGCCCCAUGUACCCCCUUAAACUAACCACUUGAAUUGAUCAGGAUUUGUUAGGUUGAGUGCAUUUUCUUCCAAAUCCAGUCAAUUUCAAGAAAAGUAUCGAAAAAUCCCGGGGUUAGGCACCUUUUUUCAGUGAAAUCUUGUUUUUUCCCGCAUUAAUUAGUUAUGGGAGAAUCCUUGCUUCCUCAAUGCUCUUGCCUUCGCGGUCCUAUUAAAAGAGACACAAGAGGUUUUAGCACUGGCAUCUUUGGAUCAAAAGAUCAUUGCAUCCUAGAACCAACACGACGACUUCUCCUUGCCCGAUUUGAAAUGGUGAUGAAUAUGAAAUCCAGGAAUAUAUAUGGACAGAUGAAUUACGCGUCAUGGAAUCCGGAUCAUUAAACAGGUAGUGUAGACAGUUGUCUAAUUGUGAUCUUCUUAUAUCCCCACGAACUGUUCAGCUUGAUAGACCCAAGGGGAAAUAGAAUCUCGAAAGGACCUUUCUUGUCCGUAGCCCCGUUGGAAUCGAGGGCUUGAUAUCUCAUUGGCAUGACUAAUUGAUGAGGCCAACUAAGUAGUACUCAUGAGGUCUUUGAUUUCUUGUUAGUCUAUAUCUUUCUCUUUAAUAGUAUGGUAUCCAGGUUCACCUAUUUUUUUCCGUUGUUGCUCUUCAGAAAACGCGUAUAGUAAGUAGUCUUCGUCGAUGGGACAAACGCUCCAGUGUAUGCGUUACGAGGCAACUAGCAUUUUGUCAUGGAAGUUCGUGAAAGAAUGUUCUUGUUUUUCGUUGGAAAAACCAACGCUGAUCUAAAACUAAGUCUUCCUUUCUCUUUUCGGGAGCAGAGUUGAAAAAGAUGGGAAAUUCCAAUGAUUCUUCGUUCAUUAUCAUGUCGAUUCCUCACAAUCACUCUUUGUGAUGCUGCGGAACCAUGGCAAUUAGGAUCUCAAGACGCAGCAACACCUAUGAUGCAAGGAAUCAUUGACUUACAUCACGAUAUCUUUUUCUUCCUCAUUCUUAUUUUGGUUUUCAUAUCACGGAUGUUGGUUCGCGCUUUAUGGCAUUUCAACGAGCAAACUAAUCCAAUCCCACAAAGGAUUGUUCAUGGAACUACUAUUGAAAUUAUUUGGACCAUAUUUCCAAGUGUCAUUCUUUUGUUCAUUGCUAUACCAUUGUUUGCUCUAUUAUACUCAAUGGACGGGGUAUUAGUAGAUCCAGCCAUUACUAUCAAAGCUAUUGGACAUCAAUGGUAUCGGAGUGCUUCAGUAGAGUCCCCACUCGCCAACCGCGAUGUCUUGGUUGAGAGGCCCCACCUACCCAUCUUCCCACAGUUUCACUGAGGUAGUACCAUCCCCAAUUCGCUAAUUCUUCUGUAGAUGUACUAAGAAAUUGUUUGAGUCCCUAAACCUGAGUAAGCCUUUCUAGAUGAUGCAUUUCCCUUCUUAUCUAUCAAUGUAUUCAUCUGAGGCCACAGGCAGGUAUAUAUCUACGAGUGGUUUAUAUAAAGGAGGGUCCUGAUAAGAAUGUUGUUCGGAAAAGGCGAAACAAGUUGUGUUGACUGAAGCUCAGAAUACAUUCUUGCACCACUCCUUUCGAACACACAUACCCUUUCUUCUCACAAAUGUGAAAUUCCGGAACUCUGUGUGUAAUUGUUGCAACAACGAUAGGGACUCUGCCGAGAGCUCCCCGGUAGGUUCUAGUCUCUCUUUAUACUGCGACUGGAGCAAGGCGUAAUGGGCUGUGUUGUAUGUUGAUCAAGGAGGUGCUGCAUUGGCUGUAGCUGCAAGAUUUCUUGAGACAGAAAUUAUGCCAUUAUUGCUUCUGUCAUUUAAAAGCUUGAGUCGGUUCUAUCUAGCUAAGUUAUUCAAUAAAGUAGAUCAAAGUGUGUGAUGCUUGUGAGUUUGGCAACUACUAUAUACGAUAUUUAUAGAAAAAGAAAUAAGGAAAAUAGGAGUAAGCGAGUAGGUCAACAAGAUUCUAAACGAAUACCACAAGUGACGAAACAGACGGUGAUGAAGAGAUAAGGGGCGAAGUUUGGUUCGCUAGCAGGUAUUUGUUUAGUCAUUCAGAUAGUGACUGGCGUUUUUUAGCUAUGCAUCACACACCUCAUGUGGAUCGGCUGUGAGAAUGAUUUCUCGUACGUAGUCUUUCCUAGGACCAUUCCAACUGGAUGCUCAGAGGUGGGUGGAGAAAAAGCUCAAAAGGCAUACUUCCUGCGCUUUUAGAGGAUCUAAAUCAGUCUUCACGCUUUCGCUUUUCAAAGCCCCUCGCAAUAAAUAUGUAAAUUCAUUUCGCAGAAAUUCAGAGAUUUCCGAUCUCUUCGAAAGAAAAUGAGUUCGAUCAGCAACACCGGUCUCCGCAGCACUAGGAUAAAUGUAAGACUAGAAUAUUAGGGCAACUGCUCGACACCCUUGGGGGUGCGGCUAUCUCAUUAUAUAUAAGUACCAAAGGGUACAAGUACAAGUACAACACGUAUACACAAGUCUACGUAUCCAUAUACAGUCUAACACCCUCCCUCAAUCUUAACUGUGGCCUGAAGUACAAACUAAGUUAAGAUUGCACCUGCAGCCUACAAACUAUGGUUGUGGAAGAGGCUUCGUAAAGAUGUCAGCAAGUUGAUCCUUUGAUGAUAUGAACUUGAUGCUAAGCAGCUUUUGUGCAACACGCUCUCGAACAAAGUGAUAGUCAACCUCAAUAUGUUUUGUUCGAGCAUGAAACACUGGGUUAGAUGAUAAGUAUGUAGCACCAAUGUUAUCACACCAAAGCACUGGAGAGUGAACUGAAGGAACUCGCAACUCCCUCAGCAAGGACUGAACCCAAAUGAUCUCAGCUGUCGCAUCAGCAACUGCUUUGUACUCGGCUUCUGUGCUGCUGCGAGACACCGUAGCCUGCUUGCGAGCAUUCCAGGCAAUCAAGUUGGGACCAAGAAACACUGCAUACCCCCCCNNNNNNNNNNNNNNNNNNNNNNNNNNNNNNNNNNNNNNNNNNNNNNNNNNNNNNNNNNNNNNNNNNNNNNNNNNNNNNNNNNNNNNNNNNNNNNNNNNNNNNNNNNNNGGAUCGCCGGUCAUUAGGACUACCAGCCCAGUCAGCAUCAGAGAAGGCCGAGAUCUCAUAAGACGGCGCACGCUGGAGAAGCAAACCAUGAGAUGCAGUGAGGCAUAUAUAUCGCAGAAUGCGCUUCACAGCAGAACAAUGGGAUGUCGUGGGCGCAUGAAGAAACUGACAGACACGAUUAACUGCAUAAGAGACAUCUGGUCUGGUGAUAGUAAGAUACUGCAGGCCUCCAACAAGACUGCGGUACUCAGUGGCAUCAUCAGAGGAGAGAGGGUCACCAUCAAAAGCAGACAACCGAACAGUGGCAGACAUAGGAGUAGCGACAGGUUUACACUGCAGCAUACCAGCACGACGCAACAAAUCCAGAGCGUAUUUCUUCUGAGUCAGAGUGACUCCAGCAGAAGACCGUGACACCUCCAGACCAAGGAAGAAGUGCAGAGCACCGAGAUCCUUAACAACAAAAUCACCACUCAAUGCAGCCACAAGGCGGUCUGCCGCAGCAUCUGAGGAACUGAUGAGAAUAAUAUCAUCAACAUAGACCAGUAAAUACAUCGUAACCUCAGGGCGUUGAAGAAGGAACAGUGAUGUGUCAGCAGUAGAAGGAAUGAACCCAAGUGCUCACAAAACCGAACCAAGACGUGCAUGCCAGGCACGGGUAGCCUGCUUAAGACCAUAGAGCGCCUUAAAAAGACGACAGAGAUGAUUAGGACAUGCAGGAUCCACAAACCCUGGUGGCUGACGCAUAUAAACCUCCUCCUCCAGAACUCCAUGCAAAAAAGCGUUCUGCACAUCAAGCUGACGGAGAAACCAUCCUCGAGUAACAGCAAGGGAUAGUAGCAGACGAAUGGCCGUAGGCUUGAUAACUGGACUGAACGUGUCUUCAUAGUCAAGACCAUACCUCUGUUUGAAGCCCUUAGCCACUAACCUUGCCUUGUAACGCUCAAUGGAGCCAUCAGCAUGCCGUUUAACUUUAAACACCCACUUAGAGUCAAUGAUAUUGACCCCAGACACUGGAGGAACAAGCUGCCAGGUGUCAUUCUUCAGCAAUGCUUGAAACUCAUGUUCCAUCGUGGCACGCCAGUGGGGAAUGCCUAGUGCAGCCUGAAAGUCGCGAGGCUCGGCAGUGGGAUCCGCAGCAGCAUGAGCCAUGCACGCGGCGAGCCACGCAACAGUCCCAUCGGUCCGGAUCUUAGGCUGAAAGACACCGGUCUGACUGCGCGUGCGAUGUCGAGGAGCAAUAGGUUGUGGUGACGACGCAGGGCAUGAUGCAGGCGACGAAGAAGGCGACCCCGAGUCGCCAGGGCUUGCACCGGAGCCACUGGGCGUCGGGGAGGCGGGCGGUGUGGCGCCCGACACGGCCACGUCGCCCAGGCCCACGCCGGAGCCGCUGAGUGCCGAAGAAGCAGACGAGCCUGGGGUGGCCGGCCCAUCGGGAGCCGAAGCCGGCCCAGGUGAGCCUGGCGUGGCUAGCCCAGGAGCAACCUCCUGCGAGGCCAUCUCGGGCAACUCCCACGAGGCGGGCGAGGACACCGCUCGCGGAGCGGGGUCGGGCGAUGCCCGUGAGGCAGCCGCGGGCGCAGCUCUUGCGGGUUGCAGUGUGCCGCCCGAUAUGCAUGCCCCAUGCACACGAUCGUCCUCCAGACGCGCCGGUGCUUGUUCUUCAAGGAGCUCGAGAUGAGCGCCACGGCCAACACCUGCAGCAUGGUUAGGGAGCAACACAGGAGCAUAUGCAACAUCCACAAAUUGAUCAGGCAGAGGUGUGGUAGAAGAAGCGUCUGGCAUAAGAGUGAUAGAGGUAUUCGGAAGUGCACGAAAGGGAAACACAUUCUCAUCAAAAACAACGUCACGAGAAAUGUAAACGCGAUUGGUGGGAACAUGUAGGCAUUUGUACCCUUUGUGAAGGGAACUAUACCCAAGAAAAACACACUUUUUCGACCGAAACUCUAGCUUAUGUUUAUUAUAUGGACGCAAAUGAGGCCAACAGGCACACCCGAAGACUUUGAGAAAGGUGUAGUCUGGGAUUUCAUUGAGCAAGAGUUCAAGUGGGGUUUUCAUAUUCAGUAGUCGUGAAGGAAGCCUAUUGAUCAAAAAACAGGCAGUGGAGAAAGCAUCACUCCAGAACCUAAACGGUACGGAGGCAUGAGCUAACAAAGUGAUGCCAGUUUCUACAAGGUGACGAUGCUUACGUUCGGCAGUCCCAUUCUGCUGAUGCGUAUGGGGGCAAGACACACGGUGUGUAAUCCCAAGCUUGUUAAAGAAUGAGUUGAGGUUGUGGUAUUCACCCCCCCCCCCAGUCGCUUUGGACAUGAAUAAUUUUCUGGCGAAGGAGACGCUCAACAUGUGCUUGAAACUAGAUAAACACAUCAAACACAUCAGAUUUUUUCUUAAUAAGAUAGAGCCAGGUAAACCGACUGUAAGCAUCAAUGAAACUGACAUAAUAAUUAUGGCCACUAACAGACGUUUGGGCAUGACCCCAUACAUCGGAAAAAAUGAGCUCAAGAGGAUGUUUCACAACAUGACUAGACUCUGAAAACGGGAGUUGGUGACUCUUGCCCUGCUGACAGGCAUCACAAAUAGUUUCAGCAGUUUUAUUUGACACAACUAGUAGCUCAUGACGAUGCAGCACAUGACGGACUAUGGGAGCGGCAGGAUGACCAAGUCGCGCGUGCCAAUGUGUAGGCGAGACACGAACACCACUGAACGCCUGAGAAGAAAACUGCAUGGGAGGUGCGGUUGGCGCGUCAAGUCCAUACAAGCCACGGCGAAGACGACCACUAAGCAGAACGGCCCUCGUGUCCCGAUCCUUGAUAAAGAAACGAAAAGGGUGAAAUUCAGCAAGGACAUUAUUGUCACGAGUAAGUUGUGGAACAGACAACAAACUACGCGAAGCGGUGGGAAUACGAAGGAUGUUAGACAAAUGCAGUUUUCGUGAAUUGUGUGCAAGAAGGGAUGCCUGACCAAUAUGGGAGAUGCGCAUACCUUCUCCGUUAGCGGUGUGCACCUGAUCAUGACUGCGAUAUGGCUCCUGGACCGGGAGCUUGCUCAUGUCGUUGGUCAGGUGGUUGGUAGCUCCCGUGUCCAUGUACCACGAGGGAUCAAUCGAGUAGGAUGGAGUGCGCCCGUGCUCAUCACCCACCACCGCAGCGGCCGCCUGUUUUUCAUUCCCCUUGCCAUUGUUGUCGAGGCCAAGGAAAUCUUUCUUGUAGUGGCGAUGACAGCGAGAAGCUACGUGGCGCUCAAUCCCACACAGCUGGCACGCCUGCUGAGCACCACAACUGGGGCAGCAAGCCACCGGCCGCGAUCCCCCUGUGAUGGACGGCGCGGCGCCUCGUGAGGGCUGAGAUGUGACCGCCGGCUUGGCAGGGAGCGAUGGCUUCUGCGAUUUGCCACGGGUUGCGGCGUUAGCAGAGGCAAAACUCGGAGUAGAUCAACGCGCUUUGAUGCGCUGUUCGCGACCAAGGAGCCGCGCAUACAGUUCCCGUGGCGGGAGAGGCGCCUCGCGCCCAUGGACGUUCUCAAUGAGAUUGUCAUAGUCAUCAUCGAGGCCAUUGAGCACAUGAGUGGUGAAGUCCUCAUCUCCAAGGGGCUGGCCAAUGGAGGCCAGUGUGUCUGCAAGUCCUGACAUCUUGUUGAAGUACUCCGUGAUGGUGAGUCCUCCAAGCUUGGUCUCCCCCAACUCAGUGCGGAUAGAGUGAGCACGCGCCUGAGACUGAGAGGCAAAACUGCUGUGAAGUGCAGACCAAGCCUCCCAGGAUGUCGUGGCAAAGAUGACAAGCGACGACACGCUCGAGGUCAGCGAGGACUGGAUGGCCGAAAGUAUCGCCUAGUCUUGGGCCACCCACACAUGAUGAGCCGGGUGAUACGGCGGCGGACACGGGAUAGAGCCAUCAACAUAGCCCUCCAAGUAGCGACUCCGUAGGAGAGGUAGCACCUGCGCCCGCCAGGAUAGGUAGUUGUCCGGUGUAAGCUUCACCGGAAGAAGAUGCGAGAAGUAGAACGGCGAUGGCGCCGGAGCAUAACCCGCAUGGGGACCCAUGUUCUGCCCAUCAUGGGGAGCGAGGGCCAAGGACGCCUCGUAGCCAGGACCGGAAGGGGCACCGACCGGACCAGGCGUGGCCACCGAAGACACGGCGGGCGCGGCAUCAUAGGUCGCGCCAUAGGGUGACGGCGCUAUCUGUGACGGCGGAGGCAUCGGCCAGGUAGAAGGCAUCGGUGGCGCGGCGCCGUAGGUUGGUGCAGGGGCGCUGUACCACGGAGCGUAGGUCGGGGUAGCGCCAUAGUAGGGCGGAGGGGCUCCGUAGGGUUGGGGAGCCGCCCCGUAGGCGGACGGUGCAGCGCCGCGAGAGGGUGGCGGCGCGAAGGCGAAGGUCGAGGGCGGGGCGCCACCAGUGGCGAUCGGCGGCUGGGGCAGGCUCGGCCCGCCCUGCUCCUGCCCGCCCUACCCGCCCUGCAGAUGGCUUUCGGCGGGCAGGGACGGCUGCCGCCAAGCCGUGGCGAGCGGGGGGGAUGCGAGGAAGGGCGACAAGGGAGCGACGGGCGCGCCAGCAGGUGAGGAAGCCGAGGCGAUGGCGGAGUGCGCGGAGGCCAUCGGGCUAGGCGGCGGCAGCGAUCGGCGGAGGCGGCAGCAGCAGCAAGGGGUGCAGCAGAAGACGGGAACCCUAGUCUGAUACCAUGUAAGACUAGAAUAUUAGGGCAACUGCUCGACACCCUUGGGGGGUGCGGCUAUCUCAUUAUAUAUAAGUACCAAAGGGUACAAGUACAAGUACAACACGUAUACACAAGUCUACGUAUCCAUAUACAGUCUAACAAUAAAGACCUUCUUUUUACCCAUAACCUUUCUCUACAACAUUGGAACCAAGAUCGGGCUUGGCAUAGUUACGAGGUUCCCGUUCUAUUUAACUAACACUAACUGAAGCUAACCAGAAGCUUUCUUGUCAUGCGACUCUUGGAUCGAAAAGAGGCUGUUGGACUGGACCACGGCUGAAACUGCCAGGCAUGGACUAAAAGCUUUUAUUAGGGAUUCCCGAGUCAAACGACUACCAUACAUAGCAUAGAGCUGGAAGCUGCACUAGUGUACAAAGAAGACUGGAUGUGAACACGGGCGGACAUUGGCUAUGUAUGGGGCACUCACUAAUCACUAUUAGCAGGAAACAACUAGCAGAAAGAAAGAUGAAUGCACUUUGACUCCUUGCUCUUCAGCACAUACUCACACGAGGGACUCUCAAAUCUCUAUUUCAGACCAUAAUCUUUCGAUCCCUUUACCGAAGUGAUUGAUAGAAGGGCUCCAAAAUCAUAGGGCUUCUUCUAUUUUUAGUGUGAACUCACUUCUAUUCUAUAUCAAGAUAGGGGCUUUAGUACUUGGCUGACCGCCCGGUGGAAGACCUGGUUCUACCACACAAGGGCAGCUUUCCUAGUCCAGGAUUAUUUUCCUCAUAUGUAAUUUCACCUCAAUGUGGAAAUGUCUGAUCUUAUUCCAAAAUAGAAGGACUUCAUGAAGGUCUGCCUUGUUUCAGGAAUAUAGGUACCGAAGUUCAAUAGAGGUAGGUACCAAGGAGAAGACGAGUCAGGGCCGAUUGACAAGACUAGCUAGGCUGACCUUCCAGCCAUACUCCAUCCAAUAUCGAACGGAAGUGCUAAAGGUUUCAUGUGAUGCUGACCUCAAUGAACCAGACCUCGAGAAUUCGUUCAUCCCUUUGCUCCGAGGAUUGGUCGAGUACUUGGCCACAUGCAUGAGUAGGCCUGUUGCCGGGAUGUCCCAUUAAAAAGGCAGGUCCCAUAUUUGAAAUACAAAAAUAAGAUCAGAUAGCGUUCAAGAGGUUUUUCUCCAUACAAGAAAUCCUUCACUCGCAGGGAAUUCAAAUAGAUGUGUUGAAGAUCAUCAAAGAAAGGAAAAAGACUGAAUUCGAUCCAUCUCCUCCCUUUUCUUUAAACCAAGAGCUACUCCUCCCUUUUCUUUUUUUAUGUAAUUUCAAUACGAUUUCGUUUGUGUUCAUGUUUUCAAUUUAGAACCCCACGGAAGUGAAUAGAAAAAAGCAAAAUACCCCUGUGAUACGCCUUCCUUUACCUAUUUCUAGAUUGAUUGAUGUUCAAUGGAGGGAAACUUGCCAUUCCUUCUUUCCUUUGAAAUUGUACAUUUUUUUUAUUAUGAACUAAUUGUAUCCUUUUUGUUCCCAUCGAGCUUUCUUGCCUUGUGACUAAGGAUUUUCACACUUGUUGUGUCUAUAAAAGAUUUUCUCAUAAAACACUAACAGAAGUGUUAGAGGGAUUCACUUUCUAUAAGAAUCCAAAAGCAAGUUCCUUAUACUACCUUCUUUCCCUCCUUUGUUUCUGUCUUUAAGAGGCAGUGCAUCUGGUAGGAAUCGAACCUACUUUUUGACCCAUUUUGCCUUUCUAGGUUGGUGGGCGCUUUCACCAUUCAGCCAUGGAUGCUUUAGCGAGUGAACUAGGUUUUUAUUUGAGAGAGAACUAGGUUUUUAGUGGUAUUCCUUCUUGAGCUUCUAUUUCUUCCGUUAAGGGAGAUUCGGGAAAAGAUGGAAUAGGAAGACGUGUUUCCAGAACGAACAAGAUACGGGUAGAGAAGGGGAAGUUAGCAAAGUUAGACAAGAUUGGAAUGGGCAUAGGAACAUGUAUUGAUGUACCAGAUCAGCUAAUGCUCCCAGGUUGAUGCGAUGUAUUCCACCAGUUGACUGGAGACUUUUUUUUGAUUCAGAUUAACUCAUAACUAUAAGAAGAGUGUGGGAUGGAGGAAUGGAUUACGGAAGGAGACAGAUUCCUUAUAAAAUGGAUUAAGGUGGGUUUCGGAGAUUCUACUGAGUUCGUGGACAUAUUAGAUUAGAUACUUACUACCUACACUUGCUUUUUUUUGAUUCAGGGGAAAAGUUUGGUUAGUUGAUCAACUACGAGUAGCCAAAAGCGGCUAUUAGGAUUAUGGAUCUGAUUUAGACACUUCUCAAUCCAUCGCGUUCGCAGGUCUAGUUCGAUACCAUCCAGAUCCCACUCAAAGAUGGAGCGUUUGUUGUCAGUUUGUUCUUCCAGGGUCGAAAAACGUUGACCAUUUAUCAUAUCCUUCUUGUACAGUCAUCCACAUAACUCUGGUCAUAGGACCUAGUCAUAAGUUUCUACUCUAAGUCCAUCUACUUCUAUUUCUCAUACUGAACAGAACCAUAGAUUUAUUCUUGUGUAAACUGCGUACGUGAUCUAAUUAUAAGUGUAAUAAACUCUGUACGUGAUCUAGUUAUAUAUGAUAAUAGUGGUUAGCGGUGGCGCCAUGGGCGAGUAGAGGAAAGAGAGUGCUACUUUGACAUUUUCAUUAACAAUAUAUCAUAAUAAGCUUUGCUGAGGCAUCCCAACCUGUAAGGUGUUCCCUAGUGAACUGAAUUUCUAGGAACAUCAAUAGAAAAAUGACUGUGCACUCUAAUUUGGUAGAUAAAUAUAUUACAACAUUGUUUAGCUGUCUAUACUGUGACUCUGCAUUCAAAUAGGGGUCAAAAUGCUUGGUGUCCAACCAGAUAUCCAAAGGGAAUAGUCAGUAUUAGUUUACCAUUUUCUAGUACAUAUUUCUAAACCAAUUGCAUCUCUGCUAACUCUGAAAUUACUUGAAUCAGUAUUGCUAUGAGAUCCCCUCUCCAGUACUGCAUGUUCCCUUGCCACUCCAGUUGGUUUACUCCCAGAGACAUGAUUAGUACCACCAGAGCUUGAAUCAAUCAUUCCAUCCCCAACUCCUACAUCAGAAACAACAGUGAGAAAAAACUCUUCCAUUCUAUCUAUGGUAGAUAAAGGAGCUUCAAAGCCGUAGCCAUCCUCAUGGCCUUUUCACCCUACAGCCGUUGCACUUUUUUUAUUAAAUGAAAUAGUUCAUUUUCUCGCUCUUAACUCGAAAGUACUAACUAAAUAGGGCCACCGAGAAAUAAAGAAGUGUGGGGGAGAAGCAGCCAAGCUCAUUCCCUUCCAUUCCUGCUCUAUAGUAGGGGUUAUGUCCCCCUUUCCUAGUAAGAGCAAUACGCAAUGCUGCUACGAAUAGAGAUAGUGCCCUAUCCACUACAAAACGGUACUCUGCUUCAACCACACGGUAUGGAUCCCUCAUUUCAAACCAAGCUGUAGACCGAGUAGGAAACAACUAAAGGUUCCGGUCCAAAGGUAAGAAGAUCCGUUGGUUGGAAAUCCGUAUCAAUUGUUACUGGUUCUCCCUUUCUUGGUACUGUGUCAUGUGACUCUAAAGCCCCAACUAGGCUAGAUCGAGAUCUUGGUCCUUGCUAGGCUUAUUCGCGUAAAUAACCCCCAUGUCUUAGGUGUUCUCGGGGGUAAGCGAGUCAGUACAAUCGGUUGCACAACCGUCCAGUCCAUAUCAUAAUUGUCAUAAUCAAUCAUAUCAGUAGGUGGCAUACUUGCCUGCUCAAGUCCAUCUACUAUGGAUGUGGGCUUGGACCAAGCCAUCCCCAAACACUGAACCGGAUCUUGAAAAUGGGACUGAACUGAAUCCGACUUCUUGGUAGCCCAGUGGCUUUUGGUCCCCAUCGGAAAGUGCUGAAUGGAUUGCUCCUUGCCCAGUGACAAAAAGAAAGAAAUUUAGGAGAGGAUUGAUAGGUUUAAGCAUUCAGGGCUGGUCGCUCUUAUGGAUACCUGUGAGCUAGAGUCGGGAAUCGAAAAGGAGACAACGGAAGCCGUACAGAUCUAGUUGGGAAUGUUGUUCAUGCAGUGGAGAGCGUAAAUGACCGGCCCUUGAGGCGCGAGUAGACUUAUCAUAUAGAAAGGAAAGAGAUAAGCGGAGGGAGGAUGGUUUGAUGAUAGCCAAGAUCUCCAUCUCAUUUGUCACUCUCGUAUUCUUAAUAGGAAUCGGCAAGCAGAUACAACCACUAGGCCAUUGCCAUUCGACUAGUCUAUCAGAGUAUCCUACGAAGUCAGGUCCAGUAGGCGCAGGAUGUGCUAAGCCAUUCGAUCUUCCUGCUGGUGGUCCACCAUAGAGCUCCUAUGUAACCGUUUGUUUUCUCGCUUAACUAAUUUGUAUGAGGCGAUACAGCUGAGAUGAGCCAACGGUUCGAGCACUUAGCACAAUGUGCCACUUAACCGGACGAGCGCGAGACCGGGUCUACCUACCUUAUGACAUUUAUGAAAAACGAACGUUCUAUUAAGGGGUUUCCGUCAACAAAGUAACGUUGUGCAAGCUCAUCUGAUCCCUGUUUGGGACUUCUUCUUCAUGUCACGAGCCGGAAUCGAACCGGCGCUUUCCAGAUGCAUGGUCCGGAUAGAUACCUAUCAGAUCACGACUUUGAUUUCUCAUUUCAAGAGGAGACCUCCCUACAUCUGCGGCUGGCGGUCCUGCCGGCCAGCCGACACAAAAUCCAAUUCGAGUUUUCAAUACGGAGCCUGAAAUGGCUUGCUAUUUAUGAUGACGAAGAGCUGGUACAAGCCACCUUCAGGAAUGACCCUGCGAUGAAAGCAAUCUACAUCUACAUGAUUCCAAGAUGGUAAAAGAUAUAAAGUCAAAGUGCUAUGGAACGCAUGGUGAACAACCUACGGGAGCACGGUAAUCCCGACGAGUAGGAUCCAAAGGAACUCAGGCAGAAGUACUGCCUCCUUGAUUGGAUCGCACAUGUCAACUGGCUUUUCAGAGACCUAAAAAGACGAAGCCCCUCUCCUCCCUCUGUAACUAGAGAGGUAGGCAAACCUGAGUUUAGAGCCACCUCGAUUCGGGAUGUCAAAACACCAACCAGAUCGGAAACCUCAUCCUAAACUUACUUCGGAAUAGGUUCGAGAGCUUCCAUUUCAAUGUGUGUUUCCAAAAAUCUUUGGUAUGCCUUUUCCUGGUCAAAAGGUUUGUUUGGGAAAGCUUCUAAAUCUAGGGUUCAAUGUCUCCGAAAAACCCCCUGGGGCAGGAUAGUAAAGAGCUGAUUCUAGGGAAAGCUAGGAUUUCACUUUUCUCUCAGCCAUCGAGUUGGAGUAGUUAACCUUCUAUAUGCACAAAUAUAUUAGGGACCAGCUAAUUGUGAACAGCCCCCUUAAUAUUGCUAGGCUUUGAAAUAAUAGGUUUAGAGGGUUGUUGAUUGUUCUUCAAUCUAAGGUAUUAGACUACCUAUUAAAGGGUCAUCGAAAUGACACUAAAGACUAAAGCUAGAACAUCUAUAGUGACAGGCGAGGGCGAAUCGUAACUAGAAGAAGGCCUCUGAACUGCUUCAAAUCAAGAAAUUGUGGGGAGCUUUUGGUCAAGUCUUGGAAGGGACUCCCAUCCCAGAGUGUGAAAGCUCUCAGGGGAAGGGAAUCGAUAGCACAACUGGAGCUGCCCUUUCUUUGGUUUAGUAAGAAGCUUCCUGAAAUAUGUCGAUUUGUAGUACGGUCAGUUCACUCGAAUCCACUGACUUCAUGCACGGGGACUCGACCAUCAAUCCUUUCUUGUGACGAGUUGUGACUGGGUGCUCUGAAACCUCCUUAAAAGGAGGGGCGGUGGGGUAAGGUAAUUGAAGUAACUAGCCAGUAUUAAGAUUAGGCAUAAGCAUAAUAAACUAAUGCAUCCGAAGACGGUGAAUCUAGAAUAGAGGCCGGGUGGGGAAGCAAAAUAUGCAAGAGAGCCUUUUUCCGGGAAGGAAGGGACUGCCGAGAACAAUGUCCUUUCUCGUGCCUAAUGCCUAAUGCCUAAGCGGGAGCGCCCCUCUAUCUGCUACUUUACACUACUCCUUGAACGUGUCCUCUCGGCUCUCCUCAAAACUAUUCCGAAGUUUUGAAUUCCAUUUCUAUGGAUAGGAUUAUGUCAUAUAGUUUAUAUAUAGUUAUGUAAAAUUAUAAUAUUUAUCUAAUUAUUAUCAGGAAUAUCCUUGAGGCGGAAAGCUCCAGGUUUAUAAAAUCAGUGAUUUAUCAAUAGGUUGUACUUUUAUGCACUGCUCUCAGGAGAAAGUAAACCUAAAAAAUUAAUAUCUGUAAUAGGUUAUUUUCUGUUUUGAGCUUUGAUAAAUGUGGGGUAGUCUAUUUGGACAUUUCUCGCGGAAUGCUAUUAAUGUUGGGAAAAAACACAGCUCUCAAACUCACCCUCCGGGUGAUUGGUAGAAGCAUUAGUACCUAACGGAGCGGUAUCUAACCAAAAAGGGAGGUGAUGUUCUUUUUAGAAACAGGAUGGAGCAUGGCUUCCUUUCUUCUUAGAUACAUUUCAUUCAUUCCAUUUCUCUAUAGUUUACACCAGAACAUCUUGCUAAUCCUGACAGAUCUCAAAAAGGGUGGGGGCACUAGAACCAAAUCUACAUACACAUCGAAACUUCCUAUCUCAGCCAAGCUAGCACCUUCAUCCCACCAAUGCAUUGUACGACUCUCCACCCCCUUUUCCUCCCUCAUGAAAUCCUAAUUUCCCGCAAUAAAAUUCGAUUUCGUUCAUGUCGGCGGUUGGCAAAACAGCCCUGAGAUUCGGGACUGGUAAAACAUGGGUGCCCAAUUUGCUUCUCCUUGCUCCACCUUAGUGCCCUUAUGAAGGCGGCGAGGAGUCCUUAGCCUUUGAACCAAACUCUAGGGAACUCUGAAUUUCCUGACGUCUCAAUUACAAUGGUGAACUCAGUGACAUACACUGAAAUGGAUUGCAUUUAUUGUUCCAAACAAGGCUGAUAUUAGCAUAAAAGCCCUUCCAUGCAAUUUCUUGCUUCACUCUACAGACGAAAGUGCCGGAUAGUCAAUGGUAACCAGAAGAUCUAUGGUUUUCGAGAGAAUGUAAUUGGAAAAAUGAUUCAUUCCUUUGCUUUCUUUCAGAUAUCUAUUCAAUAAGAUGAUCUGACCUUACCUGAAAACUAGAUUCAUGAAGAAGCCCAAAAAGUGUUGGGCUUAGUGCAGCCCAGUUCCUAGCCAGUGUGGGGUUCUGCCAUGGAUAUUCGGUCCAGAUGACCCUACCCUUCCAGAAUAGUAGAAUUACAUUCAUCGUUCCAGCUGUAAACACAGUUUCUAGUUUGGCUGAAUGAGAGUCAUGCAAUAGGCAUCAGUAGGGAGUGCGAAAGCAAGAGCUAAGUGAUCGGACUAACACAGAGUGCAUUUCUCCCGGGUAAGCUUAUGCUCCUGAUAUCUGAUACCUAUGUUUGCUCCUUAUUUUAUUAAUAAUUGAUCCAAUUUAUACAAAAAAUACGUAGGUUGAAGAAGUUAUCAAGAAAAAUGAUUGGGAUCUUUCAAUAUGCUAUUCUUGAUAUCAUGUUUUUUAUUCUUGAUCCUAUCAAGUAUGGAUUCUAGAUUGUUAGUUGGAGCAUCCUGACCAGUCUAGUUCAUUGUGAUAUGAUCCUGAGGGACUCUUCAAAUACAUGUACGAAGUCACACAGGUCUCCGACAUAACAAAUUGUAUCUGGAUUUGAGUCAGAGCAUUUCCUAUGAUUCCUAGCUCAGAAAUCUUUGCUUUAUUUACUAAAGAUUGGAGCACACAAGCGCACACGUAGUAAUCUGAUUGAGAAAAUGGAUAGUUGCUGCCAUCGAUAUUAAAGAGUCUGUCUAGUGCCAAAAAGGUCCUUCCAAGGCCCGAGCUAUCAAAUUCAUGUGAUACACACUUUGCUCUCUGCGGAUCACACUCAGCUUACUACAACUGAGGGUAGGAUUGGUUGCACAACGCAUGCUAUCCAUUUGUUAUUGGUGAUAGGAAGAUGGCUCAAUCAUUGAACUAGCAUUGAACAACCUACUUCAAAAAAACUUAGAGUUAACCAUCUAAAAAAGUAUAUGUGUUACUAAUAGUACACCAAUUUUUUUUGGAGUUUGCUUUCAGCUGAACAUGUUAUAACUACAAAUGAGGUGAGGCUUGAUUAGGUGGCUUUGCAAGAACUAGGGAGGAACACAAGUUAUGUACUUUAGGCUAAACAUAUGAAUUUAGAAGAUCAACUUUUCCAAUUGGACAUAUAUAUAUAUAUAUAUAUAUAUANNNNNNNNNNNNNNNNNNNNNNNNNNNNNNNNNNNNNNNNNNNNNNNNNNNNNNNNNNNNNNNNNNNNNNNNNNNNNNNNNNNNNNNNNNNNNNNNNNNNNNNNNNNNNNNNNNNNNNNNNNNNNNNNNNNNNNNNNNNNNNNNNNNNNNNNNNNNNNNNNNNNNNNNNNNNNNNNNNNNNNNNNNNNNNNNNNNNNNNNNNNNNNNNNNNNNNNNNNNNNNNNNNNNNNNNNNNNNNNNNNNNNNNNNNNNNNAAUAAUAUUUUCUCUAUGGUGAAGUAAUUUUAUUGAUAACCACUAAAUGAUUAAGUAGCGAUGUAUGCAAAGCUAGACAACGAACAUUUCAUAAUACACUUGUUCUGCAUAUCUUUAGGAUAAAAGAAAAAACUGCGAAAAAUUCGUUUUCCUAAAUAAAUAGAUCAAGAAAUCUAUUUUGUAUGGUUCUUAUUUUGUUGAAAACGUUUCCAUGAAACUUUCUUUCAUUGAAGAAGUCCAUGACUUGUUCUAGGUGAUAUGAGGUUGAACAGGCUUUAGAAAAAAUGCAAAGAAGGGUACAUGAGGGUGGAAUAAAAAUCAAAAGGAUGACCCCUUCUUUCUUCCUGAGCAUUACCGAUAAAUAUUCAUUCUUUAUACACUAUUGUAGUAGCUGAAAUGGCGGGUUCACCUGCUACAUUACAAUACCUCGCUCCUUAUACGGGAGCAGCCCUGGCUGAGUAUUUUAUGUACCGCGAACGGCAUACUUUAAUAAUUUAUGAUGAUCUCUCCAAACAGGCACAAGCUUAUCGCCAAAUGUCCCUUCUAUUAAGUCUCGACCGUGAGGCUUAUCCAGGGGAUGUUUUUUAUUUGCAUUCAUGCCUUUUAGAAAGAGCCGUGAAAUGCAAUUCUCUUUUAGGCGAAGGAAGUAUGACCGCUUUACCAAUAGUUGAGACUCAAUCUGGAGACGUUUCUACCUAUAUUCCUACUAAUGUAAUCUCCAUUACAUAUGGACAAAUAUUCUUAUCUGCGGAUCUAUUCCAUGCCGGAAUUCGACCUGCUAUUAAUGUGGGCAUUUCAGUUUCCAGAGUAGGAUCCGCAGCUCAAAUUAAAGCCAUGAAACAAGUAGCUGGAAAAUCCAAAUUGGAACUAGCUCAAUUCGCAGAGUGACAAGCCUAUUAUUCGCCUCUGCUCUCGAUAAAACAAGUCAGAAUCAAUUGGCAAGGGGUCGACGAUUAAGGGAAUUGCUUAAACAAUCCCAGGCAAAUCCUCUCCCAGUGGAAGAGCAGAUAGCUACUAUUUAUAUGUGAUAAGCAAGUCAGCCAUGUCCUAAAGAAGUAGUGGGAGUGCAUGGUUAUAAAGGAAGGUGCAAGUGUAUUACGGAGCGAAGAAGCUUUAGAGAAAGUUCUACCUCGCGGGUGAAACCAUAGAUUGGAAGGUGUAGGUCACUCACCCGUGUAAACAAAGCGAAAUCAUAGAGCAUAGCUCGUUUGUAAUGCCCCUGUCCGAACUGACCAUAGGAUUUAGGUCGUCCCGACCAGUAACAAAGGAGAAAUUCCCUGUCUUGUUAGGAGUGCCUUUAGUUUGCAGUUGAGUGCAGCCGGAUGGUUCUCUCUGUGUAUUCCUGAAAAAGUGAUUGGAGGUCCGUUGCUCACCUUAAGUCAUUAUCAACCGAAACUCAUAGAGAAAGGGAUCCGCAAAACCCCUCGCCAUUACCGUAUGAGCAGGUUUGAAAGCCUGCAAGUUAAGUUGUUGGCUACUCUUAGCGAUUGAGUGCCAACAUGAGACCUAUUUGUUAGCUUUGAACCGAGAAGGUCCCUCAACCAUAGCGUGAUACGAACCAGUGGCUUCCCUACCGAAACCGAAGAAAUCCUCUGGGCGGGUUCCUUAUGUUUACUUAAUACGGAAUCGAGACCUUGACUUCUUCUUAUCAGACUAAAGAGGGUAACCUCAUGACCCAGGAUACAAGCACUAUUAUCUUCUUAUAAGGGAAGUGAGGUGAUUGUAAGCAAAAGGAGGAGGAAUAGUUUCUCAUGCCGAGAUCAAAAACUCAAGCGCCAUCCGUUUCCUAUUUGAUUUCAGAACAGCGGAAUAUCAUCACCCAUGGUUCACUUGAGCAUGAAUAGAGUUCGGUCUCCUUAUGAAUUCAAGUUGGUAAAGAAGUGGACUUCGGAGCUUUCGCUACAACCCCUCCAAGGCGGGCAACUGUCUCAUUUGACACUAGCACUUAAAUAAAGAAAGGUAGGAAGGGCUCCCUCCCUCUAAUGAAAUGGGCUUCUUUAAAUUAUGCAAUACGUUCACCAGUCUCAGAUCUUUAGAAAAAGUAACCAAUCCUAUUUCGGCACUCUUUAGAGGCUAUCGCUCGUUUACCGCAGAUCUCUAUCCCACAGUUGGCUAAUAAAAUCGCCUUGGCAAUGUGUCAAGUCCUUUCAGUCAGAGUUCAACUCUUCAGCGAAAGUGAAAAUUCUACGGUCUUCCAUCCGCGGAGGUAGCCAUGGACUCCAUAGUAUAUGUUGGUAGCUAGCGUACAGACUUGAUGUGAGGGGGGGUGUUACCUAUUUUAUUCCCUUGCUUGGAUAAAAACACCCAUCUUUCCAUAUGAAAGACACGCAACUAGAGCAACUUGAUAUUACCUAUAUAGACCUGGCCUCCCUCAAUAAUAGUUGGCUCACCCGAUUGACGAUUUUCAAAGAUCUACGCCAAGCGCCUCGAAGCGGGGAUCCACUUUUUACUACUUUAGAAAGUGAGAAGCCUUUGGCUUGAUUUCUUCGGUGGCUUCUUUAUGUUUACCCACGACGCGGCUAUUCAAUAAAAGGAUUGGUAGUUAGUUGCCUCACCCUAUUGGUUGUUGGUUUUCUUUCUCCUCUGUGUUCGUGAAAAGCUAGUAUGCUCGCGGAAAUCGUUUAAAGGAAACUACUCUCUAACUCGCUAACAAGACAGACUUCUUCCUCUGGCUCUGCCAGGCUAUGCUGCUCGCCUAAAUCGGUAUCAAUAACUUCUAUCGUACUUUGACCUCUCAUUGGAAUGAUAAGUUGGCUACAACGAACUAAUAAGUUUCUCUUCUUGUCACCUUCUUUAAGCCUUUCCUUCUGCUUCCAUCGAGAAAUAUAUAUAGAUAAGCUUGGAGAAGCGAUUAAGGUGUUUCCAAUCUUAGGUUGUUCAAUAUGCGAAGACCGUGUCAAUCACUACACCAGUGAUACGAAAAGCAAGCAUUCUUCUCCAGCUGACGUACCGAUGCCUCACUACUACUUAACUAGUGAAAGAUACGUUGGGAUGUUUUCAAUUCUCCAUCAAGAGGCGGGCAACUAUCUCUUUUCACACUAGACUUUGGAUCGCCUUCCUACUGGUUCUCGGUCUUCCCAACUAGGGGAAACCUCAAAGCAAACAACAGAGCAACACCUAUCUUUUUUCUUUAAGCACUGAACAUCCGGAUCCCCUUCCGACUUGCUUUUCCGGGCACUGGUCUUUCGAACAACUGGAACUCAUCUCCCUUUUCCUGAUUCGCAUCUUCUUCGGCUUUUGCUACGGUCUUUCCUUCAGUCAGUCCUUCCUUCAAGAUUUUUGCCUGCGGAUCUCUCUCCUCAAAACAUAUAUAUCUUUCGGCGCUAGUCUUUCCUGCCUUACCUUAACCCCGCUUUCACGUGGCGAAUCGGUAUGAGGUUUCAGUGAUCACUUUACGGUAUUCUUUAAGCUUUCUUGGUCACCGGACAGAGUGAGAACUGCUCAGCUUGCUUUCUUUCCCUAGCACACACUUAGUAGAUAGUAGGCACAGGUCUGCUAAGAGCUCAUCGAACUUGACUUGUAGAGUGAGACCUGUGCUCGAUAUGGUUCAUUUCAGUGCUCUUUCUCUCGGUAUCGUUCACCACAUGCCUGUGAUCGAUCUCUCUCAAGCUAGGUAUCGGUGAAGUCCAUCAUUGAAUUGAAGUGGUAGAGUGGUAAGUGGGCGUACGGUCUAUGUAUUUCCUAUCAGUGGCAUUAGUUCCUUUUCAUUCUCUAGAUAGAUGGGCAGAACAAGCUUCUCUUUAUAUUCUAUUCUAGAAAGGAUCAAUUAGAUUCUCAUCUCCUAUUUGUUUGAGCCAUUCAUUAUAGUGGUGGUGCCGGGAAGGCAGCUUAGCACUCUAGUCCUUUUGAGUAAGGAAUUUUAGCAUGGGCAGGCAAUCUCUUUGAUUGAAUAAUAGUCUUGUCAAUCAAAACAUGGGAAUAUAUGGUUAAAGUAGAUAUUCUUUAAAGACACUAAUUAGCAUAAAUGUGCCUUAUCAUAUAAUUGGAGGUAUACGAGUCUAGUUAGAAUAAAACUAUUUAUGAUAUUUAUUUUUGUUCUCAGGAGUAUCAAAAAAGACUAGAACUACCCGAUCCGUUGAAAUACGAUAUGAAGGAAACGAACUUCAAUCCCUCAUUUGUUAACCGGGCCGGAAAAGGAGGCAUUUUCUAGGUAGGUUUCCCUAUUAAGUCAGCACCGGAUCAAGAUUGGAGACCCACCACAAGCAGAGAACAAAAAGCCUAAGAGUGGUGACCAACCAUCUGCAAAAGGAGUAACAGAGCAAAGUGGAGAAGAGAAGGGGGAAGAAAAAAGGUUCCUAACUCAUUGGAUAGCUUAAUAUAUUGGUCAGGGAUCCCAUCUUUACUUUAUUUAGGUGCCUAGACUUUUCGGGGCAUAGGGUAGAUUUCACAGUCCUUUAAGUGAAUACGCCUUCUCUUUAUGUAUAGAGCUCUAACUGUUAUUCCCCAGAUUGGCGAAAUGACCUUUCGUCUUGCUUCCGUAAAACAAUAAAAUGUGCUUUCGCCAGAAGAAGAAAAAGGAAGAUAGCUCAGUAAAUGGCAUUCAAGUAAAGUCGAGAAAGAGGCCUUGCUUUCGCAUGGGAAGGAAAGAAUUGACUCAGGUAAGUAAGCCCUAUUGGGGGAUUAAGGGCUCGAGUACGAUUAGAGCGCCUUUUUUCUGCUGCGCAGGCUGACCAUUUUAAAUAGGGGGGAAAUAGGAGACUAUAGAAGAUGAAUAUGGCUAGUCUACUACUACUGUUUGAUUGGCAAUCCUUAGACUAUAGGGAUGAGUCAAAGGAGCAUAACCUACCUGCAACUAUGCUUUAAAGCAAAGAAAUCUAUCGAAAUUCUCAUUCCAGUCUGAGGGGAUAUCUGAAGCUACCGAUCCGGGAUCUCACUCAAAUCCAAACCUAGCACUUUUGUAUUUAUUGCUUCUCCUUUUAGAAUGUCCGUAGCCGAGUAGAAGAGAAGAAAAUAUAUUUCCUUAUCUGCAUGCCAGCUUUCAUUCCUACUUUUGAUGAAAGAAAGGUCAGUUGCUGCCGACAAGUCGACUAAACUUUCACAACUGUCACCUAUCUUUAAGCACCUUCUAGGCCGCUUCCCAACCUAAUGCAUUCAAGUUUGCCUUCGGUACAUGUACUUUGGAAUCAAGGGCCCAACAAGCGAUAUUAGGAGUCUUUGGCCGAAGAACUCGCGGAUAAGAAGGUUAUUCCAUAACUAUAUAAAAUCCAUAGUCACGCUUAGCAUGCGAAAGCUUGUAAAAAUGACAUCGCCUGUGAAAACCUAUAGCAUUUGUUGGGCCACCGAACACUAGUUUCUGGUUUCUCAAGACCUUGAGUCAAGGGCAGUUACUCAACAUUUUCUCAAUAUUGAAUGUGCAUUUUUCCUGCAUUUUUUCGAUUCCACUUCUGUAUCAAAAAUUAGUGUCAAGGGAUGGAGUUCCUAUUCUCAAAAGAUUCGGUCAUGCCAGAAACCUCAGUGUGCAUGGCACUAAAAAAGGGUACAAAGAAGCUGAGAUGCAAGUAAUGGCUGAAUAGCCGGGUAAACACUAAAUAAAGACAAGUGUCAUCCGUACUUACUUGAUUGAUUGAAUCGAGACAUGGAAAUGCCAUUGAGAGAUUAGAAGGGAUAGAGAAAACGUCAGAUAGAGGUCGUGCUUCUGCUCAUUCCAAAAGAACAAUCUGAGUGAGGAUAAGGUGGUUUAUGUUAGGGUCCGAGAAAGCAACUUGACAUGCCAAUCCUAACAAGAAUUCCACUCUUUCUGGUCAUGUCAGAAACCACCUCUUGGAAAGCAGAUCGAAAGCCAAUCGUUUCAGAAGAUGAUGACACUCUUGUGCUCCUACGUUCCUGCUAGUUGGUGGAUGAAGAAUAGGAGAGAACUUGCUUGAGUAGAAGAUAACCCACGAGAAGGAUGUUUCGUAGCGCUUUCUCAUACAAAAGGAAAAGGCGUCACGACCGAAGAUAAGGAAAGAUCCCAGCUUUACAUUGCUCUGUCGCGCCACCCCUCCUCCUAGAGCCGGUUCUUAUCCAUAGAUUUUUCAGCUAAAAGAUACGGUAUAUAUAUCAAUGAAAGCUGGCUCCUUUGGUUCUUGGUACGACUGGUACUUUUUCUCAUUUAUCGGUCUAGUUGGAAAAAUUUCCCCUCAAAGAGCAAGUUUUUCUUAUAUAUUAUGCCGCGCCCUUGCCCUUAACCUUCCUUUCUCUUCUAUAAAAAGGCUGGACGUCAAAUGUAACUGAUGCUUAUAUUCUAAAUAUGACAAGCAAGAAACCUACUAUUGCCGUAAACAAAAACCCAAACAUUAGUAACUAACAGAGCUUUCCUAUUCUAACUAUUUCCCUAUAAACCAUGAUUGAUAUACCAAUCAAAAAAGACUUCUGAAACUAAACUAUUCUAUUGAUUUAUGCCCGUGCUUCUUCUUCUGUUUUUGUACGCAGAAGGAUGUCUAGGAGGAACAAAUCACUGAGGCUAAGGAUGAGAAGGUGAAAAGUGAAGAUAGAGAAUAGAUGCCAUGAACAAGCAACAAGGAGCUUUUCCAAGCAGAUUUCCCUGUUCAGAAAAGGGCAGGAAACAGUCGGUUUUCCCGAGCGAUCGAUCCUAUCUGUGGUCGAACAGCUUGAUUUCAUCAAAUUAAGGAAGCCAAAAAAAAAGCAAAACCGAAGGAGAGACUUGUGUUACGAGCAAGAACGAGGGAGGCCCCUUCGAGACCCUACCUAUCAAAGCCUUGUUUUAACAAGGGAAAUAUUAGGUACCACAAGGCCUCUUUUACUAAACAAAUCCACCUGAAAACGCGUUCCAUAAAAACUAAGUAGGACCCUAUUGAAAGUGCAAGGAACUGGAACCGAUAAAAGAGAUAGGCACUUUUCCUAUCUUUUCGCGUUAAGGCGAAGCAGUCAGGUAACAAACUGGAACUGGAAACCGGCUAACGUUACUUUUCCUUUUCAGCUUCGGAGUUGCAAACCGGCAGACCUUACUUUCUGAAAAAGACAGAAGUACGGAAACUGAUCCUAUUUCAGUUCUAGAAUUGCAUUCAAACUUAGGCCGUUUUGAACUGACAUAGCUUGACUUGUGAACUCUCAGUGCGUACGACAGUUGCUUCGACAAACAUUCGAUAGACUAGCUUUCGAAGUGCCACGGUCCUAUCGAGUAAAAUCAUCCCUCGAGGAUAACGGCCAGUGCAAGGCUACCCGCCUUACCACACUUUCCCUGAAUGUAAGUUGCUCAGACAACCUGGAAGAUCAUGGCAGCUAGACUAAUUUGAGGUUAGAUCAGUGUCAUCUAUAGCUCCCUGGUAAUGAACUGAAAGAGACUGCUCACCGCUGAGAACAAGACGGCACAGGUUGUGGUUCUUCUCCAGUGUAGGCUAGCUGCUGGAACCCACCGAAUUCAAAUCCGAGUUAGGAAAUUAGACUCUGCGAUAUCGACCGACGCGACGCUAUACCGGAAAGACUAAAGAAAGGUAUGUAUUUUAGUCACAUGAAUUUCGCGAAUUGAAAAUUUGGGCAAGUUAACUCAGCUCUUUUUUCCGAUAAAAGGUUUACCCCGAGCCCCCUUCCAAAAGGAAUAGAAGGCGCAAGCUAGACCUAUUCAAUAGAUCAAGUCUAGCUUUGCCAACUAUUUGAAAAGGAAGAUUCGAACAGGAAACUAAUUCAACGGAAAAGAAAGCUAAGCUCAAGACAGGACUAGAGGAGUGGGCUCCACUCCGCGAGAUCUUGUUUCCCCCUCUCCGGUAGAUCUAUCCUCAUCUCUACGGUUCCCAGUACCCACUCAGUUGCUCCAGUCACGCCUGUCGGAUUCACUCCUCGAGGCUAGGAACAGUCCUGCGGCACCGGGUCGAUACGGACUAAAGUCCAUGUCUCCCCUAUCCGGGGCAUACGGUUGCUGACUCUACUUAAGCAGCCUAGAACCCCGGACUGUGGGCUUUUGCUCUUACCCAUGAAGGGAUAAGAGCUCAGAGCCCUGGCUUUCCUGACUAGAGCUGAUUUGUGGGUCCUGUUCUCCUACGUUCUGAGGAACGAUCUACCCCCAUUCCUUCCCUUCAACAACAUCCCUCUUCAUUCCGGAUAAGGGAAUUGAAGGACUUAAAUGAGAGAAUAAGGCAAGCCCAAGCAUUUUCAAUUCCUAAUUUAAGUAUAUAUAUACCUUUCCGGGCAGCAGAGAAGAGGGAGAGGAGCCCUCAUCCAUACGAUGGCCGGGAAUAGAGGGGGAAGCUAAUUACACUGUUUGGUUUCCUAACAUAGGACUGAGCAUGUCUCAAGGGACUGAGACAUGCACUAACAAGGAUCAUGCGUAAUGGGAUGCCACCUCUAAGGGUGCAGACUUUACAACAGGAAAGGAAUAGAUUUGGGAUCUUACCCUUGUUGAGUCCGGUCGCCCAGGGCGCUUAGGCAAGGUACCGAUGCCAGAGGUACCGAUCUAAGCUUUCCCUAUUAAAUAAGUUUCCGACGUUAGGAGGAAUUCCCUUUAAUAGGGAAAGCUUAGAUCGGUACCUCUGGCAUCAGUACCUUGCCUAAGCGCCCUGGGCGACUGGACUCGACAAGGGUAAGAUCCCAAAUCUAUUCCUUUCCUGUUGUAAAGUCUGCACCCUUAGAGGUGGCAUCCCUUUACGCAUGAGCCUUGUUAGUGCAUGUCUCAGUCCCUUGAGACAUGCUCAGUCCUAUGUUAGGAAACCAAACAGUGUAAUUAGCUUCCCCCUCUAUUCCCGGCCAUCGUAUGGACGAGGGCUCCUCUCCCUCUGCUCUGCUACACGGAAAGGUAUAUAUAUAUAUACUUAAAUUAGGAAUUGAAAAUGCUUGGGCUUGCCUUAUUCUCUCAUUUAAGUCCUUCGAUUCCCUUAUCCGGAAUGGAGAGGGAUGUUGUUGAAGGGAAGGAACGGAGGUAGAUCGUUCCUCAGAACGUAGGAGAACAGGACCCACGAAUCAGCUCUAGUCAGGAAAGCCAGGGCUCUGAGCUCUUAUCCCUUCAUGGGUAAGAGCGAAAGCCCGCGGUCCGGGGUUCUAGGCUUCUUAAGUAGAGUCAGCAGCCGUAUGCCCCGGAUAGGGGAGACAUGGACUUUAGUACGUAUCGACCCGGUGCCGCAGGACUGUUCCUAGCCUCGAGGAGUGAAUCCGAGAGGCGUGACUGGAGCAACUGAGUGGGUACUGGGAACCGUAGAGAUGAGGAUAGAUCUACCUGAGAGGGGAAAACAAGAUCUCACGGAGUGGAGCCCACUCCUCUAGUCCUGUCUUGAGCUUAUCUUUCUUUUCCGUUGAAUUAGUUUCCUGUUCGAAUCUUCCUUUUCAAAUAGUUGGCAAAGCUAGACUUGAUUUAUUGAAUAGGUCUAGCUUGCGCCUUAUAUUCCUUUUGGAAGGGGGCUCGUGGGAAACCUUUUAUCGGAAAAAAGAGUUGAGUCAACUUGCCCAAAUUUUCAAUUCGCGAAAUUCAUGUGACUAAAAUACAUACCUUUCUUUAGUCUUUCCGGUGUAGCAUCGCAUCGGUCGAUAUCUCAGAGUCUAAUUUCCUAACUCGGAUUUGAACUCGGUGGGUUCCAGCAGCUAGCCUACACUGGAGAAGAAUACCGGAUGAUGGGAAUAACUAUGCAUAAAUUUGGAAAUGAGCACGAAAUGUCUAUUUAAAUAAAUUUUCUCAUUAUUCGUUAUUUCCGGGUCUUUUCGUUGCAUUCACUUACAACAAGAAACAACCACCAGUGUUUGAUGCAUGUAACGCCCCGAGACCGAUGCUCCAGAAGACUUCCAGCUAUUCCGAGUACGUCAUGUGAUUUGUUUUGGUUGUGCAUUCAUCUUGCCAUCUCUUGCAUUGCAUCAUGUCAUCAUGCCAUCAUAUCAUUAAUUUUUUAAAACCUCAACUAAAUAAAUUGCAUAGAUCUUUUGAUCUAUUUAAAUCGAGGGAAUUCACUUGUGAUUUCUCUUUAUAACAUAUUAAAGCCUCUCAAUAUUAUUAGGGAGCUAUAAUAAAAUUAUUCCAUUUAUUUGGAAUUAACCAUAACCCACUUGCAAAAUAUCCCAUGCCGUUGUUAUCUCAAUUCUUGGUCUCCAACUCUACCCAUAAAUUAUUUCGUCAUUUUCCCGAGCUCCACCAAAUUUCUCAACAUUUUUGGACUCUUCCAAAAUGUUGUCCUAGUCCAUACCAUUCGAAUUGAAUUCAAAUGGUUUCGGAUUUAAACUUUCAACCAUACCUCUUUUAUUUUCAUGGAUCAAGCCCAUCUUCGCGAGUAUGAGAAAGUGACCCUCCUACCCAAGCAUCACCCCUAUCCUUUUUUUCUUAUCUCUGUUUUCUUUAAGAAACGGAGGGAGAGACCCAGCUAGGCCUAUGUCAGCCCACCAGGCCUCUGGCCAUUUUCCUCUCCACUGGGCCGGCCUCCCAAGGCCCAGCCACCCCUCUAACCCUAGCCGCAGGGGAGAGCAUCGCUCGAUCCCAUCUCCUCCUUGUUCCCCUCACUUGCGCCGCCAGGAAGUACCUUCGUCUCGAUCCCCAUCGCGCACACGCAUCGCCCGAACCUGCGCCCGAUCCUCUCGUCUCCCUCUCCUCGAUCCCGAGCCCGAGCGCGUAGCCCUCGACCUCCCCUUGCUCCUGCGCUCCGCCCUCGCCGGAGAAGAGAGCCAGGCCGGAGCCCCGUCGGCCUCCUCGUCGCCCCGCGCCUGACCCUCUCCUCCUCCCGCGCCGCCUCUCCUCCUGCUUCUCCACCUCUCCUGGAGCUCCGUCCGCCGGCCACCGGAGCCGCUGCUGGCUGCCGCCCCGCGCGCUUCGCGCCCUUCUCCAUCAACCAGUCACCACGCUCCUUUCGGUCCCUCGCCUCCCCGUCGUAUCUGCCUCGCCCGGCCUCCUGAACCUCCUCGCUAGCAGCCGCCGUGUCGUCCAUGGCAUCGGCCAGACCUCCACAGUGUCGCCGCCUCAAGCUCCAAUCUGGUCGGCCCCAUCGCCCAGUCCCAGCCGUCCUUCUCCUUCCCUCGCGACGCCGUGGGCAUCAAGCUCGUUGCCCCACCUCCAAGUCCUCCCUCGCCGCCGGACCAGAUCCAUCGUCGCCCCUGCCCUGCUUCCCAUGGCGAUGCACGAGCCCCGCGACCACGCCCCUGCCGUCCCUGCGGCCAGCCAUGCCGGCGAGCAAGCCGCUGCCGUCCGCCUCGCCGCGUUCCCCUUCGUCUUCGUCACCUCAAGUUCCGCGCCCGAGCCCUUUGCUCGACCAGGCGCCCGUCACCUCCAGUGCCUCUACAUGUCCAAGCCCCCUGCCCCGCCUCUGCUUCGUUCGAGCGGGAUGGAGGAUGCGCCUCCGCUCGCCCGCAUCCACCACCACCUUGCCCCGUGCUCGCCAUGGACCUCCUCGCACCCCUGCUUCCUCUCCAACGGCCUUUCGUGGCUACAACCACCUUUGCGCCCAAGGCCGCUGCAAUCUCACCUUCGGCCAUGCCUUUGCCUUCCUGUACCGUUGUUCGCUGCACGCCAAGACCACCCUGUGGAUUUUGCCAAGUACCACUAUGACCUGUGUGCGACUAUGCGGAUUCGCCAAGUACCCCUCCAGCAAGACCGACGCCUGAACAAGCACACCGGCUCUGUGGAUUUCGGCAAGUCCCUAAACGACCGGCGCUUAGUACCACUAUGUUUGCCAUGUACAUCUACACCAAGACCGGACCGACAAGUACCCCGACAACGUGUGUACCUCUACCGAUGACCCCGGACAUCUACGAAAAACGUGUACAACUACCGUCGCCAAGAUCGCGAGUACCUCUACCGUCGACAUGUACGACUACGAAACGUGAACGACUACCGUCGCCGAGACCGCAAGUACCACGACAACCCCGAAGGGAUUUGAAUCCGUCAAGUUCAUCUACGAAACGAGUACCACUACUUCCACUACGAACUCGUUCCACCCCGAAAAUGCACGCUUCGAAGGUAUAACCCCGAGAUGGCCGCCCGUGAACGAAUGCUUAUGUGUUGUAUGAGAUGCUCGUGUUUGCACCAUGUCCGAGAGAGGUCUUUGCACGUUCCUUGUUUGCCAUGCCGCCGUCCCGUGGGAACCCGGAAUUCGGGAGCACCCCACCAUCCUUGCAUGGCUCGCUCACGCUCACUUCCUUUUGCACCGGUAUCUCCGUGAGUUACCAGGACCAGAAUGUUGCCGUGGCACCAUUUCCGUUUCACCGCCGUGGCACCUUUUUCCUUCCGCCAUGGCGACAAAUGUUUCAUAUCUUGCUCAUGUCAGCAUUUUCGUAAAAAUUGCAUAAACCUUGAUUAUGUCAUCUGCAUCAUGAUAACAACAUUUAAAAUGUUUAAAAUUGUGUUUGCUUUAAAUUGCUAAAUGACAUAUGGGGAUUUUCCGGAAUUGUUGUUAGUUGUUUCCGGCCUCACUUAAACUUGCCUAAAUAGUUAGUUUUAUUAUGUUUCACCUCUUGCCAUGUUUGACAACAUUUAAUAUUGUUGGUUAGCCUAAACGAGAGAGAACUAAAUAUUUGAAUGUGAUGUUUCGUCAAUAUGCAACUUGUUGCAUAUUGAGCUCCACUUAACUUGUAGUAUUGUUUGUUGCACUUUGCCAUGCCAUGCCUCAUUAAACCGGACAUGCAUCAUACUUGAUUGUGCAUCAUGCCAUGAUUAUGCUUGUGUGUUUACCAUGUUGUUUGCUUCUUUCUGGUUUACUUCUCUCGUUAGCUUCGGUUUCGUUCUAGAGUUGUGAGGAUUCAUGCGACUACGUCCGUUUGUCUUCUUCAUGGACUCGUUCUUCUUCCUUGCGGGAUCUCAGGCAAGAUGACUAUUACCCUCGAUAUCACUUCUAUCUUUGCUUGCUAGUUGCUCCAUUCUAUCGCUAUGUUGCGCUACCUAUCACUUGUUUACCAUGCCUCCCAUAUUGCCAUGUCAGCCUCUAACCUUUUUCACCCUUCCUAGCAAACCGUUGUUUGGCUAUGUUACCGCUUUGCUCAGCCCCUCUUAUAGCAUUGUUAGUUGCAGGUGAAGUUGAAGAUUGUUCCAUGAUGGACAGGAUUAUUUUGGGAUAUCACAAUAUCUCUUAUUUAAUUAAUGCAUCUAUAUACUUGGUAAAGGGUGGAAGACUCGGCCUUAUGCCUGGUGUUUUGUUCCACUCUUGCCGCCCUAGUUUCCGUCAUACCGGUGUUAUGUUCCCGGAUUUUGCGUUCCUUACGCGGUUGGGUGAUUUAUGGGACCCCCUUGACAGUUCGCUUUGAAUAAAACUCCUCCAGCAAGGCCCAACAUUGGUUUUAACAUUUGCCACCUAAGCCUUUUUCCGUUGGGUUCUGCAGACUCAAGGGUCAUCUUUAUUUGACCCCCCGGGCCAGUGCUCCUCCGAGUGUUGGUCCAAACUACAGCACUGUGCGGGACCAUUCCUUGGCAACUUGGAUUAAGUCGGUACCUGUACGCUUCGCUUAUCCGGUGUGCCCUGAGAACGAGAUAUGUGCAGCUCCUAUCGGGAUUUGUCGGCACAGCGGGUGGUUUUGCUGGUCUUGUUUUACCAUUGUCGAAAUGUCUUGUAAACCGAGAUUCCAAGUCUGAUCGGGUCUUCCUGGGAGAAGGUAUAUCCUUCGUUGAUCGCGAGAGCUUAUCAUGGGCUAAGUUGGGACACCCCUGCAGGGUUUAAACUUUCGAAAGCCAUGCCCGCGGUUAUGUGGCAGGUGGGAAUUUGUUAAUGUCCGGUUGUAGAUAACUUGACACCAGAUCCGAAUUAAAACGCAUCAACCGCGUGUGUAGCCGUGAUGGUCUCUUUUCAGCGGAGUCCGAGAAGUGAACACGGUUUUGGGUUAUGUUUGACGUAAGUAGGAGUUCAGGAUCACUUCUUGAUCGUUGCUAGCUUCACGACCGUUCCAUUUGCUCUCUUCUCGCUCUUAUUUGCGUAUGUUAGCCACCAUAUAUGCUUAGUGCUUGUUGCUACUCCACCUCAUUACCACUUCCUACCCAUAAGCUUAAAUAGUCUUGAUCUCGCGGGUUUUGAGAUUGCUGAGUCCUCGUGACUCACCCGAUACUAUCACAACAGUUGCAGGUGCCGAUGAUACCAGUGCAGGUGAUGCAACCGAGCUCAGAUGGGAGCUCAACGAAGACCUUGGUCGUUGCUAUGUAUCGCUUCAUGUUGAUCAGUAGUGGAGCCUAGUUGGGACGAUCAGGGAUCUAGCAGUUGGGUUAUCUUCUUUUCUUUUGGCUUCGUCCGUAGUCGGACUAUGUGUGUGUUCUGAAUGAUGUAUAAAUUAUAUGUUCAUUGUGUGAAGUGGCGAUUGUAAGCCAACUCUUUAUCCCAGUCUUGUUCAUUACAUGGGAUUGUCUGAAGAUGGCCCUUCUUGCGACAAAACCACAAUGCGGUUAUGACUCUAAGUCAUGCUUCGACACGUGGGAGAUAUAGCCGCAUCGUGGGUGUUACAAGUUGGUAAUCAGAGCCAUCCCCGACUUAGGAUCCCCCUGCUUGAUUGAUUGCUGGCGUUGUUGUGUCUAGAUCAAAAAUGUUUUGAGUCUUAGGAUUAUAUAUCGGAGAGUAGGAUUCUUUUUACUCCUUAGUCCCUUCGUCGCUCUGGUGAGGUCUCCUGACGUAGAUGUUUUGACUUUCCUCUCCUCAAAUUUCACUAAUUUUUUUUAGGAUCACGCGGGUAUCUUGGAAUCGUUCCGAUGGUUUUGUGACGAGAACAUUGUUCUUGGUGCCUCCUGUCUAUUAUGUGGCAUUGACCCGGGGAGUUGAGCUCCGAGGUUUUGUCGUCACAAUUUUAUCGUUGCAGUUCUGGAAUACUAGAGUUUUGCCGACAUCGAAAAUCUCUUUUAUGAAGUUGUUGGUGAGAUAACCUCGACGCCACCCAGUACUGAAGCGGGAGUUCGGGAGUAUUGCCAUAGCUCGUAUAAUGGAUGCUUUUCGAAGGUUGUGGUACACGAUUUCCGGAGUUUUCUUGGUUAUGUGUUGACGGAUGGAUACAGCUGGAUGUAGGGAUUGUUAGUUUGGGUGAGAUAUAUUGCUUCCCCUGUAUCCCCAACACCAUAUUGCAUAACCAGAAAGUUUCGGGAGUUUUAUAGGUGGGAAUUCAAGUAGCUCUAGCCUUUUGUUUUUCUUUCUGACAGAUGCAUGAUAUGAGAUUGGGGUUCGACUUCUAGUGGUCCGCCUUUCCACGGUCGUUUUUACAGUGGUCUCGUUGUGUCUUAAAGAACCCUUGGCUAUGCUGGUUCGGGGACACUUCGUAUGUCAUGUGCACUGCCUUGUACAAGAUGGUGUUGUACACUCAAGCCCGUGUGGGCCCCACCACGAAAACGUCGGACGAAAUCUCUAUCAUAUGUUUGUUUCCGGCUUAUUCUGCAAGCCAAAUCCUUUGUUUUGUUUUAUUUGUGGUAUUCGAGUUGCUUCAAAGUCAAAUGUUGAAUCCAUACCUUCCCUAAAUGGUGUUCUCAUAUUGCUAUGUGAAUACUAAUCCUUCUUGAUCAUCGAGGUCGUCAUGUCAAUUCUUUCCGACCGGUGUCCUUCUCUUCAAGUGGAUCCGAACAUUUCAACAUUCGCAAGAUCAAUUCUAAGUUUUCUCAACGGUAUCCAUUCCAUCUGCCCCAAGUUGCCUUUGUUUUCCCGCCCUCCCACCCUUAACUUCAAGGACUCAGAUUUCUUAAUCGGGUAUCCAUUUUAUUGAUGGGAAGUCUCUCCAUUCUUUUCUGUCAAUGUUCUUAUCCGGUGAUUCUCAAGAAGAUACUAACGGAGUUUCAAGUUCAUCAUUCUUCAUUCUCGUUUUCUUCUCCGGUGGAUUUAACUCAAGCUUUCGGUGUUGAUCAUAUUCUUUUUCUCAUUUCAAGUGCUUUCUUAUGCCGGUGUAUCUCUUAAUCAUUCAAUUCUCACUAUUCCUUCGUUCUCGAGUGUUGAAUAUUUCUCAGAAGGCUCGUCUUUCCAUUCUCAAUCAGUUCAAGAUAUUUGGAGAUUAUUAUCUCAUUCAAGUCAUUUAAUUCAACCGGUGCAAUCCCCCCUUUCAAUCAAUUGUUCAACGGUGUAUCUUUUAGUGGGCCCUAACCCACAAGUCAUUUCCCAGGAUCUUACCUAACUCUUCUAGUUUUUUCGGAGUUAUUCUCAAAUUCAUUGCAAAGUUUGACGUAAGAAUGAAUUAUCAUCAGUCAAAUGUCUUUCUCCAAGAUCUUUCAAAUUAUUUUUAUUGUUGGCUCAACCUUUUUGUUUUUCAUUCUCCUGGAGUAUCUCAACAAUUCAUGGUGGUGUUUCUCGCUGUCAUUCUUGGAUUUUGAAGACCGAAGAAGGAUUUCUCUUAAAUCUUGUCCAUUCUCUUGAAGAUUCAUGGUUCUAGCUUUAUGCCAUCCUCAUAAUUAUUUUUGAUUGUGACAAUUCUUUUCUUACCAUCCGGAGCAUUUCAUGAGUUAUUUCCGUUUCUUUCCUCCGAAGGCCAUCAUGUCAUAAUCCUUCAUUCUCAGCGUGUAGAUAUCAUUCUCCAAAUCUUACCGGUGCAUCGUUCAAAUAUCAUCUAAUCAGUUCAUGACCCCUUCGUUCUCAUGUAUCUAAAUUUCUCAAGUAUCUUCUUUUGUUUUCAAACUCUUCCCGGUGUUCUGCUAUCUUUUCUUUUCUUACGGUGGUUGUUUCAACUUUCCACUUCCGUUGUUAUUGUAUCAAUUCAUUCGUUGUUUCCAAAUCCCACCGGCGGUUCCAUCAAUAACUUCUCAAGUUUGCGCUAUAUCUCUAUCUUUAAUCAUUUUUCAAUGAGAAUAAGUAGUAUGUCAAAUCCAUUGCUUGUCAUCAAUUUAAUUUGAUGAAGGAUAAGCAUACAAUAAAUCUUAUUCUUAUUUCCUCUAGGUGAUUCAAUUCUUUUCUUCCGUAGAUUGUUCAUGAUGAAGUAAUUCUCGGCUCUAGUGUUUCAUCUUUUUCUUUUCCGGUGUUCCAAGUUUUCUCGGUUAUAUCGUCACGAAGCUCUAUCUAAAUCAUUGCAAGGAUUCACCUUGUGUUUUCAACUUCCCUUUCUUUCUAUCACCCUUUUAUUACCGAAGUUCUUCAUGGAGGCUCUACAUGGUGGUUUGUCAAGGAUUCUUUUCAUUCUUUAAUUGUUCUUCAAGAUUUCUCUUGAAGUUAACAUCCGCCAAGCUAUACUCAAAAUUAAACAUGGUGAUCAACACAUGUUUUGUUUUGAGGCAUUCAAGCAUUCUUCAUCUUGCAUUCCAAAGUGCAAUUAUCCUACCUUAUCUUUUGAGAUGGUGUUAUAUCAUUCUUGACAAUUUCCAUUCCUGUUUCGCGAUUCACAUGUUGUCAAGAAUGAGGUAUUUUAAAUCCAUCAAUCUCUUUGUUGGAGUUAUCUUGGUAUAGAUUUCACCUAAAGCCUUCCCUAAGGAAUGUUGUAUUGUGGUGCUUAUCAAUGAUCCAAGUUUUCUCCUAUCCUCUCGGCGAAAGCAGUUUUCAUCUCUUCGUUGAUCUCAAGCAAGCAAUUGUUUUCGUUAGUGGCCGGUUGUCAUCUCAUAAUUUUGAGAUGUUUUCCAUAAGCCCACUACAAGCUUAUUUGUUUCGUUGUUGGUUUUCCAACAACUCCACUCUAACCUUCUUGGAAGCGUGCUUUCCAAGAUCAUUUGUGGCAGAAGUUGGCAUUUUCUUCUCCAUUCCUUUAUUCCAAUGGUCUAUCUUCUAUUCUUUCUUCCGGAGGCAUGGUAAUGUUGCUCUCUUCACUCAUCAUCUCGAAUUGUGAGGAUCGUGUCCUUUUUAUGCUUAUCCAUUCAACCGGAGUGUCAUGUUUUUUUUAAGUUCUUUUCAUCUUAUCAAGUUUUGCCUCUCUUUUCAACCGGAUUGCUGUCAGAAAUCCUUCUUACCCCUUGUGCCAUUCUUUCAAUAGUUCCGGAGGCAGUGUGUUGUUGAUUUCAUCAAGUAUCAUCCCAUCUUCUUAAGUUCAUGUUCUAUUCCUUCCAUGUUCAACCGGAGUGCUGCCCGAAUUCUUCCCUCUCAUCUUGCUUUAACUGGAGUGGUUUCGAAUUCUAUCUUGUCCAUUAAACUCUUGAUUCAUGUCUUUGCAACCUUCAAGUUCUCUUAAUGUUCCUUGUUCCUUUUUUCUAACCGAUUGUUUGCAAUCUCGUUCAUCUCUAUUGUACUCCUUUUAAAUUGCUCAACCUCUCAAGGUUCGUGGUUUCACUCGUUUGUCAAACAUGCAACUUAGUUUUACCUCUGCUCUUCCUCUUCCAUUUCUCUCCGGUGCCAUCCUAGAUCUCGGGACGAGAUCCUCUUGUAGUGGUGGAGUGUUGUAACGCCCCGAGACCGACUCUCCAGAAGACUUCCAGCUAUUCCGAGUUUCGUCGUGUGAUUUGUUUUGUUUGUGCAUUCAUCAUGCCAUCUCUUGCAUUGCAUCAUGUCAUCAUGCCAUCAUAUCAUUAAUUUUUUAAAACCUCAACUAAAUAAAUUGCAUAGAUCUUUUGAUCUCUUUAAAUCGAGGGAAUUCACUUGUGAUUUCUCUUUAUAACAUAUUAAAGCCUCUCAAUAUUAUUAGGGAGCUAUAGUAAAAUUAUUCCAUUUAUUUGGAAUUAACCAUAACCCACUUGCAAAAUAUCCCAUGCCGUUGUUAUCUCAAUUCUUGGUCUCCAACUCUGCCCAUAAGUUCUUUCGUCAUUUUCCAAAGCUCCACCAAAUUUCUCAACAUUUUUGGACUCUUCCAAAAUGUUGUCCUAGUCCAUACCAUUCGAAUUAAAUUCAAAUGGUUUCGGAUUUAAAUCUUUCAACCAUGCCUCUUUUAUUUUCAUGGAUCAAGCCCAUCUUCGCGAGUAUGAGAAAGUGACCCUCCUACCCAAGCAUCACCCCUAUCCUUUUUUUUCUUAUCUCUGUUUUCUUUAAGAAACGGAGGGAGAGACCCAGCUAGGCCUAUGUCAGCCCACCAGGCCUCUGGCCAUUUUCCUCUCCACUGGGCCGGCCUCCCAAGGCCCAGCCACCCCUCUAACCCUAGCCGCAGGGGAGAGCAUCGCUCGAUCCCAUCUCCUCCUCGUUCCCCUCGCUUGCGCCGCCAGGAAGUACCUUCGUCUCGAUCCCCAUCGCGCACACGCAUCGCCCGAACCUACGCCUGAUCCUCUCGUCUCCCUCUCCUCGAUCCCGAGCCCGAGCGCGCAGCCCUCGACCUCCCCUUGCUCCCGCGCUCCGCCCUCGCCGGAGAAGAGAGCCAGGCCGGAGCCCCAUCGGCCUCCUCGUCACCCCGUGCCUGACCCUCUCCUCCUCCCGCGCCGCCUCUCCUCCUGCUUCUCCACCUCUCCUGGAGCUCCGUCCGCCGGCCACCGGAGCCGCUGCUGGCUGCCGCCCCGCGCGCCUCGCGCCCUUCUCCAUCAGCCAGCCACCACGCUCCUCUCGGUCCCUCGCCUCCCCGUCGUAUCUGCCUCGCCCGGCCUCCUCAACCCCAUCGCUAGCAGCCGCCGUGUCGUCCAUGGCGUCGGCCGGACCUCCACAGCGCGGCCGCCUCAAGCUCCAAUCCGGUCGGCCCCAUCUCCCUGUCCCAGCCAUCCUUCUCCUUCCGUCGCGACGCCGCGGGCAUCGAGCUCGUCGCCCCGCCUCCAAGUCCUCCCUCGCCGCCGGACCAGAUCCAUCGUCGCCCCUGCCCUGCUUCCCAUGGCACUGCACGAGCCCCGCGACCACGCCCCUGCCGUCCCCGCGCCCAGCCAUGCCGGCAAGCAAGCCGCUGCCGUCCGCCUUGCCGCGUUCCCCUUCGUCUUCGUCACCUCAAGUUCCGCGCCCGAGCCAUCUUCUCGACCAGGAGCCUGUCACCUCCAGCGCCUCUACAUGUCCAAGCCCCCUGCCCCGCCUCUGCUUCGUUCGAGCGGGGAGGAGGAUGCGCCUCCGCUCGCCCGCAUCCACCACCACCUUGCCCCGUGCCCGCCAUGGCCCUCCUCGCGCCCCUGCUUCCUCUCCAACGGCCUUUCGUGGCUACAACCACCUUUGCGCCCAAGGCCGCUGCAAUCUCACCUUCGGCCAUGCCUUUGCCUUCCUGUACCGUUGUUCGCUGCACGCCAAGACCACUCUGUGGAUUUUGCCAAGUACCACUAUGACCUGUGUGCGACUAUGCGGAUUCGCCAAGUACCCCUCCAGCAAGACCGAUGCCUGAACAAGCACACCGGCUCUGUGGAUUUCGUCAAGUCCCUCGACGACCGGCGCUUAGUACCACUACGUUUGCCAUGUACAUCUACACCAAGACUGGACCGACAAGUACCCGACAACGUGUGUACCUCUACCGACGACCCCGGACAUCUAUGAAAAACGUGUACAACUACCGUCGCCAAGAUCGCGAGUACCUCUAUCGUUGACAUGUAUGACUACGAAACGUGAACGACUACCGUCGCCGAGACCGCAAGUACCACGACAACCCCGAAGGGAUUCGAAUCCGUCAAGUUCAUCUGCGAAACGAGUACCACUACUUCCACUACGAACUCGUUCCACCCCGAAAAUGCACGCUUCGAAGGUAUAACCCCGAGACGACCGCCCAUGAACGAAUGCUUAUGUGUUGUAUGAGAUGCUCGUGUUUGCACCGUGUCCGAGAGAGGUCUUUGCACGUUCCUCGUUUGCCAUGCCGCCGUCCCGUGGGAACCCGGAAUUCGGGAGCACUCCACCAUCCUUGCAUGACUCGCUCACGCUCACUUCCUUUUGCACCGGUAUCUCCGUGAGUUACUAGGACCAGAAUGUUGCCGUGGCACCAUUUCCGUUUCACCGCCGUGGCACCUUUUUCCUUCCGCCAUGGCGACAAAUGUUUCAUAUCUUGCUCAUGUCAGCGUUUUCAUAAAAAUUGCAUAAACCUUGAUUAUGUCAUCUGCAUCAUGAUAACAACAUUUAAAAUGUUUAAAAUUGUGUUUGCUUUAAAUUGCUAAAUGACAUAUGGGGAUUUUCCGGAAUUGUUGUUAGUUGUUUCCGGCCUCACUUAAACUUGCCUAAAUAGUUAGUUUUAUUAUGUUUCACCUCUUGCCAUGUUUGACAACAUUUAAUAUUGUUGGUUAGCCUAAACGAGAGAGAACUAAAUAUUUGAAUAUGGUGUUUCGUUAAUAUGCAACUUGUUGCAUAUUGAGCUCCACUUAACUUGUAGUAUUGUUUGUUGCACUUUUCCAUGCCAUGCCUCAUUAAACCGGACAUGCAUCAUACUUGAUUGUGCAUCAUGCCAUGAUUAUGCUUGUGUGUUUACCAUGUUGUUUGCUUCUUUCUGGUUUACUUCUCUCGUUAGCUUCGGUUUCGUUCUAGAGUUGUGAGGAUUCGUGCGACUACGUCCGUUUGUCUUCUUCAUGGACUCGUUCUUCUUCCUUGCGAGAUCUCAGGCAAGAUGACUAUUACCCUUGAUAUCACUUCUAUCUUUGCUUGCUAGUUGCUCCGUUCUAUCGCUAUGUUGCGCUACCUAUCACUUGUUUACCAUGCCUCCCAUACUGCCAUGUCAACCUCUAACCCUUUUCACCCUUCCUAGCAAACCGUUCUUGGCUAUGUUACCGCUUUGCUCAGCCCCUCUUAUAGCAUUGUUAGUUGCAGGUGAAGUUGAAGAUUGUUCCAUGAUGGACAGGAUUAUUUUGGGAUAUCACAAUAUCUCUUAUUUAAUUAAUGCAUCUAUAUACUUGGUAAAGGGUGGAAGACUCGGCCUUAUGCCUGGUGUUUUGUUCCACUCUUGUCGCCCUAGUUUCCGUCAUACCGGUGUUAUGUUCCCGGAUUUUGUGUUCCUUACGCGGUUGGGUGAUUUAUGGGACCCCCUUGACAGUUCGCUUUGAAUAAAACUCCUCCAGCAAGGCCCAACAUUGGAUUUAACAUUUGCCACCUAAGCCUUUUUCCCUUGGGUUCUGCAGACUCAAGGGUCAUCUUUAUUUUAACCCCCGGGCCAGUGCUCCUCCGAGUGUUGGUCCAAACUAGAGCACCGUGCGGGACCAUUCCUUGGCAACUUGGAUUACGUCGGUACCUGUACGCUUCGCUUAUCCGGUGUGCCCUGAGAACGAGAUAUGUGCAGCUCCUAUCGGGAUUUGUCGGCACAGCGGGUGGUUUUGCUGGUCUUCUUUUACCAUUGUCGAAAUGUCUUGUAAACCGGGCUUCCGAGUCUAAUCGGGUCUUCCUGGGAGAAGGUAUAUCCUUCGUUGAUCGCGAGAGCUUAUCAUGGGCUAAGUUGGGACACCCCUGCAGGGUUUAAACUUUGGAAAGCCGUGCCCGCGGUUAUGUGGCAGGUGGGAAUUUGUUAAUGUCCGGUUGUAGAUAACUUGACACCAGAUCCGAAUUAAAAUGCAUCAACCACAUGUGUAGCCGUGAUGGUCUCUUUUCGGCGGAGUCCGGGAAGUGAACACGGUUUUGGGUUAUGUUUGACGUAAGUAGGAGUUCAGGAUCACUUCUUGAUCAUUGCUAGCUUCACGACCGUUCCAUUUGCUCUCUUCUCGCUCUUAUUUGCGUAUGUUAGCCACCAUAUAUGCUCAGUGCUUGCUGCUACUCCACCUCAUUAACACUUCCUACCCAUAAAUUUAAAUAGUCUUGAUCUCGCGGGUUUUGAGAUUGUUGAGUCCUCAUGACUCACCAGAUACUAUCACAACAGUUGCAGGUGCCGAUGGUACCAGUGCAGGUGAUGCAACCGAGCUCAUAUGGGAGCUCAAUGAAGACCUUGGUCGUUGCUAUGUAUCGCUUCAUGUUGAUCAGUAGUGGAGCCCAGUUGGGACGAUCGGGGAUCUAGUAGUUGGGUUAUCUUCUUUUCUUUUGGCUUCGUCCGUAGUCGGUCUAUGUGUGUGUUCUGAAUGAUGUAUGAAUUAUAUGUUCAUUGUGUGAAUUGGCGAUUGUAAUCCAACUCUUUAUCCCAGUCUUGUUCAUUACAUGGGAUUGUGUGAAGAUGGCCCUUCUUGCGACAAAACCACAAUGCGGUUAUGCCUCUAAGUCGUGCUUCGACACGUGGGAGAUAUAGCCGCAUCGUGGGUGUUACAGUGCAGCACUUGCAUUUUGGUGCAUUCUUCUUACUUUCCUUGGUCUUUUGUUCCGUCAUAUUCCAAAUAACUUAUCUAAUUACAACGUAAUAACCGCUAAUGCACCUUUUUUUAUCAAAUCUCAGGGACAUGGUCUAAUCAUGAGGGUAGUAUUUUAUCAUGGUGUUGGGUCCCAAGUUUUUUAUGGAUUCCUUUUUGGUUACCGGGGUCGACCCCAAAGCCAUAAUGUCUCAAAACGAAGAGGCUAUAGAGAAACUUUGAUUUUUUUCCUUUGUCUCGAACUUCGUGAAGAACUCCAUUCUAUCUCUCCAACAAAAAAGUUGGGUUGCGCCCCAGUUGUACACUCCUUCUAAUUACAGGCAUAUCUAUGACUCUUUUUUACCAGAUGAAGCAGGAGGCAUCGGUCCGUAGAACCUAUAAAAAAGAGAUGGUUGUGGCGCAAAGUACUCUUGUGCACCUACAUCACUCGGCUCGCGCGCAACCCCGCCCCGUUACGUUAUGUUAUGGAAGAAUUUAGCUUCUUGCUGGGCUGGUUAUUCAGAGCCAGCAACUGGCUGCCGGAUUUCGUCCCGUCCGUAGCGCUUCGGAAGUCACUCUGGCGUGGCGCUGCUGGAUACUUCUGAUCAAUAGGAAUAGGAGGGAAAAAAGCUUAUGAUGAGCAUCUAUUGGAGUCGACCAUUUCCAAGAUCUAAUUCUAGUUUCUUAUUAUGUAGUGGAAACGCCUCACAAUCUUCAGUUUUACGCUUACGCUUAAGGGAAGAAAUGUUCUUGGUGGAUGCAGGCCCUGGUACCCCCAAAAUUUGUAUGCAAGAUGAGCUUACAGGAAUGCCAAUCAAGCGAGCCACCAGGUUUGAGAAUAAGGUGGGAUCCAAGAAUGUAGUGGCUGGUGAAUCACUGAUCAAAAAGCGGAUUUUUGAGAGAUUCUUCAUCGAUCUAGUGGCUGGUGAAUCACUGAUCAAAGAGUGAGCAGCCGCCAGGUUUAAUGAUUUUGUGGGAUCCCUGGAUGUAGCGGCUGGCGAACCGCUUCUUCUUCCACAAAGAUUCAGACAAAACCGAGCUUGGAUAGAACUGAAGAAGAUUUGGCGAACGAAGAAAAAGGUCAAAGGGUUUAUUAUAAAAAAACAAAGGAGGUUACGAAAGAAAGUGAAAUGUCCUAUCCUCAUCCCAAUUUGGGUAAUCCAUGAUGUCUCCAUUUUAUGUAUCCAUCUUGACUCGUUUUCGGCCAAAUAGGCCUCCUUUUUGGAGUGAACAAGCCUUUUUCCUUUGAUCCCUCACGUGAUCAAAUCAAGUCCGUCUACUUGAAAGCGAAGUACUUCAGCGAGUAGUAGUUCAUAAUGUUGGUCUUAUUCAAGGUAGUUUUUAAAAACCUAGCAAUACCAUUAAGAACAAGGUCAACGAGGAGUGACCGAACACUUGAGGGAACGAACAAGGAAGACCGAUCCCAAAUAAAUAGAGUUUCCAAUGUUAGGAGUAAUUCCCUUUAAUGUGGAAAGCUUAGAUCGGUACCUCUGGCAUCGGUACCUUGCCUAAGCGCCCUGGGCAAUCGGACUCGACAAGGGUAAGAUCCCAAAUCUGUUCCUUUCCUGUUGUAAAGUCUGCACCCUUAGAGGUGGCAUCCCUUUACGCAUGAGCCUUGUUAGUGCAUGUCUCAGUCCCUUGAGACAUGCUCAGUCCUAUGUUAGGAAACCAAACAGUGUAAUUAGCUUCCCCCUCUAUUCCCGGCCAUCGUAUGGACGAGGGCUCCUCUCCCUCUGCUCUGCUGCCCGGAAAGGUAUAUAUAUACUUAAAUUAGGAAUUGAAAAUGCUUGGGCUUGCCUUAUUCUCUCAUUUAAGUCCUUCAAUUCCCUUAUCCGGAAUGGAGAGGGAUGUUGUUGAAGGGAAGGAAUGGAGGUAGAUUGUUCCUCAGAACAUAGGAGAACAGGACCCACGAAUCAGCUCUAGUCAGGAAAGCGAGGGCUCUGAGCUCUUACCCAUGAACCAAAGUGGAACGGAGAGAACAGAGAGUCAGUUACAAUGACAAAAUUGUUGAGUAAUCAUGUUGAAAGAACAACAUUUUGUGUCAUAAAUAUCGUAUAUAGAGAUUUUUCAUGUAUCGACGCUUUUGAUUCAAUUAUGAAAGUACGUUGUACUAGAUUUGCACCCCUAGUUACGCAGAAGUGCAAGCACAGAAGCGGAUGACCGGACCUUACCAACAUACUCAAAAAAGUAUUCUAUACUGGGUUCUGUGCUCUUGACAAGCAGUGUUUCCAGUCUAGCUAUGUCAAAUCGGGUGUGAAGUGUCCUUCUAGGUUCUGGCUGGUAGAGCAGAGGACUGAAAAUCCUCUUUAGUUUCACGCAUGGGACUCUAAAUCCCAAUUGCGCUAGCUCUGUGGUUCGAUUUCACAACAGAACGAACAAUGAAUGAAUGUGGGCCGUCAACCAGGUAAGUCUGUGCCCAUGAAAGAAAGGACUAGGGAGGGAUUGAGAGAAGCUUUCACAGUGGAAAAUGCAAAAAAGCAUGUCGUUCUUAGAAAUUGUGGAAUUUUACGUCCGGGAACACUUUGGGGUGAACACCCAUCCGAACAAGUACGGUAAAUAGUUCAGCAUUUAGGCCGUAACAUUUAGCAAAAAACGAAUCUGAAACCCAACAAGUGCUCUCCGAACCAAGCUAGAUAGUCUCCUAUCACUAGGCUCACCAACCAACCUGGACUUUGAUUCUUCCUUAUUAUUCUAACCGGAUAUAAAAACCAUAAGGAUUGUUUCCAGCCGAGAUUUCCCAUAUGACAUAAGCGCUCUUGGGAUUGUAGAUAUGAAGAUGCCUUGAAUGAACCCAAGCAAGCCGAAAUAGAAUACUAUAAGUAUGAAGUGGACAUCUAUGUUUUAAUUGGAAACAUCUCUUUUCAAUUUAGAUUUUGCCAGUGCCUCCCUUUGUGGCAGAGCGAGCGCCUUGACUAAGAUAGAUUGACUCUUUCAUUCUUUUUUUUAUUCUGGUUCCAAUCGUUUGAGGAAAACCCCCUUUGGCAUCAAUGAAACUCUGUUAUAUAGGAGUUCAAAAACCUCAUUUCGUUUGAGAGAUAGUGGAAUUUCUUCUUUCAACACGUACAUCGACGAGGGUGUCGAUGACUUGAGUGAGGAAUGGUCAUGUGCUAGAGGCCGUACCUUUGGAGUAAGACCUCAACAAGGGGGUGUGCAGUUUAAAUGUAAAUGACGAGCAUGGAGAGGCCAAGGUCAUUUAUAAUUAGGUGUGGCUGAUGCAAGAAAACUGGCGAGCUGUCCAUGGUGAGAAAAGUUGUGAUGCUACUGCAGGGGGCAUCCUGGUGUAGUUGAGGGUGUAGAACUUCUGUGCGGGUACAACUGGCACUUAAAAGACCUUCCGUGUAGAUGAGUUCUCUUGAGUGAGACUAAUCGAGUUACGAAGAAACCUUUGCGAUGGUGCUGUGCAGUUGGGUUCUCUAUGGAGGAACUUCGUUGUGGGGACCAAGGGGUCUUCUUAAGAAGAGUUGCUUUGAUGAAAAGAGUGUAGCCAUGAUGGCAAGUCAAGGUGGGGCCUUGUGAAGUCAAGCCUUGUGUAUGUUGGCGUGAUGACGAGAGAAAGGAAAUGCCCAGGAACAAUAGCUGUCCGUAGCACACCCUGCAAUGACUUCGACCAGCGGACCAGCCUAUUCAAUACCCUAUGCCAUGACCUUAGAAGUUCGUACCCCAUGAUAUUCAAUGACACCCGUAGACAUUUGAUCAUUCAUACCUCACAGUACGCUUUCUUUCUUUUUUUUUGGACUUUGAAAUACAAGCGAAGGAAGCUCAGUGAAAGAUAGACUGGGAUUUGACAGCAAGAAGAAAGCAAUCAUAGUACGCGACACACACCGCUGACGAAUGAGAUUGACGUCCCAAACCAACACAGGUUCAAGACUAAGUGCAAAACCAAGAAUGCCGUGGAUAGAAAAGUGAGUGCUUCCUCAAGCUUCAUGAAGGAAGGGUCCAAGGACCUAAGCGACAACCUCUACGAAAAAGAAAAACCUAUAUAUAGAUAGUGGUAUGUGUUCGCUGACACUAAAUAGACUUGGCUCGGGGCAGAACUGAGUGGCUAGGCUAAGUUCCCUAGUCUUCUAUUGGCCUACCCACCCCUACGACAUGGAGGCGCUUACCCUUCUCCAACAAGCAUAGGGCUGAAGACAAUUUGUUUGUUAGUUUUUCAAUCUUCUACCUUCUAUGCUUAGAGUAAGUGGAAAUGACCUCCUUGAUCAGCAAGUAAGCGAGCGGUAGUUCAGUCUCCGACAAGUGAGGCCGAAUAGCCCUAGGUGUCCUUUUCCUUCUAAACUAGCUGCUCUCGCUUGACUCUUCUAGUGAGCAAGCAAACUGGUCGGGGUACAGGGUCGGAUCAAGGUAAGGAAUGGGAAUAGCACUCACUCGUUGAAGGUAAGCCAGAAACAGGGGUUGUCCUAAGCGAACUUAUGUGGAAAAGUGUGAACCUUUGUUGUGAUCCAUCUCAUAGGAGAUCUAUUGAUCCUUACCUAGAACUACAUAGGAGCUCUAUGUUUAUAUAAUCAUAGAAGGUUGUGGGAUCGUUGUUUAUCAACCACUCACGACGACACCGAGAUCUUCGACUUAGCUCCCACAGGUCAUCCACCCAGGGCAGAAGAUAACGAAAGGGAGACAAAGUCCUAACUAAAUCAACACACAAUAACCUCAACCUUCUACCCAUUCCAUCCAUCAUAUCAGUCGAGUCGAGGAGAUUCGUUCUUAUCUAUAGAUAAGGCAAGAGAGAACUUAUGACCUCGCGGAUGGAGAGGGAUUCGAACCCCCGGUAUUCCUAUCAAUACUUCGGUUUUCAAGACCGACCCUUUCAACCGCUCAGACAUCCAUCCCUGCGCUCGCCCGCCCUAUCUAUCUACGCGCUGGCAGGUAGGGGCAACUCUAUGUGAUUCGCUACGCUUGCUUCUGCCCCACCCCAUAAGCUGACUCUAUUGCCUAGCAGUUAGCGACACUUUUUCGGUAGUACGAAUCGCUACGCUUCGCUUCUUUCUAUAUGAUAAUAUGCACCGUCGGUUGCAGCGCUCCCAGCGGGUAAUAGCAAGAGAGUGAAGAACGAACGAUCCUCAAAAAAGUCAGCAGUGAAUGAGUCCAACUCGAGUUCAUGUGUCAAAGGCGUGGCAAGAGAGCGAGUUCGACUCACGAACGAUCCGCAAGUGAAGGACCGAUCCUUUAACGCCAGUACUGUUGCGAGAUUGGUACUUGGUGGCUCACGAGCAACAUAUAGAAAAAGGUUUCCCAUCACUCCCUCGCUCCUUUUUGAAGGCCCACCGCUCCCCCUUUCUUUAAGUAUCUAUCCCGGCUUGCAUUUUGGGGCGAGUACUACAGUUCCUCCAUAAUCACACAGAACGCCCAGCUUCGAAGAGUUGCUCUCUCCCCAGUCCACAGCAAGGUGUGGAAUCUGGAUCUACUGUGUGUUCUGACUCUAUUGGAUCAAGUGAGAUACUAAACCUUCUACUACUACUACUUUUAGUCGCCUAACGGCUAAACCAAUAAAUUUCUCUCCUUAAAGGAAUCUACUUCCCCGACUGUCAACUACUCGCUUCUUCACCGGUAUCACACCCGCGCCAGACUGAGCAGCAGAGUUAGAACCCAACCAAAUACGAUUCUUGUAUUAUCUUACCGAAAUUCGGAUCCAUUUGGCUCCAAAGGAGCAAGCGCGGGAGUUCUAAUAGGACUUUGAGACUCGAAAAAUCCUGCGGGCUGCUGAGAACAGAGAGAAGUAGUUGCAGAGAGGUUUGAUAGGGUUAGGCAGAUGCCCCAUUAUUCGUAAACAAGAAGAAAUCCAGAUUAGUUUGAUGGAGCUGUGGCUUAGCACAAGCAUGGUGUCAAUGUGGUUCCUCUCGACUAAACACUUAAACAAUUGGAUCCAGUAGGGUUCAAUAGAGGUAUGGUAUCAGCAACCUUUUAGGGAGCUAUAUUCUUUGGAAUAAGAUAGCUGCCCAGAGCUUGCGACAUACCUACCCCCUGGGCGUAGAUAGAAUUAGGUAAGAUAAAAAUCACCUUGCCCUUUUUGAUUGAGAAUUGUAUCUGUGGCUAUUGCUGUUUUGCCAGUCUGUCUGUCCCCAAUAAUGAACUCUCGCUGACCGUGCCCUAUAGGGAUCAUCGAAUCGAUAGCAAUAAGCCCUGUUUGAAGAGGUUCGUAUAUGGAACGCCUGGAAAUUCUACUUGGAGCAGGAGAUUCAAUUAAGCGAGAUUCGGAAUCUACAAUUUCGCCUCUCCCAUCAAUAGGUUUAGCCAGAGCAUGUGUACCAUCCGGUUCGCGACCCCUACUACAUCUGCAUUUAAAAUAUUUACUAUAGCCAACUUAAAAACGCUAGCUAGCUACUCUUGUAGCCUUAUUUAGUUUGGUUGCCUACGCUUGCUCUCCGGCGCGCUACGGCAACACCCCCUGCUUGCUUCUUUCUGUUCGACGCGGAGCUCGCAGCCUCCCCACCCUUGCUUAGCGUUCCACUUGUGAUCCUGGAGGAUUUGGAGAAAUGCGCCCGACCAUGAAGAAUGGAUUUUGUAUUUUCUUUCAUGUGAACGGCCCUAUCUUGUAAAGAAUGGUUUUUCGUGCUAUAGACCAUGUUGCGUCUCACCUUCUCAAGUCGUUGGAGCAGAGCAGUCUUAAACUGCCUGACUCCGCGACCGAUAGAAUUCUGAUCCAGCCGGUGCACCUUCUUGAAUGCGUAAAACCGACCUAUGUUCGCAGCAAAAAAAAUAGAACAAUAAAGGGAGCAAAACGCUAGAAACUUCCAUUUACUUUGCAGGAUGUAGUAGAAACUAGAAACCAAUUACCCGAGUCCCCAUUCGAGAUUAUUUGGUUAUGAUCCAAAAAGAAAAAAGAAAGGUUUAACAAGCCAUGAGAAAAUAGAGUAAAGUAACCAUAUGUUCUGUUUGCAUAACGUGUAUACGCCACGCCAUACAAUCGAAAUAGAAACAUGGGACGAUUCCAGAAUUUUGAAUAGAUCCGUGGGGAUGAGAGAAGUUGUUGUUGAGAAAUAUGAAAUUGGAAAGGAAGUCAAACUCCCUAUGGAACCUGUGAUCGGUUGUACCUGUACUUUAGUGAUACGAAAACUUGCUAUUCACUUAGUUUCUGGUCAAUAAUAAGAUUAUGUAGGAGAGAUGGCCGAGUGGUUCAAGGAGUAGCAUUAGAACUGCUAUGUAGGCUUUUGUUUACCGAGGGUUCGAAUCCCUCUCUUUCCGUUUCUGUUAAUUCACCAACGUUACCGACCACAAUGAAAUUUCUAGUAAGAGGAAAAUCCGUCGACUUUCUAAAUCGUGAGGGUCAAGUCCCUCUAUCCCCAAUAAAAAGCCCAUUUUACUUCCUAACUAUUGUACCAACCUCUAUUUUUCAUUAAUGGUUCAAACAAGAUUCACUAUCUUUCUUAUUCUACUCUUUCACAAACGGAUCCAAACUGACUUCUUUGGAUCUUAUCCUAUUCAUACAAAUGAACAUAUUAUAGUAUAGGCAAGUAAUCCCUAUUAUUAAGUAAGUCAUUCACAAUCCAUAUCAUUAUCCUGAUAUUUACUAAGUCAAAUUUGAGAAUACUUUUUUCUUUUUUAGUCCCUUUAAUUGACAUAGAUACAAGUACUCUACUAGGAUGAUGCACAAUAAAUAGUCAGGAUAGCUCAGUUGGUAGAGCAGAGGAUUGAAAAUCCUCGUGUCACCAGUUCAAAUCUGGUUCAAGCAAUAAAAAGAUAUAUUUUGAUAACUUUGAUAACGCGUUUCAUAAGAAGAAAGAUAGGCAACUUUCACUUGAAAGAAAGGAGCUUCAGAACUCUUGUAUUCCACCGAAUAAGAAUAAGAAUAAGAAUAAGAGCAAGAAGGGGCUAUCUUUGUGAAGGGACCGGCACCAGAAAGUAGAUCAUAUGGCCUUUCUUUCGCCAAAAUCAAGUAAAGCCCCGGCCCUAGAAAUGCAGCAAAGCAAGUCGUCUUUGGUUUGGAGCGAAAUUCCCGGAUGUAUAGGCUUGAUCGAGUGCCUUACCUGAAUCGACGAUAUAAAGUGGGCUCUUUAGCUUGCUCCGAUAGAGGUCUCCUUCUCCCUUAGCAGCGAGACCAGUCCCUACCUCUUUUCAAUCAAUCUUUCAUACCCUAUGCCUUUUCUACGCCUAAAACAAGUUCAUGUCUCUCCUCUCUGAAGUCUGACCUUAUUGAAAAGUAGUACGCUUUCUUUCGUGGUGUUUAGGAUCCCAUGCUUUGUAGUUCACGCAUGGCUUUCUCUAACGAAGCUAAUGCCGAAUUAAAGACCUUAAACGGAAAGACACGGGAGGUGGCGAAAAACGAAAAAAGAGAAAGAGCUUACAAACUUCUCUGAACCCGGUAGCCAGCGGAGCCCUUAUACUAGCCCUAAUUCACAGUCGCAUUUAUUACACUUUUACAAGACGAAAGCGAUAGUGGUUAGAACGCGCUAGACUGGCUGAUGCUAUAGAUUUGCUCCAUCCAGAGUCACCCAAAAGGACCUUAUCUGUUGAAUGAUCGGUUUUAUCCUCGAAGUCUUUCUAGCCCGCCCGUGCCAAACUAGUCUUCUUUCAAAGAUGUGGAUCCAACAAAAGUGUAGAUCCAAUUAACAAUUAACCGCAAAUAAGGGUUUUAGGAGAGUCAUUAUCUCCCUAUAGGCACACCGGUGGAAGAAACUCCUAAAGCAGGGAAGCACGAUCUUGUUGCUUCUUCUGUUCUUGUGGAUCCACGCAUGUGGUUAGCGAGGCUACAGAACACAAUAAAAUAUCAUUGAUAACCAGAGAGAUCCGCGGGCCUAUUACCAGUUUUGGCAUGUUAGUUGUUUUGGUCAUAAUGUUAGCCAUUUUAGGCCUCUCAAAUUCAAUGAACAUGUUUUGCAUGGAGUCGAUAAAGAUAGUGAUAUGAUUGCCGCAUAAUAAUAAUGAGUCAGUACCAAAGAGUACGAGGAUAGCCCGAGCCUUCCACAAGUUCCUCGGGUAACAGUGUCUCAUCUAUGCUUCAUUUUAUACGUUUUUAUAAAUAAAAAGGCCACGAUAGACCACCUGAUGCUAGCUCCUCAAAUCAUUGGCCAGAGAGGUAAAUGGAUACAACAAGUCUCCCCUCAUCUACCAAAACGUGUUUGGAGUUAUCUUCGCUCCUACGCAUGGCUAGACAACCGAAAAACAGCCUAGCAAAGAUGACUUCUCUUGGGCAAUGCAAGGACAAGUAGCUCUGAUUACGAAACACAACACAAGUUGGCAUAACCCAAGUCAAUAUGAUAACUCGAUCAUCCAGGUCUUGCCUAUGUCAGCUUCUUUCUUUGGAUCAAUGAAGACUUCGGCACCCUUGAUCUUUUCAGAUAUGAAUGUAAGUCGGUAAGCAAUCUCCGAAACCACGAACUGAUGGACCACGAACUCUUCCUUUCUUUCUAGCAGCAUAGCAACAUAGCCCUACGGGGGCCCAAGAAGCCAAUCUUCGUCAACCAAUCAUAUCUAUCUAUUGAUGCCUACUUACAAUCGUGCUCUUCUUUCCCAUGUCUUCUUCUCUUCCCUGAAUGAUCUUCGAAAAAACAUAGGAAUUAGGUCGAUGCUUCUCAAAGAAUAGCUCUGUAUACCUGUGUUUCCAAUACUGACUUCAGGAACAUAAUGGUUCACUCCCUCCUAUGGAUAAGAAGUAGACAGCUCGAUGUGAUGAUAGCCAUUUCUCAAUUUAGAAGGUAGAUCAAGUCCAAAGCAAAGCUGUCUUAAGUAGUGCCCCCACCCCAAUACUCGCUAGUUUCUCUGGUAUCUUGUACUUCCCGAAUAUAGCGCUCAUUAACCUGUGGAAGGAAAGCAAAGGUCUCAUCCGACGAAUUGACACUUGAUCAAUAUGCUUCUUUAACAAGAGCAGAACAUGUGGUUGGUCGACCUAUGAGAUACUGGAACAUCUCGUGGUCAACGAUGAGAAUUUGUUUCGGGAUCCUUCCUUUUUAGGGAAGAUGAUUAUAGAUCUUUCUCUUUCCCUAAAUCCGUGUUGGUUUGACCAUGGAUUCUAUUCAAUUAACACUUUGACUAGUCGGAAGGGCAUGCUAGAAAAUUCCAUCGGUGCAGGAGCUGCUAUGAUUGAUUGUUCGAAAGUCGAAGUCAUUUCGUUAAGUCAGUUGAAAGGUGGGUUUUGUCAGUAAUAAAAUGGAAAGGGGGAUGGGGGGAGGUGAGCCGGUUACGCUUUAAGUGAGGAGACAGGAGCUCUCGAGUUAGAUAAGUUCCCUAGGCCAGACAGAGGUCUAGGGGGAGUCCGGAUAGAGGACUCUUUUGACCGGUGAGCCCGCAGAUUAGGAAGGCGGCCUGCCAACUGCGCAAACAAAGCGACUCCUUGUUGGUGUAAGAUAGGUGUUGGUCCGAUUCACCUAUGUCAGUUCGAACCUGACGAGUCGUUCGUUCAUGUGGAGAAUCUCUCUCCUUUUCUUCUAAGUCUUGCUUCAUUAAGUUACUUGCUCUCUUAGCCUCAUAAUAAUAAUCAAUAUUCAAAUACUUUAUGAUAAAUUCUGUAUAGCAAUCAAUGUCUAAGGGCAUAGAGAACCUUAAGAGGAUAGGAAAGUCUAUUUAUUUGAGACCAGCGAGGUCAGAAAUUCAAGCAUUCAGGUCAAGACUAUAAGGCGCUAUCAGGCCAUACCUCGGCUCGCUACCUUCUCUAGAUACUUGAUUGGAAGAGAGGGUAGAUGUAAGGGAGUUAAAGCACUUCGCUAGAAGAAGGGUAUAAUGGAAAGUCAAUAAACAUUUCAUCUGGAACUAAAUAGGUCAUUUACGACUCAAUGCUUUAUCAAUCAAAUACAUCAGCAUUCCAAAAUACUACCCGCUAACGCCCUCACUCUUUGACUUAGAGGUCUUAGCCCCACCUUUACUUAUAUCUUACACUUAUACUCUUCCUUACUUCCCUUCUCUGGCCAUGUGGUUGAGGAUAUUUGAAAAAAAGAAGAAAUUGACAAUACCUACUAUCGAUGCCUAAGAGUAGGUCUUUACUAGCUUGCCUAAUAAGAGUAGUUUAAUACCGGCUUACUUGUACAAGCUUAUACUAGAAGAGUGAGUACGCUACCUUCUUGAUUAUUAUCAUUAGAAAGAUCUUUUGAAACCAUCCUGGUGUCAUUUACUUUCAUAAAGCAAAUCUUAGUAAAUAAAUGUGGGUGAUCCUACUUAGAAUAAGACUUAUAUUGUGGUGUGAGGUACUAAUAUAACUCCACUUUAUGCGUAUGGGAAGGCGGCUGCUUAGAAUGCUAAACAGGCCUACUAGAUGGCUUAUGCUAGAACAAGUCAACCUCAACAAUGCUUAAGCCCAAGGAAUGGAUGCGUUAAAGACUGGAAAUAUAGAGUUUAUCUCAACCUAACAUAUGCAAGCACUUAUCCCCUUGCCUUAGAUUAGGCACAACAACUAUAUGUGACUUAGAAUCUGACCAGUAACUAUACCUUAUGAAAAGUAAGCACUAGCUAUAGACAGAACUAUAUAGUACCGAGUAAGUGGCGCGGAGCGGAUUGCAAUAAAGCAAUAGAGAGUUAGCUACAUAUAUUGAAGUGGAAUCUAUGCUCUUUGCAAGACAAAAAGCUAUCCUAGAUAGUAAGUACUCGGCGGUAUACUCUUGUAGCUCAUUGAUUCCUUACGCAAGUUAGAGCCUUAUGAAAGAGGGAAGACUACUUAUUAAUAGGCAACUUUUCUUUAGACAUAAAAAAGACUGCUAUUUGAGGGAAUGCAGCAUGGGCCCUAUAACUUGCUUUUCUAUUUCCAACCAAAGCUAGAAGAGCAGCGCGUCUAUCCCGAGUUUUUGUGUCUAGCUUGCUUGCUCACUUCCUAUAACGGCAAUCAAAGAAAAUCUUGUUCUGAUCCUAUAACUUAACUAAACUUAACUAAGUAGUAAAGAGAAGAUUAGGAUGAGUAAGCCCUGACUUCAAGUCUAUGUAUAGCAACUAGCUAUAUUACUACUUAUUAGUCAUACUUUAUCUCGAUGGACCUAUUAGCGCCUAUUUAGAAUAAUAAUAAAGUCUUCUAUAGUUACUGGCAUAUUACUCCCAUCAGUGAGAAUUGUAUACGUAGGAGAGAACCUUGCGCAAAAAGGGCUUUGCUUUAUGGUAUAGAUUAGGAAUUGGAAUAAGUAAGGCUAACUAAAAGAGAGAAGAGGGUCUACAGUCAUUCUAUCUCAACACUGAAGAAUAAGACGUCUAUCCUUACUUUUGCAUUAAAUAGAAUAAUAUUAAAGGGAGGGGAGUAUAUCGAAUAUAAGGCUGCCCUCAGGCAAACCCAUAAUAAGGCUAAUGAAAGCGAAGCAGAAUUUAAAACAAAUAAGGUACACUCUUGAUCCUUACACCACAUCUUUACUAUGACUAAAAAGUGUCGGAAGGAGAAAGUCAAAGAAGGAAUCGAAACUUGCAGAUAAUGAAUAUAAAGAUGAAAGAUUGAAUGCUUUAUCAGAGAUAGAUUUUGACUUGGGCUUGAACAAAUCCAUUCUUCGCCUUUCUUCGCUAGUUCACUUAAGUACAUAGGUUAUGGCAAUACAACAUUCUAUCUUUUGCUUAGGCUUGAAACACUUAUUUUCUUAUUAUCUUUUUUAUUUUCUUUCGCCCUAGGCAAUCUCUUUGCUUGCUGACAUAAAUUUUCAACAUAGAUCAAGUUGUUUUUUACGAGUUUUACCUCUUCUUACUUCUUGACAUCAGAAAGACUAGCGCUUACCUCCUUCCCAGCAACCACAUAUCUGUCUGCUCAAAGCACAUUCAGAGUAUAGUUGACUAUUCCUCCUUUACGUAUCUCAGCCAAAGCCUACUUUAUUCCUGCUCUUCCAAAGGCGCAUCGGGUAGGGAGAAUCCGGUUCACCGAGCUCGGCGCGGCAAAACUGCUUCGCCAGAUUGGUGGCUAUUGCGACGAAUUCGCUCGCGUCCCCGGCUUCCGUAUAAUCGGAGAAGAUUUGUUGAAGAGUAUCUCCUCCCUCACUAUUCCACAAUACAUGAUUUUCAAUGAACGAUCGUGCAGAUUCACCUUCCUCUAAAGGAAGAGGAGUGCCUACUUCGUGAAAUAUUCUUUUAACCUUGGAAGUCAACUCUGCAAUUAUGUCUUCGGGAUGGGCGGCGUGCGCCAUUUCCUGCUGGAGGUCUGGUAGUCCGCCAACGAGAGGUUGGUCUAUGGGAAAGUCACCCUCGUUAGGAGCAUUGGUCAUGAUGAGAACAUUGAGAUCCACGACAUUCCCAUUCCCAAGAUGAAAGGCUAUUCCUUGAACUCCGAAUAAGACAACAAAUGCCAUUAUUAGUACUGUCAACGCAAGACCAAACAAUGUUAUAGCAAUGAACAAAAGAAUGACACUUGGAAAUAUGGUCUGAAUAAUUUUGAUAGUAGUUCCAUGAACAAUCCUUUGUGGGAUUGGAUUAGUUUGCUCGUUGAAAUGCCAUAAAGCGCGAACCAACAUCCGUGUACGAAAACCAAAAUAAGAAUGAGGAAGAAAAAGAUAUCGUGAUGUAAGUCAAUGAUCAUGGGACUCUGUCAAAGGAAAGGGACAGAAUAGAAAGCUACCGAUGCAGCUGAUCGGUCUCCUCGAUCGUUCCCUCAAUCGGUCACUCCUCGUCAACCUUGUUAAAGGAAGUUCAACUAAACAACUGCACUAAAGGAAAAAUAUUCGGCAUCGCUUGAUCAAACAAAGGGAAAAAUCAUCAAGAAUCUGAUCUUGCUCUGAAUCAUCUACCAAGAGUUCGCUGUCAACGCAAUUUGAGUUGGCCAACUCCGGUGCCUCUAAGUCAGAAGUAUCUCUAUUGGCAAGCUCUCAUUGACAUAAUCCGGUGUAGGUGUAGGGAGCUGACUCUCAUGUGGAUCAAGAAAUAUCUCCGUAGUGCUCAGGACAGGCCGUGAGCAUCUUAUCUGCUUGGAUCAGGUAACAGCUUCAUUUCUUUUUAGAAGCUCAAACACAGUGUUUUCCAAUAUAGAAGCAGAGUAGUUCUUGUGCAAUCUAGGCAUAGGGCUACUAGAAUCCAUCACUAAAAGAGGAGUUUUCCGAGCUCUAUCGACACAACAGGACUCUAGAUAUUGGCAACAAAAGGGCACUUGCCCCUAAACUAGAUUACUCUUCUUCUUCCUAUGAUAAAGCGGGGGCUGAAAGGGACUCUUUAAAGUACUUCAACGUUAUCACUGGACGUUCGUGUCAAUCCAACUGGAGGAGGGAAAUCGGGAGAAUAAAGAAGUCUUGCACAAGGGCGGCCUCUUUCCAUGCCUUCAAAUCCAUUUGCCACACUUUUAGAUCUCGGAUAUACAAUGAUGAAUCCUGACGAUUUACGAUCACAGAACACAGUAAUAUGAAUGUCUCUCACGAGCCCCAAAGAGUCAAUCAAGUAUGACUGCUUUGUUGGCACAGGGAAAGGUAGAACGACCUUCCGCCAUGACAACCGCUCACUAGGCUUCUUGCUGUGGUGAAGUUGCUUCAUCACCCGGCUCAACAUCAGCCUCAUCCCCCCAUUUUAAGCUUUGGUUAUAGUAUCCUUUAGUUCCACUUCUUCACCGAUCUCUCCCGCAAUCUUCUUUCCCCACUCCUCAUCCAAGUGAGGAGCUACCCGAGAUCAUCGAAACCCACCACACAAACCCUAACUAGCAAAACCGAUCAAUGAACACCAAGGGAGGGUAGAGGCGUCAGAUGACAAUUGAAGUAGGGGUCUGCCUCUUUCAAAGGGAAGCAAGAGUCUCAUAGGGAAGGAGGUCCUGCACAGACCAAUCCCAAUCAGGAAGAGAGUCUUGUUGUCAAUGAAAGCAAUUUUUCUAUGUCACAUAUCUGCCUAUCUCGUGUUGUGAGCUAUAAAGUACCCACCAGGGGGGGUGGACCAAGAAAGAGGCAGGCGAUUGGGUCCUUCCCAUCCUCUGUGAUGUCAGUCUCUUUGUCAUUCUUUCACCCUUGUUGAGUAGCGAAGUGAGCAUACUCAAGAUCCAAUUCAUCAAUCAUUUGAGUUUGUACGAACAUAGGAAUCCAGACUCCACUUGAUUUGAUCUUCAGUUUCGACCUUCAUCAGUCAGGAAAAAGAAGAAGGACCCACGUAUUCCACUCGAAGAGACCGAACGAGGCAACAAAAAAAGAAAAACUGAAGGAAGUUCUCCUAAAAACUAAAAUAUGAUUGACAUUUUCAAAAUAGGCAUUUAAAAAACUUAAGGCAUUAUUUGAUCUAGAGGUGCAAAAUUGUACUUCUAUUAUAUCAACAACCAUAAUCCAAAGUGACUCGCUACUAACAGAAUAUUGUUCAAGUAGUCGACAUGUCAAUCUUUGUAAUUAAGACAUAACCCGCAAGAGGAUGGUGGGGGCAACCUCUCUACAUCUGCGGGCCGGUAGGCCAGCCAACUAACUCUUCAAAUGAAGAAAUGAUUACUCCACAUCUAUGAACCUAUCAUUCCCCGCCCUUGCCCAUUAUUUCUUUUUGUAUCACGCUAGGACUUUGCCUCUUUUUUGGAGGAAAAAUAUGGAAGUAGAAUCUCCUCGCUUUUAGAGGCGUCUUCCAAAUCCAAUUUCAGAUCAAUGAGGUCUUUCAGAGAGCCGCUGCUCUUUCCAUGAAAUUCUAGGAUCUCUUCGAUCCUCUGCGCAAAAGCAAGGUGUGAGCCCGCGACCCCUCGAUCGCUCUCAGAGUCAAUCGGCCCAAACCGGGUUAUGAGCUCAACGAAAAAAAACUAUUUUGUGAAAUUGCCUGCAAAACCACCUUGCGAGCGUUAGCGUUAGCGUCAGCACCAUCUCCCGAUGGAUAUUUUUUGCGCAUCUCCAAUAGCGCCUUGGCCCUAUUUUCUUCUUCGUCUAUUGGGGAAGAAGAAGAGGUGGAGUAGCAGGCGGAUCUCAUCCCUCCUACGGACUUCCCCGUACUCAAAGUGACUCUGAGAGAUUGCACUUCUCUACUAAUAACAUUCUGUUCAAGAAUCACUAUUUUCAUGAUCAAAUGACGAAAUAGAUAUACGAACUGUAUAGGAUCAUUCGCUGGGAUGGGAUAAGUGAUUCUUUUAUAGGAUUCCCAUGGGAUCAUAGAAUCAACUAAGGAUGGAAUAGGUAUUUGUGAUCGAUCAGCUUCCAGUAUGACCGAAGACUUUCUAUCUGCAUUCAGCAUAACCACACAAUCAGGUUGUUGGUUCAACCCAAAAAUGAUCUUCUUCUUUCUUGAACGGAAUUUUUUUAUUUGCAAAAGAAUUGGUCAAAAACGCCCUGACCUUCCAUUGAGAAUCAUCGAAACAAUGAGAAUUCACAUUUCUUAAAUAGCUUCUUAAAUAACUCACCAUUUCUUCUGUGGCUAUCGAAUUAAGAACGAUAACAGGACUUGUAGGUUCUCGUGCAAUUCUAGAUCAUGUGAAAAAAAUAGGUCACUUGACUCAGUCUGUCACUUUCAAGCCGUUGCACAAGCACUUAUUAAAUUGAAAUAGGGGCAUCCAUUUUCGAGCUCUAUUGCACUUUCCACACCUGUUGUGUACAAUCAUCCAUACAUAAGUAUAACAAAAGAUUCGGAUCCGAAAACUGAAACAAGGCAUAGUUGGAUAGGUGUCGUGCCCUGGUCUAGGGAUAUUGCUAGGACCAAUAAUAGGAAUAUCAUUUCAAUAGCGCUAGGAAGAAGCCCCACGGGGCGUAGCAGUUGGUGGGGAGGUUGGUGUACCGCUAGCCCAUAUUCUGGCACCGAUACGAUGUCCUUUCGAGGAAGUGGUUCAAUCAGAAAUAAGGUGCGCGGAUCAAAGCAUUGAACGACAAAACCCCUUUUUAAUGUGGAUUUGAUAAAGAGCAAGUAAAUCCACCGUUUACGGAUUGGAAAACAGGGGCUAUAUACUAAACCUGGGAUGGGACUCCACCACCCGUCAACCCUUUGCUUUGAACUGCUUUUCCAAGGAACCAAACUAGGCUAACUUGAAUCUGUUUACUUGACUUCUAUUUGAAACUACUCCUCCCCUCGAUGCAUAUUAUCAUAUAGAAAGAAACGUUGCUAUUCCGUUGCGUCUUAGACAUUUCACUGAUGCGGGGCGGGGCCGUCAGAGCGGGACUUCUUUGGUAAAAAUAACUUGAUUCUAUUCCUUUUUAGUAAGGAGGCGGCAUUUCCCAUAAGGAAAGGUAUGUCAUUUACAACCCCGGCGUAUUGAGGCCGCUUGAAGGCCCCGCUCACGCGAAGUGAUUUAUCAAAAUUCUUCUUUCUCGAUGGUGAUCGGUCAUGGUAUCCAUAACAUUGCAUCUUUUUCGGCCAAAUCCGGAUUUUGUUUUGCUUCUCCCGGUCGAUCGACUCGACUCUUUUCCCUGCCCCCCGGCCUCUCACUUCAUUUCAUUCUUCCUCUGUACCCUCGCUUGAAUGAAGACACCCGAUCGGCCCGACUUUCACAAAUGUCGGCCACCAGCCCUUUUCCUGUAGUACGGGUCUUGAUUUCUUGUCUUGUUUUCGUUUUAGUCAUGGUGAUCGCCCGGGAAGAAAGAAAUGAAUGAAUGUCCUUUUGGGAAAAUGUAGAAUAAUACACCUACCGAGACGAAAGCCAAGGGCGAGUUUCAUAGGUGGACGUAUCGAACUAAAAUAAGAUCUAAGAUUGACAUCUUGAUACAAUGAUUUACCAUAAUAAUAAAUAGAGUCAAUGGUGACAGAGCCGUGGGAAGAGCCACUUCUUUUUUGUGGCGGGGGCUUUCAUUCACCAGCGCAGACUACAUACACGUGCUCUCUGAACCGUGCUAGAUAGUCACCCAUCACACGGCUCUCAAACCCAACCUGUGGUGGAUCCCGGGGGACAAAGCAAAGUUAAAGCGCUUGAUCCUUUGCCCCAUACUUUGAGAUCUUCCUCCCCGCCGAUCAAGCCGCAACGCAGCUCGUAAUAGGCUUAGCUUAAGCCGCUAAUGUUCAGUUCGGAUAAGCAAAGUCCCUUCGGUCGGUUCGCUCAGUUGGUCUUCCCUUAUUUUCCCUAACAUUCAGAGUUGUUAUGGUUUGAGAAAGGAGCACCACCAAGUCCACUAGGGGCGCCCUGAAUGAAUAAGAAAUGGACAGCUGAGGUCAGGCUUGCAUGAAAAAAGAAGAUAAUAAGUUAGAUGUACACACCUGAGGUUGGUAAGAACUGAGGGACAAUGCCCUCCCUCACUGGGCCCAUCAGUGAAAGCAACUGCUACUUAAUCGUAGGUUUGCUUUCGUGCAAGGCCCCCGCUGCUGGAACAGGCGGUUGUCAUUUUCAAGUAUACGCCCCGCCCCCUUUCUUUGCCCGCCGGUCGCCUAGCUUGUUAUUCUUUGAGAUCUGGAUAGAGUCUCGCUUCGGGGCGGGGGAAGCAUGGAUUCGAUAGAUCUAUCGAAUCCAUGCUGCAAGCAGCAAGCGUAGGCUAAAAAGGCAAUAGUCUAACGUUGGGGUAGGGCGCGCCAAAACAACUGGGGGCCCCGGAGGAGUCAGUACAAAAGUACUAUAUUCUUUCCACUUACUUUCAUUGGCUAGCUGCCUUUUGUAGCGCGUGUACUCUGAUCCUCUUCUACGAAUCUACAACUCUCUUUACUGAGCGAGACUUCAUCUAUAUACCUAAAAGUGGAUUUGGAUUCCCAUUUAUUCUUUGAAUGACAGCUUCAACUAGGCUCCACCUUAGAGAGGGUUUUCGGUUUGAAUCAAGAUAGGGUCAGGGGCGCGUCGGAACGGUAGCUGCUUAGUCUCAUCCGAGAGUCCAAUCUCUUUUGUGCUUGCUUUUGUGUCUUUGAAUAAAAAAGAAAGAAGGGGGUCGAUUUAGGCUCCUUCCCUUCCACUGCAUAGCUGCACUAUCAGGUACUACGAGCCCUCUGCCCCACGCAUCUAACCAGCUCGCGUGGUUCACCGGUUCCACCGAAAACUCUCAUUUGUUGAAGCGGAGCAUAGUGUGGCGUUGAGCGAGAAAGGUCUCUUUUUUGGUUUAUUCACUGAUCUGAAAUGAAACUCAUCACUUGUUUUUUUAUUGAUUCCUGGGGCUAGGCGUUCGCAGAAUCAAUCUAUCCGAACCGCAGACGCACUUUUUAGAUCAGUGACGGCCUCUCCAGCAGAGCUGGGCGCCGGGGCCCUGGAUGCGCUAGCGAUCGGCACAUUAGGGGAGUACUUGCCCGGGUUUCUCGGCCUGGUAUCCUUAACCUCGCGUUCAUGAUAUCUACAUUCAACUGUGCCCCGGAGACACGGUCGAAGCACGCCCGCCCCGUGUGCGUCUUUCACGACAUGCUCUGGUCCCGGGUUUCUUCCUAUGGUCUUCUAGCGUUAGAAGAAGUCGUGUCCGUCCCGGACAUCUGCAACGUCCUCUCACGCCUUUUUUGGGGGGACAAACAAAGAUCAAGAAAAAGACGGACCGAACCCAUUCGGUGACUUUCGCGGUCGCCCUCACUGAACCGACUUGGAUCUGAACUACGAUUCAGAUCAAGUCUUACCGAAAUUGGAUUUCCUUUUCGUGCCAUAUGUCGCUUAGACUUUACUUUUUCCCCUUUCCGCCCUUUCCUCUAUUUGUUCGAUAGGGUCUUCGUUUUAUUCGAAUUCUAAACCCAUUGUCGUCCACAGUUUCCUUGUCGAUACGAAGGGGCCAGCAGCCCCCAUACCAAAGUCUGAGAUCAGAACUCAUACCGCGGUUGUGGCUUGAAGGCCGCAUGCAAGUUCUGAAAUAUUUAGAGAGUAUGUGUUAGUACGAGAUCGCGCUAUCAACUUAUUUCAUCUUUCUCGAUGAUUAGGACAAAAUUGUAUCCCUUAGGAACCGUACAUGCACCUUUGUUUGGAUGUCGAUCUAAUAUUGUUACAAUAUGAAAUACUUGAAGGCCACACGCAAUUGACUCACCUACAUUUUAUGCUCCCACCCUUUUGUAGAAAAAGCCUCUGCCUCUGGGGAAGUGCUCACAUCAACUCCAAUUUGGAUGGAGCUUCUCGAUGGGUUAGAGCAUUUGCGAACCAAAAAGGGGAAAUACCCAUCCUCCAAAGUAGUGAAGUGAGCCAGUACAAUAAGACAAUAGGUCUCAUGGGCCAAGCCUGCUAUCAGGCAGUGAGUGGGAAUCAAUCCUGAAAGAGAGAAGGUCUAGUGCUCUCUGAAAAUAUUUGAUUCGCUGAAAAAUUGGCUUUAUCAGACCAAUCCAUGUUCAGAAGUCUUCCAUCAAAAGUCAGUGGUCUAGGCCGCUUUCCUUGACUUUGAGUUGGAUCUCAUUCUUAUUCCCGGCACAAAAAGAGGGUAGACUUCAUCCGAGACACAUGGGUUCUUUUGCUUCCUUCAAAGAACUCGUCUUUGAGCCUCUAAAAAGAAGGGCAUAGUAUCCCAGCCACCUAGACCACCUAAAAGGAAGGAAUUGGUCCUUAGCUUUGAGUGAUCCAAUCAUUGGUGAAUGGCUUCAGUAAGGUAGAAGGAAAGGGCCCCUCCCGACCUGGGAAAUUCACAGCAGGAAAGACUGGCGCCGAUCAGCGAAAGCGAACCCUUCAGUACAUCGCGUUCAUCCCUCCCUCAAUAUCCCAUUUGUUUUACUGAGGAAUCACUCUUGAUCCUCUAAAGGCUCUUCUCCGUCUAUAACUCAAAGUCCAUCUGUCUCUCGUGGAAGCGCUUUAGAGUGCCUAGAAGAUCCAGCAAACGGGGGUGCCAAUGUUGUCCCAAGACCAGAUCACGAUAGGUAGCUGCUUUAAAGAGGUUGGGAGACAGAUUGGUGAACAAUCUUCUUCUUGUUUUCUCCGACUUAGAGCACUCUUUUUUUCAAUCGUACGAAGAAACUCCGUGAAAAACCCAGCUAUCACUCCUAUGAGACGGCUAACUCCCAACUCCCGAUACAUUCUUUAGAGUCGACCAAAGGACUCGUUGGUUUGGACAUAGUUUCUUUGUUCUUGUGUUUCUGUUUUGCUCUCCCCCUUUUUUCACUUAGUUUAGUUGGAAUGGAAAGAGAACUUCCUUCAGUUUUCCUUUUUUUGCCUGGUUCGGCCUCUCCGAGUGGAAUAAGUGGGUCCUUCUUUGUUUUCCUGACUGAUGAAGGUCGAAACUGAAGAUCGAAUCAAGCGGAGUCUGGAUUUCUAUGUUCGUACCAACUCAAAUGAUUGAUGAAUUGGAUCUUGAGUAUGCUCACUUCGCUACUCAGCAAGGGUGAAAGAAUGACAAAGAGACUGACAUCACAAAGGAUGGGAAGGACCCAAUCGCCUGCCUCUUUCUUGGUCCACCCCCCUCGUGGGUACUUUAUAGCUCACAACACAAGAUAGGCAGAUAUGUGACCUAGAAAAAUUGUUUUCAUUGACAACAAGACUCUUUCCUGAUUGGGAUUGGUCUGUGCAGGAUCUCCUUCCCUAUGAGACUCUUGCUUCCCUUUGAAAGAGGCAGACCCCUACUUCAAUUGUCAUCUGACGCCUCUACCCGCCCUUGGUGUUCGUAGAUCGGUUUUGCCAGUUAGGGUUUGUGUGGUGGGUUUCGAUGAUCUCGGGUAGCUCCUCACUUGGAUGAGGAGUGGGGAAAGAAGAUUUCGGGAGAGAUCGGUGAAGAAGUGGAACUAAAGGAUACUAUAACCAAAGCUUAAAAUGGGGGGGAUGAGGCUGAUGUUGAGCCGGGUGAUGAAGCAACUUCACCGCAGCAAGAAGCCUAGUGAGCGGUUGACAUGGCGGAAGGUCGUUCUACCUUUCCCUAUGCCAACAAAGCAGGCAUACUUGAUUGACUCUUUGGGGCUUGUGAGAGACAUUCAUAUUACUGUGUUAUGUGAUCGUAGAUCGUCAGGAUUCAUCAUUGUAUAUCCGAGAUCUGAAAGUGUGGCAAAUGGAUUUGAACGCAUGGAAAGAGGCCGCCCUCGUGCAAGACUUCUUUAUUCUCCCGAUUUCCCUCCUCCAGUUGGAUUGACACAAAAGUCCAGUGAUAACAUUGAAGUACUUUAAAGAGUCCCUUUCAGCCCCCGCUUUAUCAUAGGAAGAAGAAGAGUAAUCUAGUUUAGGGGCAAGUGCCCUUUUGUUGCCAAUAUCUAGAGUCCUGUUGUGUUGAUAGAGCUCGGAAAACUCCUCUUUUAGUGAUGGAUUCUAGUAGGCCUAUGCCUAGAUUGCACAAGAACUACUCCGCUUCUAUAUUGGAAAACACUGUGUUUGAGGUUCUGAAAAGAAAUGAAGCUGUUACCUGAUCCAAGCAGAUAAGAUGCUCACGGCCUGUCCUGAGCACUACGGAGAUAUUUCUUGAUCCACAUGAGAGUCAGCUCCCUACACCUACACUAGAUUAUGUCAAUGAGAGCUUGCCAAUAGAGAUACUUCUGACUUAGAGGCACCGGAGUUGGCCAACUCAAAUUGCAUUGAAAGCGAACCCUUGGUAGAUGAUUCAGAGCAAGAUCAGAUUCUUGAUGAAUUUUCCCUUUGUUUGAUCGAGCGAUGCCGAAUCUUUAUAGCGCAUUUCCCCCUAUCCAUGCUAUACGACUUGUCGCCGUGAAGCACAUGCCUGCGAAACCUUCUUAUUCUGCUGAAUAAAUAAUAAAGUACUUAGAAUGAAUGGACUAAAGAUCCACUUUUCAAAAGGGACGACUCCGCCUACAUGUGAAGAUCUUUCAAGCGAAAAUAAUGGGUAGCCAUGAGAAAUCUCGAUCGGUGACUCUGAUACCAUGAUAUCAUUGGUCGAAGAAUUCCUUGCCUCGCGGGACAUGUAAAGAGACCUACCCACCACCCUUGUGCGUGCGAACCUUACAAGAGAUGCUGAUGCCAGCUACACCGCGCUUUCUUUCCGACCGACCUGACAUUCCGAGGAGAAGAAGGAAUGGUUGUAUGCAUGCGCCGGACGCCUAUCAAAAAGUAAAAGAAACCAUGGAUGGGGAGAAAGAAAUCCCUACUUACUUGAUAGGUUUUCGGGUCUCAGAAACAUAGAAAGGAUUUCACAAAUAGGAUAAAUGUCCAGUGAGGACAUCUCCUUGCUUGCUUUUUCAUUGACUGAUUCUAGUGGCUGUCCCAGUGAGAGAAUUACCAGUGUUUGUCAUUAGACUUUAUCUUUCCACGGUGAACUCCUUUGUUGUUGAAAAUCGGUUGGCUGGAUUGACCUUUGGGAUUGAGUCACUCGUACAUUGAAUCAGAGUAUUUCUUUUCAAUACGAAAAUAGGUGGUAUCCAAAAGGACAAAAACUGCAACUAGGGAUCUGGUGGACUACUGUCACUAUCUUUAACACGAGCUUCUUCCUUGUGCGAAGUACCAACUUAUUGGAAUUCAGCAUUGCAUAUUCACUACCGAGAUCUCUUAUAAGUUUUGGGACCAGAAUGAAUUCUUCCUACAGAUGCCUUAAAGGGUGCAGUUUAGCAACCAAGCGUACAAUGACCGAAACCAACAGCUCCAUCAUUUCUGAGAACUUCUCUCUCGCAUAGAGGAGAUCUUGGCACUACUUUAGGUGUUCAAUCCAGGGAGCCGCCCUCUUCUUCAUAUCUUGCUUGAUAUUGGUUUCAUAAUGAAAAGAGGAAGGAGUGUCGAAGAGAUGUCGCUUCUCUACUCUCAGCUCUUUGCUCGAGAUGAUGUGAUCUGAUCGAUCAGUCUAGAAUGUGUAACCAAUUGGCUAAGUCGCUAUGUCAUUGCGGACACUUGCCAUCCCUUUCUUCUGAUCGAUUGAGGAAUCGCGGAUAAUGACACCAUGUUUGUAGCAUCUACUGCUAUUGCAAGGCCCGAAGCACGUGGGAGAAUGUUCGUUUUUUCUGGAUCGGAUUAGCAAAAACAAGCAAGCGUGUGAUGUGGCGCUAGGCUAGCAGUGGGUAACCAACAUAGUGCCCCAUUCGUUCCAUGACAUCCAAUCAGUUCUCCUCGAAUUCCAAUCCAAUCUCCCAAUCAAUGAGAAAUAGACGGUCGGAUGAGAUCUCGAACGUUGUCCCUACCUACUGAGGAAUCAAAAGUGUACGUAGAAAAAGAGAUUGUUGGAAAUGCAUCAAGGAGAACUUACCUUGUGAGUCACUACUCCGGCACUGGGCAGGAAUACUACUAGCGAGGCUUAUAGGCGGCUAGUUCUUAAAGAAAUCUGUCAGCUAUAACCUAGCCUAUUGAAUUUGUUCAUUCUGGAAUUGAAUGUCACAAACAAGACUCAUACUUCAGAAAAAAAAACUGCUUGAAUCAGUAGCUGUAAUCCGCAGCUUUAGAGAUAGGGGCGGCAGUCACAGCAUUGGCAACAGUGAGCAGAGGUCAAGAAGAAGAAGCGGUAAGAGCGGUUAGAGAGUAAGAAGCGGCUCAUCAAACCUUUCUGCUUCGGUUACAGCUCAAGCGGUUUGUUUUCAAGUAAGGUACUCAAGCAAGCUUUCCUCCUGAAGACAGAGUUUCGGGUGAGCUAGCAAAGAAAGUCAGCAGUUAACCGGAAAUUUAGGUCAAAUUAGCAUUCCGAUAAAAGGUUUCCCCCGAGCCCCCUUCCAAAAGGAAUAGAAGGCGCAAGCUAGACCUAUUCAAUAGAUCAAGUCUAGCUUUGCCAACUAUUUGAAAAGGAAGAUUCGAACAGGAAACUAAUUCAACGGAAAAGAAAGCUAAGCUCAAGACAGGACUAGAGGAGUGGGCUCCACUCCGCGAGAUCUUGUUUCCCCCUCUCCGGUAGAUCUAUCCUCAUCUCUACGGUUCCCAGUACCCACUCAGUUGCUCCAGUCACGCCUCUCGGAUUCACUCCUCAAGGCUAGGAACAGUCCUGCGGCACCGGGUCGAUACGGACUAAAGUCCAUGUCUCCCCUAUCCGGGGCAUAGGGCUGCUGACUCUACUUAAGCAGCCUAGAACCCCGGACUGCGGGCUUUCACUCUUACCCAUGAAGGGAUAAGAGCUCAGAGCCCUGGCUUUCCUGACUAGAGCUGAUUCGUGGGUCCUGUUCUCCUACGUUCUGAGGAACGAUCUACCUCCAUUCCUUCCCUUCAACAACAUCCCUCUCCAUUCCGGAUAAGGGAAUUGAAGGACUUAAAUGAGAGAAUAAGGCAAGCUCAAGCAUUUUCAAUUCCUAAUUUAAGUAUAUAUAUACCUUUCCGGGCAGCAGAGCAGAGGGAGAGGAGCCCUCGUCCAUACGAUGGCCGGGAAUAGAGGGGGAAGCUAAUUACACUGUUCGGUUUCCUAACAUAGGACUGAGCAUGUCUCAAGGGACUGAGACAUGCACUAACAAGGCUCAUGCGUAAAGGGAUGCCACCUCUAAGGGUGCAGAUUUUACAACAGGAAAGGAACAGAUUUGGGAUCUUACCCUUGUCGAGUCCGGUCGCCUAGGGUGCUUAGGCAAGGUAUCGAUGCUAGAGGUACCGAUCUAAGCUUUCCCUAUUAAAGGGAAUUCCUCCUAACAUCGGAAACUCUAUUUAUUUGGGAUCGGUCUUCCUCGUUCCUUGCCUGGAAUGCUAAUGUUCGGUUCUGAAUGCAUUAGGCAUAGCCCUUGUUUGCUAUUAAAAAAGGUGUCCAACAAGGACUUGGAGCCUGAUUGUGAAGGAUCAUACGUCAGGUCUCGCAAAUCGGCCAAAUAGGCCUCCUUUUUGGAGUGAACAAGCCUUUUCCCUUUGAUCCCUCACGUGAUCAAAUCAAGUCCGUCUACUUGAAAGCGAAGUACUUCAGCGAUUAGUAGUUCAUAAUGUUGGUCUUAUUCAAGGUAGUUUUUAAAAACCUAGCAAUACCAUUAAGAACAAGGUCGACGAGGAGUGACUGAACACUUGAGGGAACGAACAAGGAAGACCGAUCCAAAAUAAAUAGAGUUUCCGAUGUUAGGAGGAAUUCCCUUCAAUAGGGAAAGCUUAGAUCGGUACCUCUGGCAUUGGUACCUUGCCUAAGCACCCUAGGCGACCGGACUUGACAAGGGUAAGAUCCCAAAUCUGUUCCUUUCCUGUUGUAAAGUCUGCACCCUUAGAUGUGGCAUCCCUUUACGCAUGAGCCUUGUUAGUGCAUGUCUCAGUCCCUUCAGACAUGCUAAGUCCUAUGUUAGGAAACCAAACAGUGUAAUUAGCUUCCCCCUCUAUUCCCGGCCAUCGUAUGGACGAGGGCUCCUCUCCCUCUGCUCUGCUGCCCGGAAAGGUAUAUAUAUACUUAAAUUAGGAAUUGAAAAUGCUUGGGCUUGCCUUAUUCUCUCAUUUAAGUCCUUCAAUUCCCUUAUCCGGAAUGGAGAGGGAUGUUGUUGAAGGGAAGGAACGUAGGUAGAUCGUUCCUCAGAACGUAGGAGAACAGGACCCACGAAUUAGCUCUAGUCAGGAAAGCCAGGGCUCUGAGCUCUUAUCCCUUCAUGGGUAAGAGCGAAAGCCCGCAGUCCGGGGUUCUAGGCUUCUUAAGUAGAGUCAACAGCCGUAUGCCCCGGAUAGGGGAGACAUGGACUUUAGUCCGUAUCGACCCGGUGUCGCAGGACUGUUCCUAGCCUCGAGGAGUGAAUCUGAGAGGCAUGACAGGAGCAACUGAGUGGGUACUGGGAACCGUAGAGAUGAGGAUAGAUCUACCGGAGAGGGGGAAACAAGAUCUCGCGGAGUGGAGCCCACUCCUCUUGUCCUGUCUUGAGCUUAGCUUUCUUUUCCAUUGAAUUAGUUUCCUGUUCGAAUCUUCCUUUUCAAAUAGUUGGCAAAGCUAGACUUGAUCUAUUGAAUAGGCUAGCUUGCGCCUUCUAUUCCUUUUGGAAGGGGGCUCGGGGGAAACCUUUUAUCGGAAAAAAGAGCUGAGUCAACUUGCCCAAAUUUUCAAUUCGUGAAAUUCAUGUGACUAAAAUACAUUCCUUUCUUUAGUCUUUCCGGUAUAGCGUCGCGUCGGUCGAUAUCGCAGAGUCUAAUUUCCUAUCUCGGAUUUGAACUCGGUGGGUUCCAGCAGCUAGCCUACACUGGAGAAGAACCACAACCUGUGCCAUCUUGUUCUCAGCGGUGAGCAGUCUCUUUUUCAGUUCAUUACCAGGGAGCUACAGAUGACACUGAUCUAAUCUCAAAUUAGUCUAGCUGCCAUGAUCUUCCUGGUUGACUGAGCAACUUACAUUCAGGGAAAGUGUGGUAAGGCGGGUAGCCUUGCACUGGCCGUUAUCCCCGGGGGAUGAUUUUACUCGAUAGGAUCAUGGCACUUCGAAAGCUAGUCUAUCGAAUGUUUGUCGAAGCAACUAUCGUACGCGCUGAGAGUUCACAGGUCAAGCUAUGUCAAUUCAAAACGGCCUAAGUUUGAAUGCAAUUCUAGAUCUGAAAUAGGAUCAGUUUCCAUACAUCUGUCUUUUUCAGAAAGUAAGGUCUGCCGGUUUGCAACUCUGAAACUGAAAAGGAAAAGUAAUGUUAGCCGGUUUCGAGUUCCAGAUUGUUACCUGACUGCUCCGCCUUAACGCGAAAAGAUCGGAAAAGUGCCUAUCUUUUUUAUCGGUUCCAGUUCCUUGCACUUUCAAUAGGGUCCUACUUAGUUUUUUAUGGGACGCGUUUUCAUGCAGAUUCGUUUAGUAAAAGAGGCCUGGUGGUACCUAAUAUUUCCCUUGUUAAAACAAGGCUUCGAUAGGUAGGGUCUCGAAGGGGCCUCCCUCGUUCUUGCUCGUAAAACAAGUCUCUCCUUCGGUUUUGCUUUUUUUUGGCUUCCUUAAUUUGAUGAAAUCAAGCUGUUCGACCACAGAUAGGAUCGGUCGCUCGGGAAAACCCACUGUUUCCUGCCCUUUUCUGAACAGGGAAAUCUGCUUGGAAAAGGCCCUUGUUGCUUGUUCAUGGCAUCUAUUCUCUAUCUUCACUUUUCACCUUCUCAUCCUCAACCUUAGUGAUCUGUUCCUCCUAGACAUCCUUCUGCGUACAAAAAUAGAAGAAGAAGCAUGGGCAUAAAUCAAUAGAAUAGUUUAGUUUCAGAAGUCUUUUUUGAUUGGUAUAUCAAUCAUGGUUUAUAGGGAAAUAGUUAGAAUACCAAAGCUCUGUUAGUUCCUAAUGUUUGGGUUUUUGUUUACGGCAAUAGUAGGUUUCUUGCUUGUCAUAUUUAGAAUAUAAGCAUCAGUUACAUUUGAUGUCCAGCCUUUUUAUAGAAGAGAAAGGAAGGUUAAGGGAAAGGGCGCGGCAUAAUAUAUAAGAAACACUUGCUCUUUGAGGGGAAAUUUUUCCAACUAGACCGAUAAAUGAGAAAAAGUACCAGUCGUACCAAGAACCAAAGGCGCCAGCUUUCAUUGAUAUAUAUACCGUAUCUUUUAGCUGAAAAAUCUAUGGAUAAGAACCGACUCUAGGAGGAGGGGUGGCGCGACAGAGCAAUGAAAAGCUGGGAUCUUUCCUUAUCUUCGGUCGUGACGCCUUUUCCUUUUGUAUGAGAAAGCGCUACAAAACAUCAUUCUCGCCGGUUAUCUUCUACUCAAGCAAGCUCUCUCCUAUUCUUCAUCCACCAACUAGCAGGAACGUAGGAGCACAAGAGGGUCAUCAUCUUCUGAAAUGAUUGGCUUUCGAGCUGCUUUCCAAGAGGUCGUUUCUGACAUGACCAGAAAGAGUGGAAUUAUUGUUAGGAUUGGCAUGUCAAGUUGCUUUCUCGGACCCUAACAUAAACCACCUUAUCCUCACUCAGAUUGUUCUUUUGGACUGAGCGGAAGCACGACCUCUAUCUGACGUUUUCUCUAUCCCUUCUAAUCUCUCAAUGGCAUUUCCAUCUCUCGAUUCAAUCAAUCAAGUAAGUCCGGAUGACACUUGUCUUUAUUUAGUGUUUCCCUGGCUAUUCAGCCAUUACUUGCAUCUCAGGUUGUUUGUACCCUUUUUUAGUUCCAUGCACACUGAGGUUUCUGGCAUGACCGAAUCUUUUGAGAACAGGAACUCCAUCCCUUGACACUAAUUUCUGAUACAGAAGUGGAAUCGAAAAAAUGCGGGAAAAAUGCACAUUCAAUAUUGAGAAAAUGUUGUGUAAGUGCCCUUGCCUCAAGGUCUUGAGAAACCAGAAACUAGUGUUCGAUGGCCCAACAAAUCCUAUUGGUUUUCGCAGGGGAUGUCAUUUUUACAAGCUUUCGCAUAUUGAGCGUGACUAUGGAUUUUAUAUAGUUAUGGAAUAACCUUCUUAUCCGCGAGUUCUUCGGCCAAAGACUCCUGAUAUCGCUUGUUGGGCCCUUGAUUCCGAAGUACCAGUACAGAAGGCAGACUUGAAUGCAUUAGGUUGGGAAUUGGCCUAGAAGGUGCUUAAAGAUAGGUGACAAUUGUGAAAGUUUUGUCGACUUGUCGGCAGCAACUGACCUUUCUUUCAUCAUAAGUAGGAAUGAAAGCUGGCAUGCAGAUAAGGAAAUCUCUUUUCUUCUCUUCUACUCGGCUACGGACAUUCUAAAAGGAGAAGCAAUAAAUACAAAAGAGCUAGGUUUGGAUUUGAGUGAGAUCCCGGAUCGGUAGCUUCAGAUAUCCCCUCAGACUGGAAUGAGAAUUUCGAUAGAUUUCUUUGCUUUAAAGGAUAGUUGCAGGUAGGUUAUGCUCCUUUGCCUCAUCCCUAUAGUCUACGGAUUGCCAAUCAAAUAGUAGCAGUAGACUAGCCAUAUUCAUCUUCUACAGUCUCUUGUUUCCCCCUAUUUAAAAUGGUCAGCGUGCGCAGCAGAAAAAAAGGCGCUCUAAUCAUACUCGAGCCCUUAAUCCCCCAAUAGGGCUUACUUACCCGAGUCAAUUCUUUCCUUCCUGUGCGAAAGCAAGGCCUCUUUCUCUACUUUACUUGAAUGCCAUUUACUGAGCUAUCUUCUUUUUUCUUCUUUUGGCGAAAGCACAUUUUAUUAUUUUACGGAAGCAAGACGAAAGGUCAUUUCGCCAAUCUGGGGAAUAACAGUUAGAGCUCUAUACAUAAAGAGAAGGCGUAUUCACUUAAAGGACUGUGAAAUCUACCCUAUGCCCCAAAAAGUCUAGGCACCUAAAUAAAGUAAAGAUGAGAUCCCUGACCAAUAUAUUAAGCUAUCCAAUGAGUUAGGAACCUUUUUUCUCCCCCCUUCUCUUCUCCGCUUUGCACUGUUACUCCUUUUGCAGAUGGUUGGUCACCACUCUUAGGCUUUUUGUUCUCUCCUUGUGGUGGGUCUCCAAUCUUGAUCCGGUGCUGACUUAAUAGGGAAACCUACCCAGAAAAUGCCCCCUUUUCCGGUCCGGUUAACAAAUGAGGGAUUGAAGUCCGUUUCCUUCGUAUCGUGUUUCAACGGAUCGAGUAGUUCUAGUCUUUUUUGAUUACUCCUGAGAACAAAAAUAAAUAUCAUAAAUAGUUUUAUUCUAACUAGACUCUUAUACCUCCAAUUAUAUGAUAAUGCACAUUUAUGUUAAUUAGUGUCUUUAAAGAAUAUCUACUUUAACCAUAUCUUUCCAUGUUUUGAUGGACAAGACUAUUAUUCAAUCAAAGAGAUUGCCUGCCCAUGCUACAAUUCCUUACUCAAAAGGACUAGAGUGCUAAGCUACCUUCUCGGCACCACCACUAUAAUGAAUGGCUCAAACAAAUAGGAGAUGAGAAUGUAAUUGAUCCUUUCUAGAAUAGAAUAUAAAGAGAACCUUGUUCUGCCCAUCUAUCUAGAGAAUGAAAAGGAACUAAUGCCACUGAUAGGAAAUACAUAGACCGUACGCCCACUUACCACUCUACCACUUCAACUCAAUGACGGACUUCGUCGAUACCUAGCUUGAGAGAGAUCGAACGCAGGCAUGUGGUGAACGAUACCGAGAGAAAGAGCACUGAAAUGAACCAUAUCGAGCAUAGGUCUCACUCAACAAGUCAAGUUCGAUGAGCUCUUAGUGGACCUGUGCCUACUAUCUACUAAGUGUGUGCUAGGGAAAGAAACCAAGCUGAGCAGUUCUCACUCUAUCCGGUGACCAAGAAAGCUUAAAGAAUACCGUAAAGUGAUCACUGAAACCUCAUACUAAUUCGCCACGUGAAAGCGGGGUUAAGGUAAGGCAGGAAAGACUGGCGCCGAAAGAUAUAUAUGUUUUGAAGAGAGAGAUCCGCGGGCAAAAAUCUUGAAGGAAGGAUUGACUGAAGGAAAGACCGUAGCAAAAGCGAAGAAGAUGUGAAUCAGGAAAAGGGAGACGAGUUCCAGUUGUUAGAAAGAUCAGUGCCCGGAAAAGCAAGUCGGAAGGGGAUCCGGAUGUCCAGUGCUUAAAGAAAAAAGAUAGGUGUUGCUCUAUUGUUUGCUUUGAGGUUUCCCCUAGUUGGGGAGACCGAGAAGAAAACCAGUAGGAAGGCGAUCCGAAGUCUAGUGUGAAAAGAGAUAGUUGCCCGCCUCUUGAUGGAAAAUUGAAAACAUCCCAACGUAUCUUUCACUAAUUAAGUAGUAGUGAGGCAUCAGUACGUCAGCUGGAGAAGAAUGCUUGCUUUCGUAUCACUGGUGUAGUGAUUGACACGGUCUUCACAUAUUGAACAACCUAAGAGUGGAAACACCUUAAUCGCUUCUCCAAGAUUAUCUAUAUAUAUUUCUCGAUGGAAGCAGAAGGAAAGGCUUAAAGAAGGUGACAAGAAGAGAAACUUAUUAGUUCGUCAUAGCCAACUUAUCAUUCCAAUGAGAGGUCUAAGUACGAUCGAAGUUAUUGAUACCGAUUUAGGCGAGCAGCAUAGCCUGGCAGAGCCAGAGGAAGAAGUUCGUCUUGUUAGCGAGUUAGCGAGUAGUUUCCUUUAGACGAUUUCCGCGAGCAAACUAGCUUUUCACGAACGCGGAGGAGAAAGAAAAUUAACAACCAAUAGGGUGAGGCAACUAACUACCAAUCCUUUUAUUGAAUAGCCGCGGCGUGGGUAAACAUAAAUAAGCCACAAAAGAAAUCAAGACAAAGGCUUCUCACUUUAUAAAGUAGUAAAAAUUGGAUCCCCACUUCGAGGCGCUUGGCGUAGAACUUUGAAAAUCGUCAAUCGGGUGAGCCAGCUAUUAUUGAGGGAGGCCAGGUCUACAUACAUAAUAUCAAGUUGCUCUAGUUGUGUGUCUUUCGUACGGAAAGAUGGGUGUUUUUAUCCAAGCAAGGGAAUAGAAUAGGUAACAACCCCCACCCCCCUCACAUCAAGCUUGUACGCUAGCUACCAACAUAUACUAUGGAGUCCAUGGCUACCUCCGCGGAUGGAAGACCGUAGAUUUUUCACUUUCGCCGAAAAGUUGAACUCUGACUGAAAGGACUUGACACAUUGCCAAGGCAAUUUUAUUAGCCAGCUGCGGGAUAGAGAUCUGUGGUAAACGAGUGAUAGCCUCUAAAGAGUGCCGAAAUAGGAUUGGUUCCUUUUUCUAAAGAUCUGAGACUGGUGAACAUAUUGCAUAAUUUAAAGAAGCCCAUUUCAUUAGAGGGAGGGAGCCCUUUCUACCUUUCUUUAUUUAAGUGCUAGUGUCAAAUGAGACAGUUGCCCGCCUUGGAGGGGUUGUAGCGAAAGCUCCGAAUUCCACUUCUUUACCAACUUGAAUUCAUAAGGAGACCGAACUCUAUUCAUGCUCAAGUGAACCACGGGUGAUGAUAUUCCGCUGUUCUGAAAUCAAAUAGGAAACGGAUGGCGCUUGAGUUUUUGAUCUCGGCAUGAGAAACUAUUCCUCCUCCUUUUGCUUACAAUCACCUCAUUUCCCUUAUAAGAAGAUAAUAGUGCUUGUAUCCUGGGUCAUGAGGUUCCCCUCUUUAGUUUGAUAAGAAGAACUCAAGGUCUCGGUUCCGUAUUAAGUAAAGAUAAGGAACCCGCCCAGAGGAUUUCUUCGGUUUUGGUAGGGAAGCUACGUGUUCGUAUCACGCUAUGGUUGAGGGACCUUCUCGGUUCAAAGCUAACAAAUAGGUCUCAUGUUGGCACUGAAUCGCUAAGAGCAGCCAAACAACUUAACUUGCAGGCUUUCAAACCUGCUCAUACGGUAAUGGCGAGGGGUUUUGCAGAUCCCUUUCUCUAUGAGUUUCGGUUGAUAAUGACUUAAGGUGCGCAACGAACCUCCAAUCACUUUUUCAGGAAUACACAGAGCAAACUAAAGGAACUCCUAACAAGCAGGGGAAUUUCUCCUUUGUUACUGGUCGGGAUGACCUAAAUCCUGUGGUCAGUUUGGACAGGGGCAUUACAAAUGAGCUAUGCUCUAUGAUUUCACUUUGUUUACACGGGUGAGUGACCUACACCUUCCAAUCUAUGGUUUCACCCGCGAGGUAGAACUUUAUCUAAAGCUUAUUCGCUCCGUAAUACACUUGCGCCUUCCUUUAUAACCAUGCACUCCCACUACUUCUUUAGUACAUGGCUGACUUGCUUAUCACAUAUAAAUAGUAGCUAUCUGCUCUUCCACUGGGAGAGGAUUUGCCUGUGAUUGUUUUAAGCAAUUCCCUUAAUCGCCGACCCCUUGCCAAUUGAUUCUGACUUGUUUUAUCGAGAGCAGAGGCGAAUAAUAGGCUUGUCACUCUGCGACUUGAGCUAGUUCCAAUUUCGAUUUGCCCACUACUUGUUUCAUGACUUUAAUUUGAGCCGCGGAUCCUACUCUGGAAACUGAAAUACCCACAUUAAUAGCGGGUCCAAUUCCGGCAUGGAAUAGAUCCGCAGAUAAGAAUAUUUGUCCAUUUGUAAUGGAGAUUACAUUAGUAGGAAUAUAGGCGGAAACGUCUCCAGAUUGAGUCUCAACUAUUGGUAAAGCGGUCAUACUUCCUUCGCCUAAAAGAGAAUUGCAUUUCGCGGCUCUUUCUAAAAGGCGUGAAUGCAAAUAAAAAACAUCCCCUGGAUAAGCCUCACGGCCGGAACUUAAUAGAAGGGACAUUUGGCGAUAAGCUUGUGCCUGUUUGGAGAGAUCAUCAUAAAUUAUUAAAGUAUGCCGUUCACGGUACAUAAAAUACUCAGCCAGGGCUGCUCCCGCAUAAGGAGCGAGGUAUUGUAAUGUAGCGGGUGAAUCCGCCAUUUCAGCUACUACAAUAGUGUACAAAGAAUGAAUAUUGAUCGGUAAUGCUCAGGAAGAAAGAAGGGGUCAUCUUUUUGACUUUUAUUCCACCCUCAUGUACCCUUCUUUGCAUUUUUUUCUAAAGCCUGUUCAACCUCAUAUCACCUAGAACAAGUCAUGGACUUCUUCAAUGAAAGAAAGUCUCAUGGAAACGUUUUCAACGAAAUAAGAACCAUACAAAAUAGAUUUCUUGAUCUUUUUAUUUAGGAAAACGGAUUUUUUUCGCAGUUUUUUCUUUUAUCCUAAAGAUAUGCAGAACGAGUGUAUUAUGAAAUGUUCGUUGUCUAGCUUUGCAUACAUCGCUACUUAAUCGUUUAGUGGUUAUCGAUGAAAUUACUUCACCAUAGAGAAAAUAUUAUUGAAGUUUAUAUAUAUAUAUAUAUAUAUAUAUGUCCAAUUGGAAAAGUUGAUCUUCUAAAUUCAUAUGUUUAGCCUAAAGUACAUAACUUGUGUUCCUCCCUAGUUCUUGCAAAGCCACCUAAUCAAGCCUCACCUCAUUUGUAGUUAUAACAUGUUCAGCUGAAAGCAAACUCCAAAAAAAAUUGGUGUACUAUUAGUAACACAUAUACUUUUUUAGAUGGUUAACUCUAAGUUUUUUUGAAGUAGGUUGUUCAAUGCUAGUUCAAUGAUUGAGCCAUCUUCCUAUCACCAAUAACAAAUGGAUAGCAUGCGUUGUGCAACCAAUCCUACCCUCAGUUGUAGUAAGCUGAGUGUGAUCCGCAGAGAGCAAAGUGUGUAUCACAUGAAUUUGAUAGCUCGGGCCUUGGAAGGACCUUUUUGGCACUAGACAGACUCUUUAAUAUCGAUGGCAGUAACUAUCCAUUUUCUCAAUCAGAUUACUGCGUGUGCGCUUGUGUGCUCCAAUCUUUAGUAAAUAAAGCAAAGAUUUCUGAGCUAGGAAUCGGAGGAAAUGCUCUGACUCAAAUCCAGAUACAAUUUGAUAUGUGGAGACCUGUGUGACUCCCUACAUGUAUUUGAAGAGUCCCUCAGGAUCAUAUCACAAUAAACUAGACUGGUCAGGAUGCUCCAACUAACAAUCUAGAAUCCAUACUUGAUAGGAUCAAGAAUAAAAAACAUGAUAUCAAGAAUAGCAUAUUGAAAGAUCCCAAUCAUUUUUCUAAAUAACUUCUUCAACCUACGUAUUUUUCAUAUAAAUUGGAUCAAUUAUUAAUAAAAUAAGGAGCAAACAUAGGUAUCAGAUAUCAGGAACAUAAGCUUACCCGGGAGAAAUGCACUCUGUGUUAGUCCGAUCACUUAGCUUUUGCUUUCACACUCCCUACUGAUGCCUAUUGCAUGACUCUCAUUCAGUCAAACUAGAAACUGUGUUUACAGCUGGAACGAUGAAUGUAAUCCUACUAUUCUGGAAGGGUAGGGUCGUCUGGACCGAAUAUCCAUGGCAGAACCCCACACUGGCUAGGAACUGGGCUGCACUAAGCCCGACACUUUUUGGGCUUCUUCAUGAAUCUAGUUUUCAGGUAAGGUCAGAUCAUCUUAUUGAUUAGAUAUCUGAAAGAAAGCAAAGGAAUGAAUCGUUUUUGCAAUUACCUUCUCUCGAAAACCAUAGAUCUUCUAGUUACCAUUGACUAUCCGGCACUUCCGUCUGUACAGCGAAGCAAGAAAUUGCAUGGAAGGGCUUUUAUGCUAAUAUCAGCCUUGUUUGGAACAAUAGAUGCAAUCCAUUUCAGUGUAUGUCACUGAGUUCACCAUUGCAGUUGAGACGUCAGGCAAUUGAGCGUUCCCUAGAGUUUGGUUCAAAGGCUAAGGACUCCCCGCUGCCUUCAUAAGGGCACUAAGGCGGAGCACGGAAAAGAAAAUUGGGCACCCAUGUUUUACCAGUCCCGGAUCUCAGGGCCAUUUUGCCAACCGCCGACAUGAACGAAAUCGAAUUUCCUUGCGGGAAAUUAGGAUUUCAUGAGGGAGGAAAAGGGGGUGGAGAGUCGUACAAUGCAUUGGUGGGAUGAAGGUGCUAGCUUGGCUGAGAUAGGAAGUUUCGAUGUGUAUGUAGAUUUGGUUCUAGUGCCCCCACCCUUUUCGAGAUCUGUCAGGAUUGGCAAGAUGUUCUGGUGUAAACUAUAGAGAAAUGGAAUGAAUGAAAUGUAUCUAAGAAGAAAGGAAGCCAUGCUCCAUCCUAUUUCUAAAAAGAACAUCACCUCCCUUUUUGGUUAGAUACCGCUCUGUUAGGUACUAAUGCUUCUACCUAUCACCCGGAGGGUGAGUUUGAGAGUUGUGUUUUUUUCCAACGUUAAUAGCAUUCCGAGAGAAAUGUCCAAAUAGACUAUCCCAAAUUUAUCAAAGCUCAAAAUAGAAAAUAACCUAUUACAUAUAUUAAUUGUUUAGGUUUACUUUCUCCUGGGAGCAGUGCAUAAAAAUACAACCUAUUGAUAAAUCACUGAUUUUAUAAACCUGGAGCUUUCCGCCUCAAGGAUAUUCUUGAUAAUAAUUAGAUCAAUGUUAUAAUUUUACAUAACUAUAUAUAAACUAUAUGACAUAAUCCUAUCCAUAGAAAUGGAAUUCAAAACUUCGGAAUAGUUUCGAGGAGAGCCGAGAGGACACGUUCAAGGAGUAGUGUAAAGUAGCAGACAGAGGGGCGCUCCCGCUUAGGCAUUAGGCAUUAGGCACGAGAAAGGACAUCGUUCUCGGUCGUCCCUUCCUUCCCGGAAAAAGGCUCUCUUGCAUCUUUUGCUUCCCUACCCGACCUCGAUUCUAGAUUCACCGUCUUCGGAUGCAUCAGUUUAUUAUGCUUAUGCCUAAUCUUAAUACUGGUAGUUACUUCAAUUACCUUACCCCACCGCCCCUCCUUUUAAGGAGGUUUCAGAGCACCCAGUCACAGCUCGUCACAAGAAAGGAUUGAUGGUCGAGUCCCCGUGCAUGAAGUCAGUGGAUUCGAGUGAACUGACCGUACUACAAAUCGACAUACUUGAGGAAGCUUCUUACUGAACCAAAGAAAGGGCAGCUCCAGUUGUGUUGUCGAUUCCCUUCUCCCGAGAGCUUUCACACUCUGGAAUGGGAGUCCCUUCCAAGACUUGACCAAAAGCUCCCCACAAUUUCUUAAUUUGAAGCAGUUCAGAGGCCUUCUUCUAGUUACGAUUCGCCCUCGUCUGUCACUAUAGAUGUUCUAGCUUUAGACUUUAGUGUCAUCUCGAUGACCCUUUAAUAGGUAGUCUAAUACCUUAGAUUGAAGAACAAUCAACAACCCUCUAAACCUAUUAUUUCAAAACCUAACAAUAUUAAGGGGGAUGUUCACAAUUAGCUGGUGCCUAAUAUAUUUGCGCAUAUAGAAGGUUAACUACUCCAACUCGAUGGCUGAGAGGAAAGUGAAAUCCUAGCUUUCCCUAGAAUCAGCUCUUUACUAUCCUGCCCCAGGGGGUUUUUCGGAGACGUUGAACCCUAGAUUUAGAAGCUUUCCCAAACAAACCUUUUGACCAGGAAAAGGCAUACCAAAGAUUUUUGGAAAGACACAUUGAAAUGGAAGCUCUUGAACCUAUUCCGAAGUAAGUUUAGGAUGAGGUUUCCGAUCCAGUUGGUGUUCUGACAUCCCGAAUCGAGGUGGCUCUAAACUCAGGUUUGCCUACCUCUCUAGUUAUGGAGGGAGGAGAGGGGCUUCAUCUUUUUAGGUCUCUGAAAAGCCAGUUGACAUGUGCGAUCCAAUCAAGGAGGCAGUACUUCUGCCUGAGUUCCUCUAGAUCCUACUCGUCGGGAUUACCAUGCUCCCGCAGGUUGUUCACCAUGCGUUCCAUAGCACUUUGACUUUAUAUCUUUUACCAUCUUGGAAUCAUGUAGAUGUAGAUUGCUUUCAUCGCAGGGUCAUUCCUGAAGGUGGCUUGUACCGGCUCCUCGUCAUCAUAAAUAGCAAGCCAUUUCAAGCUCCGUAUUGAAAACUCGAAUUGGAUUUUGUGUCGGCUGGCCGGUAGGACCGCCAGCCCGCAGAUGUAGGGAGGUCUCCUCUUGAACUGAGAAAUCAAAGUCGCGAUCUGAUAGGUAUCUAUCCGGACCAUGCAUCUGGAAAGCGCCGAUUCAAUUCCGGCUCGUGACAUGAAGAAGAAGUCCCAAAUAGGGAUCAGAUUAGUUUACACAGCGUUACUUUGUUGACGGAAACCCCUUAAUACAACGUUCGUUUUUCAUAAAUAUCAUAAGGUAGGUAGACCCGGUCUUGCGCUCGUUCGGUUAAGUGGCACAUUGUGCUAAGUGCUCGAACCGUUGUCUGAUCUCAGCUGUAUCGCCUCAUACAAAUUAGUUAAGCAAGAAAACAAACGGCUACAUAGGAGCUCUAUGGUGGACCACCAGCAGGAAGAUCGAAUGUCUUAGCGCAUCCUGCGCCUACUUGACCUGACUUCGUAGGAUACUCUGAUAGACUAGUCGAAUGGCAAUGGCCUAGUGGUUGUAUCUGCUUGCCGAUUCCUAUUAAGAAUACGAGAGUGACAAAUGAGAUGGAGAUCUUGGCUAUCAUCAAACAAUCCUCCCUCCGCUUAUCUCUUUCCUUUCUAUAUGAUAAGUCUACUCGCGCCUCAAGGGCCGGUCAUUUACGCUCUCCACUGCAUGAACAGCAUUCCGAACUAGAUCUGUACGGCUUCCGUUGUCUCCUUUUCGAUUCCCAACUCUAGCUCACAUGUAUCCAUAAGAGCGACCAGCCCUGAAUGCUUAAACCUAUCAAUCCUCUCCUAAAUUUCUUUCUUUUUGUUGUUGGGCAAGGAGCAAUCCAUUCAGCACUUUUCGAUGGGGACCAAAAGCCACUAGGCUACCAAGAAGUCGGAUUCAGUUCAGUCCCGUUUUCAAGAUCCGGUUCAGUGUUUGGGGAUGGCUUGGUCCAAGCCCACAUCCAUAGUAGAUGGACUUGAGGAGGCAAGUAUGCCACCUACUGAUAUGAUUGAUUAUGACAAUUAUGAUAUGGACUGGACGGUUGUGCAACCGAUUGUACUGACUCGCUUACCCCUGAGAACACCUAAGACAUGGGGGUUAUUUAUGCGAGUAAGCCUAGCAAGGACCAAGAUCUCGAUCUAGCCUAGUUGGGGCUUUAGAGUCACAUGACACAGUACCAAGAAUGGGAGAACCAGUAACAAUUGAUACGGAUUUCCAUCCAUUAGAUCUUCUUACCUUUGAAGCUCCUUUAUCUACCAUAGAUAGAAUGGAAGAGUUUUCUCUCACUGUUGUUUCUGAUGUAGGAGUUGGGGAUGGAAAUUCAAGCUCUGGUGGUACUAAUCAUGUCUCUGGGAGUAAACCAACUAGAGUGGCAAGGGAACAUGCAGUACUGGAGAGGGGAUCUCAUAGCAAUACUGAUUCAAGUAAUUUCAGAGUUACCAGAGAUGCAAUUGGUUUAGAAAUAUGUACUAGAAAAUGGUAAACUAAUACUGACUAUUCUCUUUGGAUAUCUGGUUGGACACCAAGCAUUUUGACCCCUAUUUGAAUGCAGAGUCAGAGUAUAGACAGCUAAACAAUGUUGUAAUAUAUUUAUCUACCAAAUUAGAGUGCACAGUCAUUUUUCUAUUGAUGUUCCCAGAAAUUCAGUUCACUAGGGAACACCUUACAGGUUGGCAUGCCUCGGCAAAGCUUAUUAUGACAUAUUGUUAAUGAAAAUGUCAAAGUAGCACUCUCUUUCCUCUACUCGCCCCUGGCGCCACCGCUAACCACUAUUAUCAUAUAUAACUAGAUCACGUACAGAGUUUAUUACACUUAUAAUUAGAUCACGUACGCAGUUUACACUAGAAUAAAUCUACGGUUCUGUUCAGUAUGAGCAAUAGAAGUAGAUGGACUUAGAGUAGAAACUUAUGACUAGGUCCUAUGACCAGAGUUAUGUGGAUGAUUGUACAAGAAGGAUACGAUAAAUGGGCGACGUUUUUCGACCCUGGAAGAACAAACUGACAACAAACGCUCCAUCUUUGAGUGGGAUCUGGAUGGUAUCGAACUAGACCUCCGAACGCCGGAUUGAGAAGUAUCUAAAUCAGAUCCAUAAUCCUAAUAGCCGCUUUUGGCUACUCGUAGUUGAUCAACUAACCAAACUUUUCCCCUAAAUCAAAAAAAGCAUGUGUAGGUAGUAAGUAUCUAAUCUAAUAUGUCCACGAACUUAGUAGAAUCUCUGAAACCCACCUUAAUCCAUUUUAUAAGGAAUCUGUCUCCUUCCGUAAUCCAUUCCUCCAUCCCACACUCUUAUUAUAGUUAUGAGUGAAUCUGAAUCAAAAAAAAUAUAUAAAGUCUCCAGUCAACUGGUGGAAUACAUCGCAUCAACAUGGGAGCAUUAGCCGAUCUGGUACAUCAAUACAUGUUCCUAUGCCCAUUCCAAUCUUGUCUAACUUUGCUAACUUCCCCUUCUCUACCCGUAUCUUGUUUGUUCUGGAAACACGUCUUCCUAUUCCAUCUUGUCCCGAAUCUCCCUUAACGGAAGAAAUAGAAGCUCGAGAAGGAAUACCACUAAAAACCUAGUUCUCUCUCAAAUAAAAACCUAGUUCACUCGCUAAAGCAUCCAUGGCUGAAUGGUGAAAGCGCCCACCAACCUAGAAAGGCAAAAUGGGUCAAAAAGUAGGUUCGAUACCUGCCGGAUGCACUGCCUCUUAAAGACAGAAACAGAGGAGGGAAAGAAGGUAGUAUAGGGAACUUGCUUUUGGAUUCUUAUCGAAAGUGAAUCCCUCUAACACUUCUGUUAGUGUUUUAUGAGAAAAUAUUUUAUAGACACAACAAGUGUGAAAAUCCUUAGUCACUAGGCAAGAAAGCUCGAUGGGAACAAAAAGGAUACAAUUAGUUCAUAAUCAAAAAAAUGUACAAUUUCAAAGGAAAGAAGGAAUGGCAAGUUUCCCUCCAUUGAACAUCAAUCAAUCUAGAAAUAGGUAAAGGAAGGCAUAUCAUAGGGGUAUUUUUCUUUUUUCUAUUCACUUCUGUGGGGUUCUAAAUUGAAAACAUGAACACAAACGAAAUCGUGUUGAAAUUACAUAAAAAAGAAAAGGGAGGAGUAGCUCUUGGUUUAAAGAAAAGGGAGGAGAUGGAUCGAAUUCAGUCUUUUUCCUUUCUUUGAUGAUCUUCAACACAUCUAUUUGAAUUCCCUGCGAGUGAAGGAUUUCUCGUAUGGAGAAAAACCUCUUGAGCGCUAUCUGAUCUUAUUUUUGUAUUUCAAAUAUGGGACCUGCCUUUUUAAUGGGACAUCCCGGCAACAGGCCUACUCAUGCAUGUGGCCAAGUACUCGACCAAUCCUCGGAGCGAAGGGAUGAACGAAUUCUCGAGGUCUGGUUCAUUGAGGUCAGCAUCACAUGAAACCUUUAGCACUUCCAUUCGAUAUUGGAUGGAGUAUGGCUGGAAGGUCAGCCUAGCUAGUCUUGUCAAUCGGCCCUGACUCGUCUUCUCCUUGGUACCUACCGCUAUUGAACUUCGGUAGCUAUAUUCCUGAAACAAGACAGACCUUCAUGAAGACCUUCUAUUUUGGAAUAAGAUCGGACAUUUCCACAUUGAGGUGAAAUUACAUAUGAGGAAAAUAAUCUUGGACUAUGAAAGCUGCCCUUGUGUGGUAGAACCAGGUCUUCCACCGGGCGGUCAGCCAAGUACUGAAGCCCCUAUCUUGAUAUAGAAUAGAAGUGAGUUCACACUAAAAAUAGAAGAAGCCCUAUUAUUUUGGAGCCCUGCUAUCAAUCACUUCGGUAAAGGGAUCAAAAGAUUAUGGUCUGAAAUAGAGAUUUGAGAGUCGCUCGUGUGAGUACGUGCUGAAGAGCAAGGAGUGAAAGUGCGUUCAUCUUUCUUUCUGCUAGUUGUUUCCUACUAAUAGUGAUUAGUGAGUGCCCCAUACAUAGCCAAUGUCCGCCCGUGUUCACAUCCAGUCUUCUCUGUACACUAGUGCAGCCUCCAGCUCUAUGCUAUGUAUGGUAGUCGUUUGACUCGGGAAUCCCUGAUAAAAGCUUUUAGUCCGUGCCUGGCAGUUUUAGCCGUGGUCCAGUCCAGUAGCCUCUUUUCGAUCCAAGAGUCGCAUGAGAAGAAAGCUUCCGGUUAGCUUCAGUUAGUGUUAGUUAAAUAGAACGGGAACCUCGUAACUAUGCCAAGCCCGAUCUUGGUUCCAAUGCUGCAGAGAAAGGUUAUGGGUAAAAAGAAGGUCUUUAUCUUGGUGCUGCGGAGACCGGUGUUGCUGAUCGAACUCAUUUUCUUUCGAGGAGAUCGAAAAUCUCUGAAUUUCUGCGAAAUGAAUUUACAUAUUUAUUGCGAGGGGAUUUGAAAAGCGAAAGGAUGAAGACUGAUUUAGAUCCUCUAAAAGCGCAGGAAGUAUGCCUUUUGAGCUUUUUCUCCACCCACCUCUGAGCAUCCUGUUGGAAUGGUCCUAGGAAAGACUACGUACGAGAAAUCAUUCUCAUAGCCAACUUUCCUUCUUCUGAGAAAAUAAAUGUAGUAUUUAGUCCAACCAAUCAUUAGUGAAUCUAUGUCUUUCGUGAAAAGUGGAGUAUUUGUGCCCAAGAUCUUUCUAUUCCCUUUAGUAGGUGUACACAUCUUGUAUGGUAAAUAUAUCUUUGUGCCCUAUAAGGUAAGAUUGAUUCCGCCUAGGAGGGCCAACCGAGCGAAGCUCUUUUUUUUGCCGUGCCGUGAAGUGCAAUUUUCUCGUAUGCCUUUUAGAGAGGUUGUCGAAAAAAGACGAUCUAUAGAGAUUCCCCAUCUAUAUCCAAUUGAGAAUAGAAGCGAGUCGCUUUCGGCAUCAGCUUGUAGUCUCUGCAGUCGGUACGCGCACGCGCCCGCCAUCAUGCCUCCUUGGUUUGGGAUGAAGCCAAGCGAGACAUACGAUAGACGAAGGAAGCGCCCACCCAGCAGGAGGGCUAAAACCUGUAGUUUUGAAGUUGCAAACUCCAGCUUAGCUAGAGUGCUUUAGCCCUUUUUUAAGCAAGAAUCACCGUCUAGAGCGCCUUGCACGCUCAAGAACAAGCAAGGGAUGAGCGCUUUGUUGCUAAAGCGGAUACGUUUUCUUGCUAGGGAAGGCUAGUUUGAUCAAGGAUUGGAGAGGAGGGAGAGGUGGAAUUAAAAGCUCGGGAUGGAUUUUGGAGUCUUUGUGCGAGUCGUAUGAGCUAGCUAAAGAUCCAUCGUUAUCCUUUCUGGCAAUGGAGGCGGAAUCAAUGGUCAUGUCAGGUUUCAGAUUCAAAGAGAGAUGUCAAGCAAGCGCCAAAUCUGAGUACUCAACUUGCCCGACCCGCCUCUUCCACUAGACCUCGUCUUUCAAAGAGUAGCAGCCCAGCAAGCCUAAUAGAACCUUGUUUCCCUAUUACUUACUUUUGCUUUGAGCGUCGCACUCCAGUGGCUUUCUUUCCUAUGACUUGGAUGGGGGUCCUCAACAAGAUCUAUAUCGGUGUCAUUAUUUACUUAUUUAGACGAUAGAUGAUGAUAGAGAGAAGACUGGCUCUGAGGAAGAAUAUCUUAAGUAGUUGAAUCCGCUCCGCUAGGUUAAAUUGUAUGAUCUGAGUGUAGGAGGACUGCUGCUGGUAACACAAUUUCUUUUGGGUCUGAAGAAUGAACUCAGAGCUGCAGUGGAAGUGCAGGUGCCUAACUCAAUUAGUGAAGCUGCAUCUUUUGCUAAAUCAAGUGCGGGAAGGAGUUCUGGAGAGAGGUAGGCACUACAUGAACAAGAAGGACAGUAACUAGAAUUAGAAGUCGGCUGCCCCGCAGCAGCAAGGCUAUGUCUCAGUCAAAGUUCGAUAGGGGGCAAAACAGUUGCUGUCCUAAUAGAAGUUCAUGUCGAUCCAGCCAAGCCAGUGCCAUCAUUAGAAAGUCCGGCCAUUUUAGUUUCAGCCAGUUCAAGUUAGGGCAAGGAGGAAAGGAAGAGAGUAAUGCAAGGAUGUAAAGAAUGAGGCGCUAGAACAGACUGGCCCACAGGCUUCCAACCUGACACCGCUUUUCUACUUUUCGAAAGAGGAAGAGAAGUUGCUUGUACGAGACUGCGCCUCCCGGCUGGAAACUCCAAUGGCAUUUUUGGUAUAUGAAAGCAAAUCGAAGCUUUACGACCAAGGAGAAAUAAGCAUAUUUUAUGAAUGAUAGAAGGAGUGCUCCCCGAGCACAGGCUCGCUUGGAAGGAUAGAGCACUUGAGGGAACGAACGAGGAAGACCGAUCCCAAAUAAAUAGAGUUUCCGACGUUAGGAGGAAUUCCCUUUAAUAGGGAAAGCUUAGAUCGGUACCUUUGGCAUCGGUACCUUGCCUAAGCGCCCUGGGCGACCGGACUCGACAAGGGUAAGAUCCCAAAUCUGUUCCUUUCCUGUUGUAAAGUAUGCACCCUUAGAGGUGGCAUCCCUUUACGCAUGAUCCUUGUUAGUGCAUGUCUCAGUCCCUUGAGACAUGCUUAGAACUAUGUUAGGAAACCAAACAGUGUAAUUAGCUUCCCCCUUUAUUCCCAGCCAUCGUAUGGACGAGGGCUCCUCUCCCUCUGCUCUGCUGCCCGGAAAGGUAUAUAUAUACUUAAAUUAGGAAUUGAAAAUGCUUGGGCUUGCCUUAUUCUCUCAUUUAAGUCCUUCAAUUCCCUUAUCCAGAAUGGAGAGGGAUGUUGUUGAAGGGAAGGAACGGAGGUAGAUCGUUCCCCAGAACGUAGGAGAACAGGACCGACGAAUCACCUCUAGUCAGGAAAGCCAGGGCUCUGAGCUCUUAUCCCUUCAUGGGUAAGAGCGAAAGCCCGCAGUCUGGGGUUCUAAGCUGCUUAACUAGAGUCAGCAGCCGUAUGCCCCGGAUAGGGGAGACAUGGACUUUAGUCCGUAUCGACCCGGUGCCGCAGGACUGUUCCUAGCCUCAAGGAGUGAAUCCGAGAGGCGUGCCUGGAGCAACUGAGUGGGUACUGGGAACCAUAGAGAUGAGGAUAGAUCUAUCGGAGAGGGGGAAACAAGAUCUCGCAGAGUGGAGCCCACUCCUCUAGUCCUGUCUUGAGCUUAGCUUUCUUUUCUGUUGAAUUAGUUUCCUGUUUGAAUCUUCCUUUUCAAAUAGUUGGCAAAGCUAGACUUGAUCUAUUGAACAGGUCUAGCUUGCGCCUUCUAUUCCUUUUGGAAGGGGGCUUGGGGGAAACCUUUUAUCGGAAAAAAGAGCUGAGUCAACUUGCCCAAAUUUUCAAUUCGCGAAAUUCAUGUGACUAAAAUAUCAGAACAGAUGCUUCUAGGAAUUGGUACAGCUGAAAUUUCUCGCACCACCUCAUCAGGGAGAAAAAAAGCUAAUAAACUAAGAUGCCAAUCCCUAUUAGGAAUGAGAUAGUGGGAGAGAGACAAACCUUCCAACAGCUCUCACAUGUUCAUAGGAAUAGACCUUCUAUUUAAUGCAGUCCCACUGAGCCAAGGGUCUUAUAAUUAAGCAAGCCCUCAAGAGGGCUUAGUUGAUCAUGAUUUCUGUUUUCUCUUUCUUUUCCUUUUUGUUUCGAGAAAGAUAUCGUCCGAUUCUCCUUCUAUUGAUUCUUUUCCGAUCGAGAUGUACGGGUCCAUGUGUCUACAUACAUAGAUUCUGUUCAUGGAUUAACGAAAAUGUGCAAGAGCUCUAUUUGCCUCUACCAUUCUAUGAGUCGCUUCCUUUUUGCGUAUGGCACCCCCACUCCCUUUGGCAUCAUCUACUAAUUCGGAACUUAAUUUGAAAGCCAUAUUUCGACCCGGACGCUUUUGGGAUGCUUCUAAUAACCAACGAAUGGCAAGUGCUCUUCCUUGUUUAGAUCCUAUUUCAAUCGGAACUUUCCACGUCGAUCCUUUUUUAUUACGUCUUGUUUUUACUCCUAUAUUGGGAGUUACUCUAUGUACUGCUUGACGUAAAACCAAUAGUGGAUUUGUUUCUGUCUUUUGUUGAAUCUUUUUCACGAACUAGCAACAAGGAGCUUUUCCAAGCAGAUUUCCCUAUUCAGAAAAGGGCAGGAAACAGUGGGUUUUCCCGAGCGACCGAUCCUAUCUGUGGUCGAACAGCUUGAUUUCAUCAAAUUAAGGAAGCCAAAAAAAGCAAAACUGAAGGAGAGACUUGUUUUACGAGCAAGAACGAGGGAGGCCCCUUCGAGACCCUACCUAUCGAAGCCUUGUUUUAACAAGGGAAAUAUUAGGUACCACAAGGCCUCUUUUACUAAACGAAUCUGCCUGAAAACACGUUCCAUAAAAAACUAAGUAGGACCCUAUUGAAAGUGCAAGGAAAUGGAACUGAUAAAAAGAUAGGCACUUUUCCUAUCUUUUCACGUUAAGGCGGAGCAGUCAGGUAACGAACUGGAACUGGAAACCGGCUAACGUUGCUUUUCCUUUUCAGCUUCGGAGUUGCAAACCGGCAGACUUACUUAAAGACAGAAGUACGGAAACUGAUCCUAUUUCAGAUCUAGAAUUGCAUUCAAACUUAGGCCGUUUUGAAUUGACAUAGCUUGACCUGUGAACUCUCAGCGCGUACGACAGUUGCUUCGACAAUCAUUGGAUAGACUAGCUUUCGAAGUGCCACGAUCCUAUCGAGUAAAAUCAUCCCCCGGGGAUAACGGCCAAUGCAAGGCUACCCGCCUUACCACACUUUCCCUGAAUGUAAGUUGCUCAGUCAACCAGGAAGAUCAUGGCAGCUAGACUAAUUUGAGAUUAGAUCAGUGUCAUUUGUAGCUCCCUGGUAAUGAACUGAAAAAGAGACUGCUCACCGCUGAGAACAAGAUGGCACAGGUUGUGGUUCUUCUCUAGUGUAGGCUAGCUGCUGGAACCCACCGUGUUCAAAUCCGAGUUAGGAAAUUAGACUCUGUGAUAUCGACUGACGCGACGCUAUACCGGAAAGACUAAAGAAAGGUAUGUAUUUUAGUCACAUGAAUUUCGUGAAUUGAAAAUUUGGGCAAGUUGACUCAGCUCUUUUUUUCCGAUAAAAGGUUUCCCCCGAGCCCCCUUCCAAAAGGAAUAGAAGGCGCAAGCUAGACCUAUUCAAUAGAUCAAGUCUAGCUUUGCCAACUAUUUGAAAAGGAAGAUUCGAACAGGAAACUAAUUCAACGGAAAAGAAAGCUAACCUCAAGACAGGACUAGAGGAGUGGGCUCCACUUCGCGAGAUCUUGUUUCCCCCUCUCCGGUAGAUCUAUCCUCAUCUCUACGGUUCCCAGUACCCACUCAGUUUCUCUAGUCACGCCUCUCGGAUUCACUCCUCGAGGCUAGGAACAGUCCUACGGCACUGGGUCGAUACGGACUAAAGUCCAUGUCUCCCCUAUCCGGGGCAUACGGCUGCUGACUCUACUUAAGCAGCCUAGAACCCCGGACCGCGGGCUUUCGCUCUUACCCAUGAAGGGAUAAGAGCUCGGAGCCCUGGCUUUCCUGACUAGAGCUGAUUCGUGGGUCUUGUUCUCCUACGUUCUGAGGAACGAUCUAUGAGGGAGUCCUGGAUUAGGGGGUGUCCGGAUGGCCGGACUAUGACCUUUGGCCGGACUCCCGGACUAUGAAGAUACAAGAUUGAAGACUUCGUCCCGUGUCCGUAUAGGACUUUCCUUGGCGUGGAAGGCAAGCUUGGCGAUAUGAUAUGAAGAUCUCCUCCCAUUAUAACCGACUCUGUGUAACCCUAGCCCUCUCCGGUGUCUAUAUAAACCGGAGAGUUUUAGUCCGUAGGACGAACAACAAUCAUACCAUAGGCUAGCUUCUAGGGUUUAGCCUCUCUGAUCUCGUGGUAGAUCAACUCUUGUACUACCCAUAUCAUCAAUAUUAAUCAAGCAGGAGUAGGGUUUUACCUCCAUCGAGAGGGCCCGAACCUGGGUAAAAACAUCGUGUCCCUUGUCUCCUAUUACCAUCCGCCUAGACGCACAGUUCGGGACCCCCUACCCGAGAUCCGCCGGUUUUGACACCGAGAUUGGUGCUUUCAUUGAGAGUUCCUCUGUGUCGUCACCCUUAGGCCCGAUGGCUUCUUCGAUCAUGAACCACGACGCGGUCCAGGGUGAGACUUUUCUCCUCGGAUAGAUCUUCGUAUUCGACGGCUUCGCACUGCGGGCCAAUUCGCUUGGCCAUCUGGAGCAGAUCGAAAUCUACGCCCCUGGCCAUCAGGUCAGGUUUGGAAGCUUAAACUACACGGUCGACAUCCGUGGGGACUUGAUCUUCGACGGAUUUGAGCCACGGCCGAGCGCGCCGCACUGUCACGAUGGGCAUGAUCUAGCUCUGCCAGCGCACAGCGCCCAGAGCGCCGCUCAGGUGUCCGCUCUGACUGUUAGCUCGGAGCCGACGGCGCCAGUCGGGGACGGACGGUUGAACGCUGCCCCAGGAGCUGCAAUCUCUAUGGCGAUAGAGCCGAAUACCAGCUUAGUCCUUUGCAAGGCCCGUGACUCCAAGGUGCCGGACUCUGUUCCGAUCGAACCCGAUUGGGCUCCGAUCAUGGAGUUCACCGCCGCGGACGUUUUUCAGCACUCGCCCUUUGGCGAUAUCCUGAAUUCACUAAAGUCUCUCUCUUUGUCAGGAGAGCCCUGGCCGGACUAUGGUCAGCAUGGUUGGGAUGCGGACGACGAAGAAAUUCGAAACCCACCCACCACCCACUUUGUAGCCACUGUUGACGAUCUAACCGACAUGCUCGACUUCGACUCCGAAGACAUCGACGGUAUGGACGCCGAUGAAGGAGAUGAACAAGAACCAGCACCUAUAGGGCACUAGAAAGCCACCUCGUCAUAUGACAUAUACAUGGUGGACACCCCCAAAAUAGGGAUGGCGAUGAAAAAAUGGAGGAUGACCCCUCCAAGAAGCAACCCAAGAGACGACGUCAGCGGCGCCGCUCUAAAUCCGCCAAAGCAAAAACAGCGAAUCCGGCACCGGAGACAUCAACACCCCGGACAGUGCCGAAGACAACCCCCUCCAGCAGGAUUCAGCGCAGGAGGACGAAGGAGCCAGCCCUCAUGAGAGAGCGGCAGACAAAGAGGUCGAGGACGACAAUUAUAUGCCUCCCUCCGAAGACGAGGCAGGCCUCGACGAUGACGAAUUCGUCGUGCCAGAGGAUCCCGUCGAACAAGAGCGUUUCAAACGCAGGUUUAUGGCCACGGCGAGCAGCCUCAAGAAAAACAGCAGCAACUUAGGGCUGACCAAGACUUGCUAGCCGACAGAUGGACUGAAGUCCUGGCGGCCGAAGAGUAUAAACUUGAACGCCCCUCCAAGAGUGACCCAAAGCGCAGGCUGCUACCCCAACUAGAGGAGGAAGCAACUAAACCUACAUCACCAGCGUACGAUACGCCCGAUCGGCCACCCCGUGGCCGCGACAGAGAGGCCUUUCGGCCCUCAACCCAAGCCGCACCCUGGUGCCACUCUAAGAAUACAAGAGCACGGGGAAACGCAACAGACCUGCGAGACAUAUUGGAGGAUACGACAAGGCAAACAAGAUCGAUCUACGGAUCGCGUGGGCGCCCCACAUCAUGUGACGAUAACCGUCAUGCCGGAUAUGAUAAAUAUGGCCAGGCCGAAUACAACAGACAAAGCUCAUCCGAGCUGCGUCGCGAUAUAGCCAAGUACAGGGGCGCCGCACACCCACUAUGCUUCACAGACGAAGUAAUGGAUCAUCAAAUCCUCGAGGGUUUUAAACCCGUAAACAUCAAAUCAUACGAUGGCACAACUGAUCCCGCGGUAUGGAUCGAGGAUUAUCUCCUUCAUAUCCACAUGGCCCAUGGUGAUGAUCUACACGCCAUCAAAUACAUCCCACUCAAGCUUAAAGGACUAGCUCGGCAUUGGCUUAACAGCCUGCCAACAGAGUCAAUUAGUUGCUGGGAGGACCUGGAAUCCGCGUUCCUUGACAACUUCCAGGGCACUUAUGUGCGACCACCAGACGCCGAUGACCUAAGCCACAUAAUCCAGCAGCCAGAGGAAUCGGCCAGACAAUUUUGGACACGGUUCCUAACCAAGAAAAAUCAAAUAGUCGACUGUCCGGAUGCCGAGGCCCUUGCAGCCUUCAGGCACAACAUCCGAGACGAAUGGCUUGCCCGGCACCUAGGACAGGAAAAGCCGAAAUCUAUGGCAGCCCUCACGACACUCAUGACCCACUUUUGCGCGGGCGAAGACAACUGGCUAGCUCGUAGCAAUAACAUAACCAAGAGCCCUGGCAAUUCGGAUACCAAGGAAAACAAUGGCAGGUCACGUCACAACAAGCACAAGCGCCGCAUUAACAGCGACAAUACUGAGGAUACGGCAGUCAAUGCCGGAUUCAGAGGCUCUAAACCCGGUCAGCGGAAGAAGCCAUUCAAAAGAAACCCUCCGGGCCCAUCCAGUUUAGACCGGAUACUCGAUCGCUCGUGCCAGAUACACGGCACCCCCGAACAACCAGCCAACCACACCAACAGGGAUUGUUGGGUGUUCAAGCAGGAAGGCAAGUUAAGCGCCGAAACCAGAGACAAGGGGCUGCGUAGCGAUGACGAGGAGGAGCCCCGGCCGCCGAACAACAGAGGACAAAAGGGCUUCCCCUCGCAAGUGCAGACGGUGAACAUGAUAUACACAACCCAUAUCCCCAAAAGGGAGCGGAAGCGUGCUCUCAAGGACGUCUAUGUGUUGGAGCCAGUCACCCCAAAGUUCAACCCAUGGUCCUCCUGCCCGAUCACUUUUGAUCGUAGAGACCACCCCACUAGCAUUCGUCACGGCGGAUUCGCCGCAUUGGUCCUAGACCCAAUCAUUGACGGAUUUCACCUCACUAGAGUCCUCAUGGACGGCGGUAGUAGCCUGAACCUGCUUUAUCAGGAUACAGUGCGAAAAAUGGGUAUAGAUCCCUCAAGGAUUAAACCCACAAAGACAACCUUUAAAGGCGUCAUACCAGGUGUAGAAGCCAGCUGUACAGGCUCGGUUACACUCGAAGUGGUCUUCGGAUCCCCAGAUAAUUUCCGAAGCGAAGAGUUAAUCUUCGACAUAGUACCAUUCCGCAGUGGCUAUCACGCCCUGCUCGGACGAACCGCAUUCACAAAAUUCAAUGCGGUGCCGCACUACGCAUAUCUCAAGCUCAAGAUGUCAGGCCCUCACGGAGUCAUCACGGUAAAUGGAAACACCGAACACUCUCUCCAAACGGAGGAGCACACGGCGGCCCUGGCGGCGGAAGUACAGAGUAGCCUCUCAAGGCAAUUCUCCAAUCCGGGUGUUAAAUGUCCGGACAAUGUCAAGCGCGCCCGAAGUAACCUACAACAACACCAGCUGGCACGUUUCGAGCAAGCAUAGCAGUGCGGCCCCAACCCCAGCCCUCUCCAGAUGGCGAUAUCGGUACCACGCGUACAUAAUUAUGCUUUGGAAAUACCAUGGGCAUAAGGGGAGGUGCACAACUACGGCACGCCCAAAAUGCGGCUCAACCGCACUAAGGGGCUCCCUAUUCUGCCGUUUCUUUUUUUAUUAUUAUAUACUUUCAGGACCCAACUAUUCGGAAGGCCUGUCCGGCAAUACACUCGCCGAACACACGAUGCAACAGCCAGGGAGAGAACAAGCCACGUCAAAUGUCCAGGUGGUCUCUAUAACGAGCUAAAUACCUGUUUUACUUAAAGUCCCGCAGCUUGCCCCUAGAGGGGGACAUGUCAAAUAAUCCCAUCUCUUGCUAAUCGCACUAUUUGUAUUGUUCUGCUUUCAUAGCAGCCCUUUUUAAUAAACAAUGCAUAGCUCUUAUCUAUUAUUGUAUUCAUCUAUUUUUAUACAAAUAUGUUCAGUCAUGAUAUUAUGCAACCGUACACUUUGGUACGGCCAAUACACCAUGGGCUUACGCACCCCAUAACAUCGUGUGACAAGACCUAAUACUCUCAUGAGUGCGGCACCCCGAACUUAUAGCACUAUAUGCAUCGGCUCCGAAUCAUGUCUUGGGUCAAUAGUUGGGUUUGCCCGGCUCCCAAGUUUUGGUACCUUACGUUCCGCAAUGUUGGCUAAGGUAGCGCUAGGAGAACUACUGUGAUUGUGCCCCAGUUGAGUUGGGUUAACACCUCAGUAGAGAAAGCUAAAACUGACCAUCAUGAUAGUGUGAGAGACCGGUCGCUGUUCGCGAGGUUUUUCGAGUCCCUAAAGACUUAUGCCGCUUAGAGCGAGGAGCCGGAUUUAUCUGGCCUAGGCGUGGAUAGCGCCCCGAACUCGGUCUUCCGAACACUAGGGCUUCGCCAAAAUUUAAAAUUAUAGAAUUCUAUGGCUAAGUGAGAGUGAUAAAGCAUUAUAAGUCCGAUGGCCUUGUUCGUUGUGCUGAGCGCCUCCCUAGAUGGACCCAAGAAUGGGAACAAGAGCGCUCAGGUUUAUCCCAAACACCCCAGCACUCGUGGCAUGGGGGUAGAAGCCGAUGACUUCCAUCUCUCAGAUUUGACGAACGGCCACACAGAAGGUAAUAUUUUAAAUUAAUAAGUGUUGCUUAGCGCAUAUGAACAAAGUUUUCAGCGUACAGGAUAACAGAUGCGAGUCUACUCAAAAAUUACAUCUUUGGAGCAUUCACCCGCUAUAAGGCGGGCACCCUUCAGGACACCCUUAUAAUACAUCUCGGGCGUGCGAUACUCCUUGCCCGGCGGUGGCGCGUCCGUCAAAAGCUUCUCAGCGUCCAACUUGCCCCAGUGCACUUUAGCACGGGCAAGGGCCCGACGAGCACCUUCAAUAUAGACGGAGCGCUUGAUGACUUCAAUCCAUGGACACACGUCCACUAGCCGCCGCACUAGACCGAAGUAGCUCCCAGGCAUGGCUUCUGUCGGCCACAACCGAACUAUGAGGCCCUUCAUGGAUAUUCGGCCACCUUGUGGAGCUCGACCAGCUGCUUUAGUUGGUCGCUCAUGGGCAUCGGAUGUCCGGCCUCAACAUAUUGAGACCAGAACACCUUUUCCGUUGAGCUCCCCUCCUCGGCUCAGUAGAAUGCGGCAGCAUUAGAUACACUACGGGGCAGAUCAGCGAACGCUCCUGGAGAGCUCCGGAUUCGGGUAAGUAACAGAUAAUUCACUUUUAUAUGCUUGCUUUGCAUAAAGAAUGCCUUACCUGCCGCUAUUUUCUUUAUCGCCUCGAUCUCCUGGAGGGCCUUCUGGGCUUCGGCCUUAGCGGUUUUGGCACUCUCAAGAGCCAGGGCGAGCUCGGACUCUCGAGUCUUCGAGUCACGCUCCAAACUCUCGUGUUUCUCCAUGAGAGCCUGGAGCUCUUGCCGCACCUCCACCACCCGCGCCUCCUGCUUCUCUCGCUUGGUGCGCUCCAAGGCCGCACUGUUUUCGGCCUUGGACACCGCUUCCUUCAGGGUCGCCACCUCGGUCGUGGCCCCUGCAACAUUCACGUUGGUCCUAUCAUUAUUUGCAACCAAGUAUUUCUAUAUACAUUUACAUACGGUAUUACAUACCCUCCUUGUCCUCGAGCUGCUUCUUGGCACGGCCGAGCUCGUUCUCGGACCGCUCGAGGCUCUCCUUCAAUGCAUUGAUCUCCGCAGUCAGUGCGGCAGAGGUCAGCAGUGCAGCCUGCAUUCCCAUAUUGACAUAUUUAUGUUAGACUCCUGCGUAUAUCUUUUUGGAUCCUCAGCUCGGCUUUUCUUUCCGAACGCCAAACUGAGCAUCAGGGGCUACUGUCUAUGCGGUAACAUUUUUAUAUGUUUUGAAUACAUACCUCAAAGCCUGUUAACAGGCUUGUACAGGCUUCUGUCAGCCCGCUCUUGGCGGACUGAACCUUCUGAAUCACCGCACUCAUAACAGUGCGGUGUUCCUCGUCGAUGGAGGCGCCGUUAAGCGCCUCCAGUAAAUCGUCCGGUGCCUCCGGUUGGACGGAGGCCGCCGGCGUCGUAAGCGUGCCCUUCUUGCGAAGGCGCCGCCUACCGGUCUCUGGAACCGUUGAUGGUUCCGGAGCAGUGUCCGGCCCAGGGCCGGACUUAGAUCCCUCCGGGGCUUUACCCCCUUUGGGCCUGGAGUCCGGGAGGUCGCCUUGCGGCACCUCCAGGACCACCUCCUCCUGAUUGAUUCCCUUUUGGGACUCCACCUCGGCGUCGUCCGUAGGGAGAGGGGAGGAGGCCGUCGGAAGUGAAGCGCUAUUCACAUCCGAUGAAUCCAGGGAGCCGCUCGACGAAUCACCGAGCUGAGCCUUGGGCGGACUGCAUAAUUGAAUUCGGCGUCAGAAGGUAUCGUACAAUAGAGGAGCGCCAUAAGUUAUUCAGGUAUCCGGAUGCUUACGAUUUUGCCAGGGGCUUGACCCUGGAUGGCCAUUCCUCCCCGCCGUCCUCGGCAUCGGAGGCAAAGUCCGGUAGAAGGCUCUUCCCCUUUUUGGACCCUCCGGCCUCCCCAGUUGGGGAAGCCUCCUCCCCCCGCUAGAGGGGGAGAGGCUUCUUCUUCUUCCUCCUCCUCGUCCUUAGAGGCAGAGGGUGCUUCGGGGUUGUCAGGCGAUGAAUCCGACACCACCAGGCGCCAGGAACUCUUUCGAGUCCCCGUGGCCUUCUUCUUGGCCUUCUUCUCCGGCACCACGUGAGGUGCCGGAACCAGCAGCUUCGUUAAGCGAGCGUCCGUUGGGUCUUCGGGCAAAGGAGAUGGACAGUUGAUCUGUCAGGCCUUAUUCUGCCAGUCCUGUUAAAGGGAUGGGGGUUUAGAUCCCGCAUAGAAUCAAAUCUAUGGAAAACAAAUACCCCAUAAUGGGAAAAUUAAUCUCACCGUGCUGGGUUGGCGCUUGGCGUAGAAUCCGCGAUCCUCGGUGACGGGAGGGGAGACCUCAAAGCUCUUGAAUAGCACCUUCCAGGCAUCCUCGUGUUUUCUGUCGAAGAGUCGGGACAGAGUCUAGUGCUGGGCUGGGUCGAACUCCCACAAGUUGAAAGCCCGUCGUUGACACGGGAGAAUCUGGCGAAAAAGCAUGACCUGGACUAUGGUGACAAGUUUAACCUUCCUGUCGAUCAAGUCUUUGAUGCAGGUUCGAAGUCCGGUCACUUCUGCCGAAUUACCCCACAACAGGCCCGUCUCUUUCCAAGAUGUGAGCCGUGUGGGGAUGCCAGAUCGGAAUUCAGGGGCCGCUGCCCAUUUAGGGUCACGCGGCUCGGUGAUGUAGAACCACCCCGAUUGCCACCCUUUGAUGGUCUCUAUGAAGGCGCCCUCGAGCCAUGUAACGUUGGCUAUCUUGCCCACCAUGUUACCUCCGCACUCCGCUUGGUGGGCGCCCACGACCUUCGGCUUGACGCUGAAGAUCUUCAGCCAUAGGCCAAAGUGAGGCUGGAUGUGGAGGAAGGCCUCACACACGAGCAUGAACGACGAGAUGUUGAGGAUGAAGUUCGGGGCCAGAUCGUGGAAGUCCAGGCCGUAGUAGAACAUGAGCCCCCGGACGAAAGGGUGAAGAGGAAAGCCCAGUCCGUGGAGGAAAUGGGGGAGAAAUACAACCCUCUCAUGGGGCCUAGGGGUGGGGAUGAGUUGCCCCUCAUCUGGAAGCCGGUGCGCGAUGUCGUCAGACAAGUAUCCGGCCUUCCUCAACUUUUUGAUUUGUCCCUCCGUGACGGAGGAGGCCAUCCAUCUACCUCCCUCUCCGGACAUGAUUGGAGAAGGUUGAGGUGGGAAGUGCGGACUUGGGCGCUGGAGCUCGAGCGCGCAGGAAUGUAUAAGCAAAAGAGGAAGAAGGCGUAAAUGGAAAGGGUAGAUCCUUAUCCCCUUAUAUGGGCGGCCAAAACUAAAAGCCUCCACCAGCCUAAUAAAACUCACUUAUCUCCCAAGCGCCACGGUUAAUGGCGCGGUUGGGUUACCCACACCCGUAUUGAUGAGAAUCCCGGAAUAAGGGGACACGAUCUCUGCUUUGACAAGACAUGCCAAGGAAACCGCCUUGCUAAACGCGCUGAGGUGGAACAGUAAAAUGAUUCGAAUAAAGGCUUGGCCGUGGCGUGAUGUCACACUGCGGAAUACGUCAGCAGAUUAGAUUUGUGCAGAUAUUAUUCUCUCUACGGUGGUAUGUGGAACUUAUUUUGCAGAGCCGGACACUAUCCUUGUGUUCAACAUCUUCAAUGAAGUAUUCGGAGGAGGAACCCGCCUUCCAAUGCCGAAGACAAUUUGCGUGCCGGACUCGUCGUCAUUGAAGCCUAGUUCAGGGGCUACUGAGGGAGUCCUAGAUUAGGGGGUGUCCGGAUGUUCGGACUAUGACCUUUGGCCAGACUCCCGGACUAUGAAGAUACAAGAUUGAAGACUUCGUCCCGUGUCCGGAUAGGACUUUCCUUGGCGUGGAAGGCAAGCUUGGCGAUAUGAUAUGAAGAUCUCCUCCCAUUGUAACCGACUCUGUGUAACACUAGCCCUCUCCGGUGUCUAUAUAAACCGGAGAGUUUUAGUCAGUAGGACGAACAACAAUCAUACCAUAGGCUAGCUUCUAGGGUUUAGCCUCUCUGAUCUCGUGGUAGAUCAACUCUUGUACUACCCAUAUCAUCAAUAUUAAUCAAGUAGGAGUAGGGUUUUACCUCCAUCGAGAGGGCCCGAACCUACGUGAAAACAUCGUGUCCCUUGUCUCCUGUUACCAUCCGCCUAGACGCACAGUUCGGGACCCCCUACCCGAGAUCCGCCGGUUUUGACACCGACAAUCGACCUCUGUUCCUUAUCUUCAACAACAUCCCUCUCCAUUCCGGAUAAGGGAAUUGAAGGACUUAAAUGAGAGAAUAAGGCAAGCCCAAGCAUUUUCAAUUCCUAAUUUAAGUAUAUAUAUACCUUUCCGGGCAGCAGAGCAGAGGGAGAGGAGCCCUCGUCCAUAUGAUGGCCGGGAAUAGAGGGGGAAGCUAAUUACACUGUUUGGUUUCCUAACAUAGGACUGAGCAUGUCUCAAGGGACUGAGACAUGCACUAACAAGGCUCAUGCGUAAAGGGAUGCCACCUCUAAGGGUGCAGACUUUACAACAGGAAAGGAACAGAUUUGGGAUCUUACCCUUGUCGAGUCCGGUCGCCCAGGGUGCUUAGGCAAGGUACCGAUGCCAGACGUACCGAUCUAUGCUUUCCCUAUUAAAGGGAAUUACUCCUAACAUCGGAAACUCUAUUUAUUUGGGAUCGGUCUUCCUCGUUCGUUCCCUCAAGUGUUCGGUCACUCCUUGUCGACCUUGUUCUUAAUGGUAUUGCUAGGUUUUAAAAACUACCUUGAAUAAGACCAACAUUAUGAACUACUACUCGCUGAAGUACUUUGCUUUCAAGUAGACGGACUUGAUUUGAUCACGUGAGGGAUCAAAGGGAAAAGGCUUAUUCACUCCAAAAAGGAGGCCUAUUUGGCCGAUUUGCGAGACCUGACGUAUGAUCCUUCACAAUCAGGCUCCAAGUCCUUGUUGGACACCUUUUUUAAUACCAAACAAGGGCUCUGCCUAGUGCAUUCAGAAUCGAACAUUAGCAUUCCAGGCAAGGAAUAGAACUUCUUUGCUAUUAAAUGGAAGUCCUCCCAAGGGUCGGACACUCUUUCUUUAUUUACUGAACUAGCAACAAGGAGCUUUUCCAAGCAGAUUUCCCUGUUCAGAAAAGGGCAGGAAACAGUGGGUUUUCCCGAGCGACCGAUCCUAUCUGUGGUCGAACAGCUUGAUUUCAUCAAAUUAAGGAAGCCAAAAAAAAGCAAAACCGAAGGAGAGACUUGUUUUACGAGCAAGAACGAGGGAGGCCCCUUCGAGACCCUACCUAUCGAAGCCUUGUUUUAACAAGGGAAAGCUGAGAGGCUAUGGGACUCGUGUCAGGGCGGGAUGAGUGCUGCUAUAUGGUUUGAAUCCUCUAUCUGUAGAUCAUUCCUUUUACUGAUUUCUAGCUUUUCGGAGGCACAAGUAGUUGAUCACUUAGACGUACGAGAUUCUAAAAGGAUUGUUCUCUCUAGGCACAUCUUAGGAAGGAUUCCGUGUCCCUCCAAAUCCAUCCAUUGGGCGGCGUCUUUUCAUCCGGAGAAGCUGUCGAAGCGAUAGCCAUGUUUGAUCCCCGUAUCUGUGAAAGAGCAAGGUCUUCCUAGUGGAGUCUAGAAAAAGAGCCGGGUAUUCUGAGUGGAGUUUGGAAUGAGACAUGCUGCCUCUGGCUUGACCAUUAGCUGCUCUAUCUGUUAUUGGCAUGGCAUUCCUAAACCCAUAGAAAAAGAAGGAUUAGGAGACGUCCAUCGAAAUAGACUAGGAGGCCUCUCACUAGCGCUAUAUAAGCUGCUGGAUUCCCUUUCACUUAAAGCCAUUCCAACAAUCUAUUCGUCGUAAGCCCUUCUAGCAGCAAUCCAAACGUCCCUCCAUCUGCAUCUCCCUAACAGUCUCUGCACGUGGAUCUCUUCUACUAGUGA